GAGGUUGUGGUAGUAGAUAUAGGUGUUGAUGAUGUGGUAGGGGGUGUCGGUGUUGAUGACGGCUUAGAUGAUAUAGGUGUUGAAGUUUUGGUUAUUGAUGUAAGUAUUAAGGAUUGUAUUGUUCCAGUUACUAAAGUUUUAGAUGUAUUUUCUAAGGGCGAAGUGGAAGUUGUAAGUGAUGUCGAGUAAGUGGUAGUCAUUGUUUAUGUUAAUGAUAUAGGUUUAGGGCUUUUGAUGGUAGAUGUUAUAGGUGCUUUGGAUGUGGUUGUUGGUAUUGGGAAGUCGAUUUCUUCAUCUUGUAAUUGUCUGUUUACAGAUUUUGCAGCUGAUAUCCUGUUGUGUUUCAUAACCUGUGGUGCAAUGAAUUUAGUUGGCUUCACACCGGAUGCUCCUUUUGCUUUCGAGUUCAACAUCUUUCUUGCUUAAAAAUUAACAAAAAACUGUAGUCAACGUAGAAGUGGCUUAUGGUGUCCAUGGAUGACAUAUGGGCCAUUGGUCAACCGGUAAACAUGGAAGUGGCUUAUGGUGUCCAUGGAUGACAUAUGGGUCAUUGGUCAACAUGGUAGUGUCUUAUGGUGUCUAUGGCUGACAUAUGGGUCAUUGGUCAACAUGGUAGUGGCUUAUGGUGUAUAUGGAUGACAUAUGGGACAUUAGUCAACAUGGUAGAGGCUUAUCGUGUAUAUGGAUGACAUAUGGGCCAUUGGUCAACAUGGUAGUGGCUUUAUGGUGUCCAUGGAUGACAUAUGGGAUAUUGGUCAACAUGGUAGUGGCUUAUGGUGUAUAUGGAUGACAUAUGGGUCAUUGGUCAACAUGGUAGUGGCUUAUGGUGUAUAUGGAUGACAUAUUGGUCAUUGGUCAUUGGUCAUCAUAGUAGUAGCUUAUGGUGUAUAUGGAUGACAUAUGGGCCAUUGGUCAACAUGGUAGUGGCUUAUGGUGUCCAUGGAUGACAUAUGGAUGACAUAUGAGCCAUUGGUCAACAUGGUAGUGCCUUAUGGUGUAUAUGAAUGACAUAUAGAUCAUUGGUCAACAUAGUAGUGGCUUGUGGUGUAUAUGGAUGAUAUAUGGGUCAUUGGUCAACAUGGUAGUGGCUUAUGGUGUCCAUGGAUGAUAGAUGGGCCAUUGGUGAACAUGGUAGUGUCUUAUGGUGUUCAUGGAUGACACUUGGGUCAUUGGUCAACAUAGUAGUGGCUUAUGGUGUAUAUGGAUGACAUAUGGGUCAUUGGUCACCGUGGUAGUGGCUUAUGGUGUAUAUGUAUGACAUAUGGGCCAUUGGUCAACAUGGUAGUGGCUUAUGGUGUCCAUCGAUGACAUAUGGGCCAUUGGUCAACAUUGUAGUGGCUAAUGGUGUAUAUGGAUGACAUAUGGGUCAUUGGUCAACAUGGUAGUGGCUUAUGGUGUAUAUGGAUGACAUAUGGGUCAUUGGUGAACAUGGUAUUGGCUUAUGAUAUAUAUGGAUGACAUAUGGGCCAUUAGUCAACAUGGCAGUGGCUUAUGGUGUCCAUGGAUGACAUUUAGGUUAUUGGUCAACAUGUUAGUGUCUUAUGGUGUAUAUGGAUGACAUAUGGGCCAUUGGUCAACAUGGUAGUGGCUUAUGGUGUCCAUGGAUGACAUUUGGGUCAUUGGUCAACAUGGUAGUGGCUUAUGGUGUAUAUGGAUGACAUAUCGGUCAUUGGUCAACAUGGUAGCGGCUUAUGGUGUAUAUGGAUGACAUAUGGUCCAUUGAUCAACAUGGCAGUGGCUUAUGGUGUCCAUGGAUGACAUAUGGAUGACAUUUGGGACAUUGGUCAACAUGGUAGUGGCUUAUGGUGUAUAUGGAUGACAUAUGGGUCAUUAGUCACCAUGGUAGUAGCUUAUGGUGUAUAUGGAUGACAGAUGGGCCAUUGGUCAACAUGGUAGUGGCGUAUGGUGUCCAUGUAUGACAUAUGGGCCAUUGGUCAACAUGGUAGUGGCUUAUGGUGUCCAUGGAUGACAUAUGGGUCAUUGGUCAACAUAGUAGUGGCUUAUGGUGUCCAUGGAUAACAUAUGGGUUGCAAUAUUAAUGAGCAUAAUAUUAUGGUUUUUUAAUUAGAAGAAACAGAAGUUAAUUUAGUUUAGCUCGCACACACGUCUUACUUCCUACCUGAAGUAGCAGGUUCAAAUCCUACUUAUGUCAGUAAUUUUAUUUAAAUUCGUCCCUCUAAAUUUAAUCAAUAAUUUUAUUUAGCUUCAUCUUUUUAAAUUUAAAAUGUCAAUUUAUUUACAAAAAUGCCAGUAGGUAUUGACAAAAAUACCCUAACCAUUUACGUAGUAACCUUUGUAUGUUAAAGGGCAAUUAUGUCAAUUCAUAGUCUAAACACUUAGGCACCAUAAUUUUUAGUCAGACUUAUCCCGUCAUUUAAGUUUAUCGGCAAUUGAUCAUCUACAUUCCAUUCCCAACAAUCAAAAUUCUGGCACGUUGAUCAAUAAACCCUAAAAUCGUUGUUGUUAUAUAAUUUGAAUUACACUAGACGCAUUUCAACAUAAUGGCAGCGAGAUGUUCAUCAGAAAGAAUGCAAACAAGACAACAAUGAAAAAGAAUUACUGCUUUGUUGUCGUACUUGAUCGAAAAAAUAGUAACUACGGUUGGAGGAAAUUCACCAAUCGAUGCUUUUAAGUGCCAGUUAGUGUAAGUAUGAUGUGCAUUACUUAUAUUAUACUUAUAUACAUAUUUAAUUUAGUGUUUAAUAGAUUAAUUUUGUUGAUUUGUGAAUUAUAGUUGCAAACUCUUUAGGGAUUCUAUAACAUCAGACGCAAUAUAUAAAAUCAUAGACACAAAUCGAUUAAGGUUUCGUCCAUUAAGUAUUCAACAAUAUGAAGUCAUAAGCAAAUGCAAAAAGUUGAACAACCCACACAUACUCUUCAACGAUGGAAUGGUACUCUUCUUUUAAGCAAUCGGAUAAUUAAGAAUUCAAUUAGUUUUUUAUAUUUGUAUUUUUAUAAUUGUAUGAUUAAUUAUUGUAUGUCAGGCGAAGUAUUUUACGGUAGGGGAAGAACUAGCAGGGAAACAGUUGCUUCAAGAUGCAGUUGAUCAUGGGCAGUUGGAUGCUAUCUUCAUUCUGGGAAUGAUGUUGAUGGCCGAAGGUAUUGAAAGGAAGCAAGAAGCUCUGAUCGUGUUAAAUAAUGCCUACGUUAAUACUAGAAGAAGUUGGAAUCUAAGGCAUACCUGUAACAAGGUUCAAAACCACUUGGCAAGGAGAUCAAAGCAGAUAAAAUUCCAUGGCUUACAUAGAAGCUGUGCAAAGCAUCCUUAUGUGAGCAGUUAUGAUUCAGCUUUUAUGUAUCAAUGCAGUUGGUUGUUUGUGGGAUGGAUGUUUUGGUAAGUGUGCUAGGAUGUUUGACAUUAGUUUGGAGUAGUUACAUAUAUGAUUGUUGUUUGAUUCACACAAUUAGUGAUGCAUAUUUUAUGUUUAUUUUGGUGUAAUGGGAAUACAUAUUUUUAACUUUAUUAAAUGUUAAUAUAUAUAUAUAUAUAUAUAUAUAUAUNNNNNNNNNNNNNNNNNNNNNNNNNNNNNNNNNNNNNNNNNNNNNNNNNNNNNNNNNNNNNNNNNNNNNNNNNNNNNNNNNNNNNNNNNNNNNNAAUCAACAUAUAUAGGUUUAGAUAUUACACAUUGAUACCCUCUAUUCUAUAAUAUAUUGAUUUGUGUCUAAUAUAUAUAUAUAUAUAUAUAUAUAUAUAUAUAUAUAUAUGUUAGUUUUUAUAUGUAUGUUAUUUUUGUCUUUUUCAUUUUACUAACUAAAAGUUCAUUGUGACCUAGUUUUGAUAUAGAUUUCAAGGGCACUUUGGUCUAUUUGCAAUCUCUAAAGUGAAGGGGCCAUUUUUGCUAUGGAAAAAAAAAAAAAUUUAAUCAAGUCGUUAUUAAAAGGAAAAUAUUGUAUAUAUAGAAUUUAUAUUAUAAGUAGAUCUAUAUCUAUAUUUAUUAUGAAUGUUAUUUAAAUUUAUAAUUACCCGUAUACUACAUGGGUUUUAACCUGGUACUGAAUAAUAUCGACCCACUAAUAUGACCUAGUAUCCAUCCAACACAUUGAAAUCAAGGGUUGUCGAAGGUUCUUUAAUCGAUACACACUUUGUUUGAAUAUGUGUUCUGCAAGUGUCGAUCUCAAUUAAACCAUUCUACUAAUUUUCUAAGACUUUAUCCAAUAAUAAAAGUUAUUCAACCAUUCAAAUUAGAAAACUUUGAGGAUUUGUUCAGCAUUUGGUCAUUAGCUUUGUGAAACAAGUCGUUGUUAAGGUACCUUUGCGAUGUUUGUAUGGUAACUAUAUAUUUACUUCAAAUGUCAUAUAUGAAUUCAAAUCAACAUUAAUGAACAUAAAAUUAAUAUUGUGUUAUUGAAAUUUAUACUUUACAAAUUUAAGACAAAGAACAAUUCAAGUAGAAAAUGGAUGUAUGAAAGAAAAGAUAAUAGUAGUUGUAUAUCGCUUGUUUUCAUACAAGGAGUGAAAAUAUUUAUAGAUUUUGCUACCACUCAACAUAGGUUCAUGGAUGAAGAUAAAUCAAAUGCCCAUGCAUAAAAUGUCGUAACAUACCAUAUACAUAAGUUGAUAUUGUUAAACAUCAUUUGUACAAGUUUGGUUUUGUUGACGAAUAUUGGUUUUGGGAUAAACAUGGCGAAACAUCAAUUGAUGAUGACAAUACGUUUUUAGGGGUUGAUGAUUCAAACACAAAUUUUAGAGAAGGUGCAUGUUCUUAUAGAGAAAUGGUCAUAGAUACAAUGGCUACUGAUUUAAAUAAUAUUGAUCCUGAAGAGGAGCCAAAUGCACUAGAUAAAAAAAAUUCUUUAAUAUGCUAGAUGCAGCCGAUAAAGAAUUAUGGCCUGGAUGUAAAAAAAAGUGACACAACUAUCUGCUGUAGCUAGACUAUUGAAUUUAAAAUCAGAGUAUCUCAUACCUGAGCAUAGUUAUGACACUAUCUUCCAGUUGAUAAAUGAUGUGUUACCAGAGGAGAAUAAUAUGGUAGGUAGUUUAUACGAGAGCAAAAAGUUAAUACAAGCACUAGGUUUGCUCAUGGAGAUGAUUGACUGAUGCAGGUCUGGAUGUAUGAUAUAUUGGAGUCAAGACAAAGAUCUUUGUCGGUGCAAAUUCUGCAAUGCAGAUAGGUACAAACGGUCAAAAAAUUUGGCUAGAUGUUCUCGCGUAUCCUUCAAGAAAAUCUAUUACUUUCCUUUGACUCCAAGGUUGAAGAGACUAUAUGCUUCAGAAGCCACAGCCACUUCCAUGCGAUGGCACUCUGAGAAUCAUAGACAUGAUGCUGGAGUAAUGUGUCAUCCAUCCGGUUCAAAAGCUUAGAAGCACUUUGACAAAAGUCAUCCUUCAUUUGCAGCAGAAGUACGUAAUGUAAGAUCAAGCCUAAGUACAGAUGGGUUUGCACCACAAGGAGCAUUUGGAAAGCAAUAUUCAUCUUAGCAUAUUAUUAUAACACCUUAUAACUUGCCAACUUCUAUAUGCAUGAAAGAGCCUUACAUGUUUUUGACUGCCCUUGUGACAGGACCGUCAAACCCUAAGCAUAAAAUAGAUGUAUUUUUGCAACCAAUUGUUGCAGAGUUAGAGCAAUUAUGGGAAGAAGGCGUAGUAACAUAUGAUAUAUCCUUAAAACAAAAUUUCCAUCUAAGAGCAGCUUUGAUAUGGAAAAUAAGUGAUUUUCUAGCAUAUGCAAUGUUGUCCGGAUGGCUACAGUAGGUAAGCUAGCAUGUCCUCAUUGUGGGAAACAUACACAAGCAUUCAGACUAGAGAAUGGUAAUAAGAUGUCAUGGUUUGACUGCCAUAGAAGAUUUCUACAGGUGAAUCACCCAUAUAGAAAGGAUAAAAAUAAGUUCAAGAAGAAUCGUGAAAUGAUAGAAGGUCCUCCUCCAAGUAAGAAUGGUGAACAAAAUUUAAGGAAGAUUGAACAAUUAUGUUUGGUAAAAGUGGCUGAACUAAAUGUUGAUGAUGUAAACAUAAUAUGUGGCGCUCAUGGUUGGAAAAAGAAAAGCAUAUUUUGGGAUUUACCAUAUUGGAAAAAAAUCUCAUUAGACAUAAUUUUGAUGUUACGCAUAUUGUGAAAAUUUUAUUUGAAACUUUUUUUACACUAUAAUGGAUGUCAAAGGGAAGAUGAAGAACAAUGUAGCAGCCAGAAGAGAUCUGAAGCUCUAUUGUAGGAAGAGAAAAGGAGUCGAAGAUAAUGAAAGAGCAUACUACACUCUGGAGCAAAAUCAAAAGAAGGCCAUAUGCCAAUGGGUGGAGAAAUUGUGUUUCCCCGAUGGUUAUGUUUCUAAUUUGGGGAGGUGUGUUGCUUUAACAGGGUGUAGACUAUUCCGAAUGAAAAGCCACGAUUGUCAUGUUUUUAUGCAAAGAUUGAUGCCAAUUGCAUUCCGUGAGAUGUUGCCAAAACAAGUGUGGGAAGCAUUAACAGAGUUGAGUAUUUUCUUCAAAACAUUAACAGCAACAACAAUCACAGCAAAAGACAUGGAAAUGAUUGAAACCGAGAUCCCAAUAAUACUAUGUAAAUUAGAGACCAUCUUUGUCCCGGUAUUUUUUUACUCCAUGAAACAUUUACCAGUACAUUUUCCAUACGAAGCAAAGAUAGUCGGUCAUGUCUAAUAUCGGUGGAUGUAUCCAUUUGAAAGGUUUGUAUCGUACAUCAUAAUGUAUGUUGCUAUUUUGUACGCUGAUUUAAAUAAUCUUCACCAUAGGUAUCUAAAUCAAUUGAAAAAUGAUGUGAAAAAUAAAGCUCGAGUGGAAUGGUCCGUUGUUAACGCAUACUUGCUACGUGAAGCAUCAAUAUUUUGCUCUCAUUAUUUCAAUACUGGUGUCCCCACAUGUAAUAGAAAGUUGCCUCGAAAUGAUAAUGGAGGAGGAGAUGAGAAAGCGGAUGCUAACCACGACAAGUUAGAUAUAUUUUCAUAUCAUGGGCGUCAUUAUGGAAGAUUCACGAAUAGAAUGAUGUCUGAUGAGGAAGUACAUGCUGCCCAAACUUACAUACACCUUAACGAAGAUAAAAUCAAGCAUUACAUUAGGUACGUAACAUUUGCAUCAAUUUUAAUUAUAAUAAUCAUUUGUUGUGUAAUUUCUAUGAAUUAAUAACAUUAACACGCAUGAUUUUGUUUAUUACAUUCAUAGUAACUUCAAAAUGUUAUUCAAAUUGUGAUACAAAAUAUUUGAAGAAAAUUUGAAUGAACUUAUAAGGGAUAUAAAGGAAUAGGUCCUUGCAGCUGAAGUUGAGAAGAACUUUGCAGUAUGGUUUCAAAACUAUGUGGGUUUUAUUCUUGUAUUUUUUAAAAAAAUCAUUAUUUUUUGUUAUGGUUAUAAUUAACUCUAAUUAAGUGUUUUACCAUUUUUCAUAUAGGCACGUAAGAUCCCGAUAAACAACAAGUAUAUAUCUGACCUUUCCAAAAUGCCAUUCAAAAAAGUGAAAUUAUAUAGUGUAUACUUUGCCAAUGGUUACAAGUUUCACACAGAAACUCAUAGUCUGAACAAAUCAACAACCAAUAGCGGAUUGUGUGUUAGUAGCUAAGGAGGUGAUUAUUAUGGUAAGGUAGAGGAAAUUUUAGAAGUCGAGUACCCUGGUUACCCAAUUAAAACCGCAGUUUUGUUUAAAUGUCAUUGGUACGAUCCAACACCUAACAUAGGAGUUAAGGUUCACAAACAAUAUAACUUGGUCGAGAUAAAUGUCAAAAGAAAAUACAACAAGUUCGAACUAUUUGUUUUAGCCAUGCAAGCCACUCAAGGGUGUUACAUUCCUUACCCAAUUUUGAAAACAAACAACUCGGACUGGUGGGAUGUAUUUAAAGUUAAACCUCGUGGUUAGACCGAUGAAAAUCAUCAUCAGAAAGACGUUGCAUUCCAAGAAGAUGAAGUUGAAUCAAAUGAAAUCAUCAUACCAAGUGUAGCCAAUAUAAACAAUUAUGAUGAUCACGAAAUGUCAAGCAACGGUUUAGAUAAUGAAAAUAAUAUUGAUGAAGAAGGUGAAAUUCAUGAGGACGACAAUGAUGGUAUUUCUGACAGCGUAGGUAGUUGUGAGUAUAGUACAUCGAGCAAUGAAGAACAAGAGGAGGAAGAAGAAGAGGAGGAAGAAGAUAAUGACAAGAUGCUUUCGUGUUUAAUGUUUUUUUUUCAAAUGAAGUUAAUUUGUCAUUUGGUUUAAUAUCAUUACAUAAAUGAAAACUAGGAAGAAAGCCCAGGAUUUGCCCCGGGAUGUUUUUUGUGUUUUUUAUGUCAAAAUGUAAAACUAUUGACUGUAAAGCCGAAGAGUAUGAAAGUGGCUAUAAUUUUAUUUUUGUUUUGUGUUUACAUCAUUUUUUUAAAAGGGCAUUUUAGUCAUUUUUGAUUGCUAUGUUGUUUGAGUAGGAUGAAGUAUACGUAAAACCCAUGUUAUUUUUUGUGAUGAAGUAUAGUUAAUGUAAUUAAAAAUAAGUUUGAAAUGAAUUCGUUGUUAAUUAUUUUUUAUAUACUAUGUUUUCAUGAAAUUAUACACAACUUGAUUAGCACAACUGGCUUAACCGCGCCCUUUUCUAGCAUAAGCAUAUGUUCGAGUCCGCUUGCCAACAAUAUCUACUUUAUAAUUCAUUUUUACAUUUUUUAGCCAUUAGUUUAUGACACAUAUUAACAAUUCAAAAACAUUUCAUUCAAACCAUAUCUUACAAAUUCCAUUGAUCAUAAUAAUAAUUCAUCCAUAGUAUAAGAAGAUUAAUUAGGCAUACAACAUCCAAACAAAUGCCGUCACAAAUUAGCUACGUGUUUUGUUCGAUGCCAAAACAAGCAAACGAAAUCAUAUUCCAUAGCAGAAUUCCCUAGCAAAUACCUACGGAUGGUACUUCCAUAGCAAUUCAACUAUGAAAUUGGUUUCCGUCACAAACUUCAUUGCAUAGUAACCACGAUAAUGAAUUCCAUAGCAGCAAUACAACGGAAAGUGAUUUGGUAACAAAUGUCGUUGGAAAGUUGCUACAAAUUUUUCUUCCAUAGAACUCUCGGUAGCAUAAUACCAACGUAUAUGGAGUCAGUAGCAUUUUCCCUAGCAAGUCCCAUUCUCGCUACCAGAAAUGAAAUUUGUAGACAAUGAGGUAGCAACAUUGCUAUGGAACGACAUUUCACAUCACGAUCCAUUGCAGAUUAACAACGAAAAUACAUUCCAUAGGGACCUUCCUAGCAAAAUCACUUUUUUCUUGUAGUGUCAUAAAUAAGUGCGUGUCAUGGUUCGCAUGUCAUUAAAGGGUUGUUUUCUAGUAGUGGUAUUACUUUUUUAUCUUUUAGUACAACUUACACCUAAAGUUACCGAGAAGUCUUUCAUUAUAGCAACUCCGUAAUAGGAGCCCUUUCCUUUGUCUUCAUAGCGACAAUGUGGUUGAAAGAAAGAUCAGGCUCCUCAACUCUCAAUAUCCCAGGUGGAAAAUAAUAGCCCAAUCUUCUGCCACCUAAACUUAAUCUUUGUUAACCACAUCUCUCUAUAGGCCUUCCUUCUUUCCAAGUAUCUAGAAACCAAUUGAAGCUUUACAUGGAUUCAACUUCUGUAGCAUGAUUGCCUUGGAAAACAUGUCUACUAGAUUCUUAGUACCAAGGAUCUUCUUCGGGUUCCAAGUCCAAUGGCUUAUUGAUUGUUUGAUAAACCGUUACUUCAUCUACACAUAUUUUGUUCUAUCAUGAAUGAUUAGAUUCUUUGAAAGGUGAAAUGCACUAUGGUUUUAAUAAAGUAGGACACAAUCUUUUUUUUGCCCAAAUAUAUGAAUAUUUUCAAGCAAAUAAGUUCUAAGGAUAAUUUUUUCAAUUUCCAUUCAUUAUGCUUCUAUGGUUAAUAGAUGAAUACUCUUUCCAAAGUGUGGAUAUCCAACUGAUGGUUAUACCUGCAAUGGUAUACAAAAACCCUGUUAUGGUUUUCCCUAAAUAUCUAGAACAUNAAGUAGGACACAGUCUUUUUUGUGCCCAAAUCUAAGAUGAAAAUUUUCAACCAGAUAAGUUCUAAGUACAAUUUUUUCAAUUUCCAUUCAGUAAGCUUCUAUGGUUAAUAGAUGGAUACUCUUUCCAAAGUUUGGAUAUCCAACUGAUGGUUAUACCCACAAUGGUAUACAAAAACACUAUUAUGGUAAGGUAACCACAUAAGUUUCUUUCUUCUAAAGGUAAGGUAACCACAUAAGUGCUUUUCAAGUAGCAUAACAGACGCUUCAUCCCUUCCUAAUUACUUUUCUUGUAUUUGACAUAAACCUGCUACUGCCUCCCACUACAUUACAAUUUAAGAUCUAGUGCAUAACGUAUCAUAAAUGAAGUUACAGUUAACUAAGGCAUACGAGACUUUAGCCAUUUCUUCCACAUACAAUGUNCUACAUUACAAUUAAUGGUCUAGUGCAUAGCGUACCAUACAUAAAGUUACAAUUAACUGAGGCAUAAGGGACUUUAGCCAUUUCUUCCUUGUUUCUACAUGUCUUCACAAAGAUAACUUUCUAUUGCUUUCCAAGAAUUCAUUUAUUUCAAAAGUCAAUAAUCACACUUUUCAAAUUCGGAAUUCUUCGAUUCAAAGUUAACAUCUUCAUCUAUCACUCAGUCGUAUGCCCAUGUCUUUGUACCAUAAAGUAAAUGUAUGUGUUUCUUUAAUAAACACAUUUCCCCUGUUGCACAAAUAUCAACCAUAUACACUGUUUCCUAUCGAAAACAAUGAUAGACCACGAGGAUCAUUUUUUGUUGUUAAUUCUACACAUAACGAAAUUUUUUGUUUUCAAUUCUACAAUGUUUUAGAAAUUAUAAUGUUUUUACUAAUGACUUUUGAUUUUGACCAACUAAACUAUAUAAUUAGAUAUGAACGAAAAAGAUAUUUCAAUUAUUGUAGUGUGCUGUUAGACAAUGCGUUUUUAAAGUGUAAAUGGAAUCUUAUACUUGUGUAUUUAUUUGUAAUUUCAAUUUGAAUGUUUACAAUGAAUCAAAGAAUAAAUAAUCAUGAAGAUCAGAAAUCGAUCAAUAAAGAAUAAAAAAUAUGGAUAUCAAGUUAGUAAACAGGCUUAAAGGAAUCUAGAGGUCUUGCAUUCCGCUGAAAUACCAUUGGGAAACCGUUUGUGGUCGUUGCAGUAGUUGUAGAUCAUGUGCUUGGUUUGCACCCAUCGGAUCCUAUUUCGGCCAGCUGCAUCAAGUCCUUGGGUACUCCAUGACUGGUUAUCAUUUAUUGAGCUUGUAGAUACUGAAUUGGGACCAACUUUUUUGGCAUUGGCAUUGAAUUUCCUGUAUAACGCGGUGAAAGGCGCAUUAGUCCAGUCGGUCUUCACACGCCCACCUUGGGUUGCCCAGUCAUCCGCGUUCCACAGGCUGGCAUAAACCCUCAUGGGUUGGCUCUUGGGAAAUGGGACUCCAGCAGCAUCAUUGUUAUUGAACACCCUUACUGGUAUGUUAUCUAUUAAGAAACUGCAGAGACAAAGAGCUUUAUAUAGGAACAGCAGAAAAACAUGAGAAAGGAAGAGAACCAAUUAAUGUUUAUGUUGGAUGCGUGACUUACAUAAUUCUUAGACUGUUCCAUACGAUGGUAUAGGUGUGGAAGGCUGCGGUAGGGUCAAACCAAAGGUGGAACUGCUGUUCUUUGUUUCCUUUCCCUUGUGAAUACACAUUGGUGUGAAUUGUGUAAGGGUUUCCCGUGGAGUUGCCCAAGAACUCGAAGUCGAUCUCAUCGUGACCCGCACCUUGUGAUGACAACUAAUGUGAUUUAAUACAAAGACAUGGUUAUUAUCAGCCUUUAAAAGAUUAAUACAAAUGAGUGAUCACAAUAUAUAUAUAAUUCAGAUAUGAAAUUCAAGAUUGGAACCGAUCGAUGGUACUCACGUAGAAUGUGGUGACGGUGCCAGCAGAAUUGCCUGGUACUAGUUUGAGUUGCAUGUCGAACCUUCCAAACAGGUACUCGUGCUUCGACUGGAAACCCGAUCCAGAGUAUUGGUCGAGUGAAAGUGAAAGAUCCUGACCUCCAUUCAGAAUUUUAGCACGUUCACCCCCAAAACUGAUGUCCAUGUCAUCGUAAAAACUCCCUGCUGAUGCUGCUACUAUUAGAAUUGAUAUUAAAAGAACAACUGCACAAAGAUUAGAGUUCGACUUUGCCAUUAUUGUUUGUAUGGAGAGAGAGAGAGAGAGAGAGAGAGAGAGAGAGAGAGAGAUGUUAUGUUUGUGGGAAGUAGUACUGAUAUCGUUUAUAUAUGUAGGUGUGGCUACGUUGACAAUUUUCAACAGGAACCAUCCUUGUUACUGAAGGAUGUCAUGAUGGCUAAUGGAUGCACCAAUAUCUAUUGACGCGUGACAACUCACAUUAUUCUUCUGGUUCUGGACAUGGGCAGGAGCGGUGGGGUUUUUUCUUUAUUUUUUUCUAAACGUCUGCCAACUCAAAUUUUGCAAAUUUGUCAUAUUUGGACCGGUGGUUGACAUCAUAGGUAAAAUACACUUGUUUUAAUUGUUAAUAAGUUGGGAAAAUCAAAUCUUUAAAAACGCAUUUACAACAUUUACAAUCACAUUUCACACUAUUAAAAAACUAAUUAUAAAUCCCUCUGUAAAAGGAACCAUCUUAUUGAUGAUAAAACCGUAGGCAAAUUCCCCAAACAUCUACCUUUUCAUUUAAGUUGGUUACCAAAUUCCUCCAUUUUAUCUAAAAUUUUGGUUUCCCUCGGUUUCCACAUUAAAUGAAAGCACCACUUGUAAGGAAUAAAAGAUUUAUAAGAAUUGGAUCAAACUCAACUCUAUGUACAUUGAAUAAAGAAAUAUGGGAAGGAAACCUACAAUCUGUUCUUUGUGAUGAUUUAUUCUUGGUUCAUUCGGAACUCUAUCUAUUAUUAUAUUAUGCACAAUUAUAUUUCUUAAUUGUCACAUUCUUAAAACUAAUUAAAAGUCAUCAUAUAUUGAUUUCUUUGGAAAUGUUAGGAUCUUGAUUGAGUUCUUGAAAUUUGGCAAUGAAAGUAAAUUCGUCAUAGGCUUUAACAAGUACAUAGAUGUUGUGACUGCAAUAUUUACUGUAGGUGUGAAAUUGAAGAUGAUGUUUGAGGACGAGGACACUCCUUGAAGAGGGUAACUAAGAAAUUUACCGUUAUUUGUCUUUUUGAGUUUUUAAAUGUGUUGUAAUCUAAACAGCAAUUUUAUAGGGAAAAUAAUAGCAGCUAAAUUUUUUUGCCUUAGUCAUAACUUUUUGAUGGUGAUAGUUGAAUAUUUAUAUAUGUUGUAGUUUUCUUCUUUAAAUUUAACAGAUUCAUUGAAAGAAACCAAGAAAAAAAUGGUAUCUUGCAUGUGAUGAACAUGUAUCUACCAUGUGAACAUAAUGGAUAUUCACAGAAGACCAGUUCUUUUAUCUCAACUCUAUAAAUACGUACAAAUAUAUUCUUAGAAAAGUAAAAACUCAAGAACUUCCCGACAUGGACAAUUUAUUCACCAUAAACCAGUUCGUUUGUACAACAAUACUUACAAAGGAAAUCAUCACUACAUAGCUCACACUCUAACGUAUACACAAAAUGAUUUUACUGUAAUCGGAAAUACAAACCCUUGAUAAUACAGAAAACCCUAAUCGAGAGUUAGAGAGAAAAGAUAUAGCAAUCUACAGAAUGCAUCAUAUGAUUGAGACGAGCCAGCUGACCAACAAGCAUAUAUACCCGGAUCAUGAAAAGUGACCUGGUGGAUCGACAAACUCGCAUUUGCAAUAAGAAACUUACACAACAACCCAUGCAUAAUAACGUCAAUACAAAAAUUGACCAAACUAUCCCGAAAUUACAAAAUGUUGUGCUUAAAUAAAUAAAUAUAUAUAUAUAUAUAUAUAUAUAUAUAUAUAACAUAACCCCUUCUCAAACUUAACAUUUUAAUCAUUUAUCAUAAAAAUGUCAAUAAGACCCAAUCUUUUUGAAAAUAUUCAUGUUGAAACGAAACUAAAGAUUUUGUAAGAAUGUGAGCAUUGUAAUCAUAAGAGUCAACCUUAACAACUUCAACAAUACCAUUAUCAGUUCUUUUUCCUAACAAAAUGAACAUCUACUUCAAAAUGCUUCAAUUUUUCAUGAAAAACUAGUUUAACAGCUAAUUGGAUUGUAGACUCAUUAUCACAAAAAAAAUUAACUGGAGUUAAAUUUUUAAAACCAAGAUCAAAUAAAAAUUUUAAUACCCACAAAAUUUCACAAAUAGCAGACCCCAAAGCAUGGUAUUUAGAUUCAGUGGAAGAUCUGGACACCAUACUUUGUUUCUUACUUUUCUAGGAAAUAAGAGAAACUCUCCGAUAAACUAAGUACCCUAUUAUUAGUCUUCUAGCGGUACGCACUUGGCCCAGUCAACAUCAAAAUAUCCAACAAGAUCAAAACAUUAUAUUUAUGAAUAAAAACAUUUUUUUCUUGGAUUAGACUUUAAAUACCUCGACAACCGAAAGCAUUGUUCAAAUGGGACUUAUGAGGUUUAUGCAUAUGUUGACUAAGAAUUUGAACAUCAUAAGCAAUAUUUAGUCUAGCAACAGUUAAAUAAAUGAGCUUACCUAUUAUAAGUUUCUGAAAUUCAGAAAUAUUAACAAAACUGUGAGAACUAUAUAUCACAAUGCUUUGGAAUAACUAGAUUUUUCUUGAUUUAAACAGAUACCACCAUUAACAGACAUGACCUCUAUGCCUAGAAAAUAUUUUAAUUCUCCAAAGUCUUUAAUUAAAACCUGAGACUUAAGAAAAUCCUUCACACAAUUGAUUUCACAAAUACAAUUGCUUGUUAAAAUGAUAUUAUCCACAUAUACAAGUAAUAUAACAAAAGUAUCACCUUUUGACCAAACAAACAAAGAGUAAUCAUUUAUGCUUUGAAUAAAACUAAAACUUGAAAGAGAAGAACACAUCUCAUUCCAUUUUCUAGGUGCAUGUUUAAGCCUAUAUAAAGGUUUGACAAGUUUGCAAAAUUUAUUAUCAUUAAUUGAGUGAUAUCCAUUAGGCAAACUCAUAUAAACAUCUUCAAUUAAAUCACCAUAAAGAAAAGCAUUAUCAAUGUCAAGUUGAUAAAGACGCAAAGAUUUAUUAACAACUAAAUUAAUAACAAUCCUAACAGUAACAGUCUUUUCAACUUGAGAAAAUGUCUCAUCAUAGUCUAUACCCUCUCGUUGACUAUACCCUUUUGCAACAAGCCUAGCUUUGUAUCUCUUAAUUUCUCUAUUUGAUUUAUAUUUAAUUUUAUAUAUCCACCUACAUCCAAUUGGCUUUCUAUGUUUAGGAAGAUCAAUUAUUUCCCAUGUAAGAUUUCUAUACGAAGCCUCCAUUUCUUCAUUCAUUGCUUUGACCCAAUUUAGCUCAGAAACAACCUCUUUAUAUGUUUUUGGUUCACAUGUUUCAUGUCAAACCCCCAAACCGAGAACGGCAGAAACGUUCGGGGGUGGAGGACGUCAUGUACAGUAUCAUAACAAUGCAUAAUAGUAAAACAAGCAACAACAUCUAAUGCAUUAAUAAUAUAGUUUAUACAUGUGUGUUCUGUGUAUAGUUGUAAGACACCAAAAAUAUAUCAAAAUAAAAGACGAGUCUUGAACAUGCUCCGUCUUCUCAAAACCUUGUCUAGUGUACCUGUCUACUUGUGACUUGAGAAUACAGGUUAUUUUGAAACAGAGAAUCAACAUUUAAGUUGGUGAGUUCAUAAGUAUUUUAGUGUCAAAAGUUCGCAUUUGUUUUAUGAAAAAGUUUGCAAUUGUUUGAUGAAAAUGUUUGAAUACUUCCUACAAAAAUCCUAUAUUUCCUUUUAAUAGUGAUAACUGAACUGUUAUAGUUUUUCCUUAAGUUUAACGGAUUCAUUGUAAGAAACCAAGAAAAAAUGGUAUCUUGAAUGGGAUGAACAUGUGUCUACCAUGUGAACAUAAUGGAUAUCUACAAGAGAGAUUGAAACUAUCGUAACAAAACAUAAGAUUAGUCUAAAAACAACAUGAUAUUCAAUGUCGAACUGACAUCUAAUGGUUACGUAUGUCUCAAAUGUAUAAAUAUGUACAAUCAUAUAUUGGCUAUGUAUCCAUCCGUAAAGGGAACCAUCAACCUUGGACUUCUAGUUGAUUAAGGAUUUAGUACAGAUCAUCGACAAACAGAUGUGAAAUCUUCCUAAUUUAGCAUAUCUUUAUCCAUUUUGGUGUUAAAACUUAUAUGUUGAAGUCUAUUUGAGCCCAAUAUGCAAUUAUUGUAUUUUUAUUAAGUUUUCAUUUGUGCGUGCAUCUUCUGUAACAAAGUUAAAAUUGCAGACCUUAAUUUUUAGAUAAAUACCUAGUAGAAAAAUAUCAUUUAAUGACACGCAUUGUGUGUCAUAAAAGGGUACAGAUGACACGCAGAUGUGUGUCAAAGAAGGCCCUGUCAUCAAGGAAAACGACACACAUUUAUGUUUCGUAACCAUACGACGCACAUUUUACGACACGCAAUGCGUAUCAUUAAAGCCCCUGUCAUAAAGAAAGACGACACACAUUUUUAUUUGUCAUAAUUUUAAAUAUUUAAAAAAUAUAUAUUUUGCUAUACAUAUUUAAUAAUUUUCAAAUUGGAUUACAGUUAAUGUCUCAAAAUAUAAAAUAGCAUAUCAUAUAAAAAAAGACAAUCCAUUUAAAAAUGUAUAGUAUGUCAAAUAACAAUAAUUAUUCCAAUGCUUAAAUAAAUGUAAUACAAAAACUAUUUCAAUAUAUAUCUUAUGAAUUCCCCUAACAAUACACCAUCUCCAAUUAAGACAUGUAUUCAGACCAAUUUACCUACUAAAAAUGCAACAAUUGAAACAUGAGACCCAACCGAUACUUCAUAUAGUCCGUUUGGUCCUUUAUCAUUCCAUAUUGGCCAAGUGACCUCCAAGAUUCAGAUGUGUUUCUUCAAUCCAUUUUUUGGUUGACUCUAUGACACCAAAGUAUGUUACACCUAUUGCAAGAGAUCCAGUUACCCUAGGUGUCACCUCUUUAUAAAAAACAAUACUCAAAAACUAAUAGCAAGUGAUAUAAUAUUAAAUGAAUAAAUGUUGCUCCUAGAUUAUUUUCCGCUUUCAUUUGAUUUACCUAAAAUCCAAAUCGUUGCAAAUUAAAUAAAACAAGAUUAUUAAAAAAAGCUUUCUUAUUUCUUUAAUGGGUUAAAUAGAAGUCACAAUUUUAGCUUUCAUGGAUUCAUCUUCCAAAUUAUCACAACUGUUUUUAAUACAAAUAACAUGUAUAACAACCUACAAGGUUUUAUCUUCUAUUUCAGGAUGGUAAUAAAAUGGAGAAUCGAUUUGCUAAAUGGAUAGUAAUACCAUACAUUUACAAACUCCCCUACAGCAAAUUUAGCAAGCAAAAGCUACUACAUGAAAAUAAACUAUCUAUAGUCUUUUUCGUAAUAAAAAGCACAAACCUAAUGGAAAAUUAAGAACGUUAACACUAAAACACCAAAAAAAAACAUCAAACUAAUUAAAAAGUAACAAUCGGAUUUUGUAACAAAAGAAAACAAUUUCCAAUUGCCAAUUUCUAAUUUCCAAUCAUAAUCAAUAUUUCAAACCUAAAAAGUUAAAAAAAAUAUAUAAUAUAAUUAACAAGCGAAUUAGUUAUUACCAAGUUAUUGAGGCUCACUCAGGCUUAUGCGACAUCAAUGCUCACUCUGGUCUCUAGUAACAACCUUUACUUCGGAAAAGACAAUUGCACAGUGGAGGGAAGAUUUUAGGCGGCCAGGUCAGAGGAGUCAUGAGGGAACGAGGGUUAAUGAAGAAGAAAGAGAGAAUAAGAUAUGAUGUAUGUAAACAACGAGAUUUAAUGAACCCUAAAAACCUAAACACGAAUAUGUAUUGUGUUCAUAGGAAGGUUGGAGUUGAUACCAUGGUUGCAGAGCUGCAAUAAGAUGAAAGGGAGAUCCACAACCACGAAAUGCCAUUAGGUUUCUUUGGUAGAUGAUUUUACAGAAGAAGGAGGAGACGCAUCAUAGACAUAAAAAUGACGAAUGGAAGAUGAUUAGAGAAUAAGGCGAUGGGGUUUUUAAUUUUUUGGGGAUUUCAUCCCCCCCACCCCUCUUAGUUAUUUAAGGAUGGGAAACGUGUGUUUUUCUACAUGAAAAAUUAUAAAAUGACAUGCUUAUAUGGCAUGCUUGUUUUGAUAGGUACCCUCCAUGUAUUUUUUUUUUGUUACACUAAUAUUACAGCACGCAAAAAUGCGUGUCCUAAAUGCUUCAAGUUUUGGGAGAGCUGACAUUAUUUUUAGGGCAUACAAUUUUACAUAUCAUAAAUCAGUGUGUGUCAUGGUUUGCAUGCAAUUAAAGGACUGUUUUCUAGCAGCGAUAGUACUUUCUUAUCUUUUUAUACAACUUACACCAAAAGUUAUCGGGAAGUCUUUCCUUGUAGCAACUCCGUAACUAGAGCCCUUUCCUUUAUCUUCAUAGCGACAAUGUCGUUGAAAGAAAGAUCAGGCUCCUCAACUCACAAUAUCCUAGUUAGGAAAUGAUCAACCAAUCUUCCGCCACCUAAACUUAAUCUUUGUUAACCACAUCUCUCUAUAGGCCUUCCUUCUUUCCAAUUAUCUUUCCAACUAUCUAGUAGCCAAUUGAAGCUUUACAUAGAUUCAACUUUUGUAACAUGAUUGCCUUGGAAAACAUGUCUACUAGAUUCUUAGUACCAAGGAUCUUCUUCAGGUUCUGAGUCCAAUGGCUUAUUGAUUGUUUGAUAAAGUGGUAGUUCAUCUACACAUAUUUUGUUCUUUCAUGAAUGAUUAGAUUCUUUGAAAUGUGAAAUACACUAUGGUUCUAAUAAAGUAGGACAUAGUCCUUUUUUUUUGUCCAAAUCUAAUAUGAAAAACUUCAACCAAUAAGUUCUAAGGACAAUUUUUUCAAUUUCCAUUCAUUAUGCUUCUUUAGUUAAUAGAUGAAUACUCUUUCCAAAGUAUGGAUAUCCAACUGAUGGUUAUACCCACAAUGGUAUACAAAAACCCUAUUAUGGUUUUCCCUAAAUAUCUAGAACCUCCCUUAUCUACAUCACUGAAGCCUUUUAAGACUAGUUUCUUUCUUCUAAAAGCAAAAGGAAACCACAUAAGUGCUUUUCAAAUAGCAUAACGACCACUUCAUCCCUUCCCAAUUUUUUUUCUUUUAUUUGACAUAAAACUGCUAAUGCCUCCCACUACAUUACAAUAUAAGGUCUAGUGCAUAACAUAUCAUAGAUGAAGUUACAAUUAACUGCGGCAUAUGUGAAUUUAGCCAUCUCUUGCUUGUUUCUACCCGUCUUCACAAAUGCAACUUUCUAUUGCUUUCCAAGAAUACAUUUAUUACAAAUGUCAAAAAUCACACUUUUCAAAUUCGGAAUUCUUCAUUUCAAAGUUAACAUCUUCAUCUAUCACUCACUCACAUGCCUAUGUCUUUGUGUCAAAAAGUAAAUGUCUGUGUUUCUUCAAUAAACACAUUUCCACCAUUGCACAAAUUUCAACCAUAUACAACGUUUCCAAUCGAAAACAAUGAUAGACCACGAGCAUCAUUUUUUGUUGUUAAUUCUACACGUAACGAAAUUUGUAUGCAGUGUCGAAGGAAAAAGGGUUUUAGAAAUUAUAAUGUUUUUAUUAAUGACUUCUAAUUUUGAGCAACUAAACUAUAUAAUUAGAAAUGAACAAAAAUGACAUUUCAAUUAUUGUAGUGUGUGUUAUAGAAUGUAUUUUUUAAAGUGAAAUUGGAAUCUUAUACUUGUGUAUUUAUUUGUAAUUUCAAUUUGAAUGUUUACAAUGAAUCAAAGAAUAAAUAAUCAUCAAGAUCAGAAAUUGAUCAAUAAAAAAUAAAAAAUAUGGAUAUCAAGUUAGAAAGCAGGCUUAAAGGAAUCUAGAGGUCUUGCAUUCUGCUGAAAUACCAUUGAGAAACCGUUUGCGGUCGUUGCUGUAGUUGUAGAUCAUGUGCUUGGUUUGCACCCAUCGGAUCCUGUUUCGGCCGGCUGCAUCAAGUCCUUGGGUACUCCAUGACUGGUUAUCAUUUAUGGAGCUUGUAGAUACUGAAUUGGGACCAACUUUUUUGGCAUUGGCAUUGAAUUUCCUGUAUGACGCGGUGAAAGGCGCAUUAGUCCAGUCGGUCUUCACACGCCCACCUUGGGUUGCCCAGUCAUCCGCGUUCCAUAGGCUGGCAUACACCCUCAUGGGUUGGCUCUUGGGAAAUGGGACUCCAGCAGCAUCAUUGUUAUUGAACACCCUUACUGGUAUGUUAUCUAUCAAGAAACUGCAGAGACAAAGAGCUUUAUAUAGGAACAGCAGAAAAACAUGAGAAAGGAAGAGAACCAAUUAAUGUUUAUGUUGGAUGCGUGACUUACAUAAUUCUUAGACUGUUCCAUACGAUGGUAUAGGUGUGGAAGGCUGCGGUAGGGUCAAACCAAAGGUGGAACUGCUGUUCUUUGUUUCCUUUCCCUUGUGAAUACACAUUGGUGUGAAUUGUGUAAGGGUUUCCCGUGGAGUUGCCCAAGAACUCGAAGUCGAUCUCAUCGUGACCCGCACCUUGUGAUGACAACUAAUGUGAUUUAAUACAAAGACAUGGUUAUUAUCAGCCUUUAAAAGAUUAAUACAAAUGAGUGAUCACAAUAUAUAUAUAAUUCAGAUAUGAAAUUCAAGAUUGGAACCGAUCGAUGGUACUCACGUAGAAUGUGGUGACGGUGCCAGCAGAAUUGCCUGGUACUAGUUUGAGUUGCAUGUCGAACCUUCCAAACAGGUACUCGUGCUUCGACUGGAAACCCGAUCCAGAGUAUUGGUCGAGUGAAAGUGAAAGAUCCUGACCUCCAUUCAGAAUUUUAGCACGUUCACCCCCAAAACUGAUGUCCAUGUCAUCGUAAAAACUCCCUGCUGAUGCUGCUACUAUUAGAAUUGAUAUUAAAAGAACAACUGCACAAAGAUUAGAGUUCGACUUUGCCAUUAUUGUUUGUAUGGAGAGAGAGAGANUCGACUUUGCCAUUAUUGUUUGUAAGGAGAGAGAGAGAGAGAGAGAGAGAGAGAGAGAGAGAGAGAGAUGUUAUGUUUGUGAGAAGUAGUACUGAUAUCGUUUAUAUAUGUAGGUGUGGCUACGUUGACAAUUUUCAACAGGAACCAUCCUUCUUACUGAAGGAUGUCAUGGUGGCUAAUGGAUGCAUCAACAUCUAUUAACGCGUGCCAACUCACAUUAUUCUUCUGGACAUGGGCAGGAGCGGUGGGUUUUUUUUUCUAUACGCCUGGCAACUCAAAAUAUGCAAAUUUGUCAUAUUUGGACCGGUGGUUGACAUCAUACGUAAAAUAAAAUUGUUUUAAUAAUUUGUAAGCUGGGAAAAUCAAAUCUUUAAAAACGCAUUUAAAACAUUUAUCAAUCGCAUUUAACACUAUUAAAAAAAACUAAUUAUAUAUAUGUCGGUAAAGGGAACCAUCCGCAGCAACGGACUACCAAUUGAUUAACCAUUUAAUACAUUUCGUCGACAAACACAUAUGAAAUCUUGCUAAAUUAUCAACAUUUUAUCCAUUUCGGUGUUAACACUUAUUGAUGAUAAAUCCGUACGCAAAUUCCCCAAAAAUUUUCCUUUUCAUUUAGUUUUAUUACAAAAUUCGUCCAUUUUAUCCAAAAUUUCGGUUUCCUUCUCCCUCCUCGGCUUCCCCUUUAAAUGAAAGCAUCACUUGUACGGAAUGGGAGAUUUAUAAGAAAUUGGUCAAACUCAACUUCAUUUACAUUGAAAAAAGAAACAUGGUAAGGAAAGCUACAAUAUGUUCUUUGAGAUUAUUAAUUUAUUCUUAGUCCAUUCAACACUCUCUAUUAUUAUAUUAUGUACAAUUAUAUUUCUUAAGUAUCACAUUCUUAAACUUUAUUAAAUGUCGUCAUAUAUUGAUUUCUUUAGAAAGGUUGAGAUCUUGGUUGAGUUCUUCAAUUUUUAGAAGGAAUGUAAAUUCGUGAUAAGCUUGAACAAGUACAUAGAUGUUAUAAUUUACUGUAGGUGUGAAACCGAAGAUGACAUUUGAGGUCGACCACACUCCUUAAAGAGGGAAACUUAGAAAUUUACAAUUAUUGGUUUUUUUGAGUUCUCAAAUGUGUUGCAAUCUAAAAUGCAUGUUUAUAGGGAAAUAAUAGCAGUUAAAAAAAUUUGUCUUAGUCAUAACCUUGUAAUGUUGAUAAUUGAAUAUUUAUAUAUUUUAUAGAUUUUUUUUUCUUAAAUUUCAUGGAUUCAUUGAAAGAAAUCAAGAAAAAAAAAAAGGUAUCAUGAAUGGGAUGAACAUUUAUCUACCAUGCGAACAUAAUGGAUAUCUACACGAGGAUUGAAAUUAUCGUAACAAAACAUUACAUUAGUCUGAAAACAACAUGAUAUUUAGUGUCAAACCGACAUCUAGUAAUUACAUAUGUCUGGUAUCUAUAAAUAUAUACCUAUAUAUCCAUCGGUGAAGGGAACCAAUAAUGAUAGACUUCUAAUUGAUCAACGAUUUAGUAAAGAUCGUAAACAAAGAUAUAUAAAAUCUCACUAAUAUAGCAAAUUUGUACCUGUUUAGGUGUUAACACUUAUAUGUUGAUGUCUAUUUGAGCCCAAUAUGCAAUUAUUGUAUUUUGUUUUAGUUUUCAUAUUUGCUCGCAUCUUCUGUAACAAAGUUAAAAUUCUGGACUAAAGUUUUAACACAAAUAGUACUUGUUUAGCAUUUUAGUACAACUUACACCUAAAGUUAUUGUGAAGUUUUUCCUUGUAGCCACUCCGCAACAGGAGUCCAUACUUUGUCUCUAUAACGACCAUGAAGUCGAAAUGAACACCAGACACCUCAAGUAACAAUCUCAUCGACAAACACAUAUGAAAUCUAUGUAAAUUUCCAACUUUUUUACCUAUUUCGGUGGUAACACUUAAUGAUGGUAAAACCGGAUGCAAAUUUCCCCAAACAUCUUCUUUUUCAUUAAGUUUCAUUACUAAAUUGAACCAAUUAAUCUAAAAUUGUGAUUUCCCUCUCCUUCCUCGGUUUUCCCUUUAAAUGAAAGCAUCACUUGUACGAAUAAGAGAUUUAUAAGAAAUGGAUCAAACGCAACUCUACUUGUAUUGAAGAAAGAAAUAUAGGAAGGAAACCUACAAUUUGUUUUUGGAGAUUAUUUAUUCUUAAUUCAUUAUACUUUAUCCAUUAUUAUAUUAUGGACAAUUAUAUUUUUAGCAAUCACAUUCUUAAUGUUAAUUAAAGGUUAUCAUAAAAAGAAAAGGUUGGGAUCUUGAUUGAGCUCUUGAAAUUUGGAAGGGAAAGUAAAUUCCUCAUAGGAUUGAUGUUGUGACUGCAACUUACUGUAGGUGUGAAAUUGAAGAUGUUGUUUGAGGACGAGGAACCUCUUUAAAGAGGCUACAUAAAAAAAUUACCAUUUAAUGGUGAUAACUAAAUAUUUAUAUUUGUUAUAGUUUUUUUCUUAUUUAACGGAUUUAUUGAAAGAAACCAAGAAAAAGAAUGGUAUCAUGAAUUGGAUGAACAUGUAUCUACCAUGUGAACAUAAUGGAUAUUUACUGGAGAGAUUGAAACUAUAGUAACAAAACAUUAGAUUAGUCUGAAAACAACAUGAUAUUUAGUUUCAAACUGACAUCUAAUAGUUAUGCAUGUCUCAAAUGUAUAAAUACAUACAAGCAUUAUUAGCUAUUCAACGUUGGCUUCCAGUUCAUUAAGGAUUUAAUACAAAUCAUCGACAAAUAUAUAUGAAAUCUUCCUGAUUUAGCACAUUUUUACCCAUUUUGGUGUUAAAACUUAUAUGUUGCAGUCUAUUUGAGCCUAAUAUGCAAUUAUUGUAUUUUUAUUAAGUUUUCAUUUGUGCUUGCAUCUUUUGUAACAAAGUUAAAAUUUCGGACCUUAAUUUUUAGAUAAAUACACUAAUAGAAAAAUAUCCUUUAAUGACAAGAAUUGCAUGUCAUAGAAGGAUACAUAUGACACGCAAAUGCGUGUAAAUGAAGGGCCUAUCAUAAAGGAAGACGACACGCAUUUAUGUGCCCUAACCAUACGACACGCAUUUACGACAUGCAAUGUGUAUCAUUAAUGACAAGAAUUGCAUGUCAUAGAAGGAUACAUAUGACACGCAAACGCGUGUCAAUGAAGGGCCUAUCAUAAAGGAAGACGACACGCAUUUAUGUGUCGUAACCAUACGACGUGCAUUUACGACAUGCAAUGUGUAUCAUUAAAGCCCCUGUCAUAAAGAAAGAUAAUUUUAAAGGUUUUAAAAAAAUAUUCUUUUGAAUGGAUUUAAUAAUUUUCAAAUUAGAUGACACCUAAUGUCUCAUAACAUAAAAUAGCAUAUCAUUAAAAAAAAAAGACAAUCCAUUUAAAAAUAUAUAGUAUGUCAAAUAAUAAUAAUCAUUCCAAUGCUUAAAUAAUGUAAUACAAAAACUAUUUCAUCAUAUCUUAUCAACUCCCCUAAGAAUACACCAUCUCCAAUUAAGACAUGUAUUCAGACCAAUUUACCUACCACAAAUGCAACAAUUGAAACAUGAGACCCAACCGAUCCUUUAUAUAGUCCCUUUGGUCCUUUAUCUUUCCAUAUUAGCCCAAUGACCUCUAAGAUUCAGAUGUGUUUCUUCAAUCCAUUUUUUGGUCGAUUCUAUGACACCAAAGUAUGCUACACCUAUUGCAAGACAUCCAGUUACCCCAGGUGCCUCGUCUCUAUAAAAACAAUACUAAAAAACUAAUAGCAAGUGAUAUAAUAUUAAAUGACUAAAUGUUUGAUUCGACUAGAGAUUCCAUCAAUGACAGUCACGUUUGUUUCUCCUUCAUUGCUCCAAGAUUCUUUUCCACUUUCAUUUAAUUUACCAAGAAUCCAAAUGGUUGCAAAUUAAGUAAAACAAGAUUAUUAAAAAAAAGGUUUCUUAUUUCUUUAAUGGGUUACAUAAAAGUCACCAUUUUAGAUUUCAUGGAUUCAUCUUCUAAGUUAUCACAACUGUUAUUAAUACAAAUAACAUGUAUAACAACCUACAUAGUUUUAUCUUCUAUUUCAAGAUGGUAAUAAAAUGGAGAAUCGAUUUGCUAAAUGCAUAGUAAUACCAUACAUUUACAAACUCCCCUAUAGAAAAUUUAGCAAGCAAAAGUAAACAUUCCAUGAAAAUAAACUGUCUAUAGUCUUUUUCGUAUUAGAAAGCACAAACCUAAUGGAAAAUUAAGAACGUUACCACUAAAACAUCAAAAAAAAAAAAAAAAAAAAAAAAAAAAAAAAAAACCUCGUCAAACUAAUUAAAAAGUAACAAUCGGAUUUUGUAACAAAUGAAAACAAUUUCCAAUCAUAAUCAAUAUUUCAAACCUAAAAAGUAUUUAAAAAAAUAAUAUAAUUAUAAAGCGAAUAAGUUAUUACCAUGUUAGAGAGAGAGAGAUCAGGUACAUUGUAGACUCGCUCAGGCGACAUCAAUGCUCACUCUAGUCUCCAGUAACGACAUGUACUCCGGCAAAGACAACUGCACAAUGGAGGGAAGAUUUUAGGCGGCCAAUUAAGUCAGAGGAGUCAUGAGAGAACGAGUGUUAAUGAAUAAGAAAGAGAGAAUAAGAAAUGAUGUGUGUAAACGACGAGAUUUAAUGAACCCUAGAAACCUAAGCACGAAUAUGUAUUGUGUUAAUAGGAAGGUUGGAGUGGAUACCAUGGCUGCAGAGCUGCAAAAAGAUGAAAGGGAGAUGCACAACUGCGAAAUGCCAUUAGGUUUUCUUCAGUAGAUGAUUUUAUAGAAGAAGGAGGAGACGCAUCAUAGACAUCCAAAUGACGAAUGGGAGAUGAUUAGAGAACAAGGCGCCGAGGUUUUUUAAUAUUUUGGGGAUUUCAUNNNNNNNNCCCCCCCCCCCCCCCCCCCCCCGCUAGUUAUUAAAGGAUUGGAAACGUGUGUCAUUCCUCAUGAAAACUUACAAAAUGACAUGCUUAUACGACAUGAUUUUCUUGAUAGGUACCCUCAAUUUUUUUUGUGACAUUAAUUUUAGGGCAUGCAACACUCUCUAUUAUUAUAUUAUGUACAAUUAUAUUUCUUAAGUAUCACAUUCUUAAACUUUAUUAAAAGUCGUCAUAUAUUGAUUUCUUUAGAAAGGUUGAGAUCUUGGUUGACUUCUUCAAUUUUUAGAAGGAAAGUAAAUUCGUGAUAAGCUUGAACAGGUACAUAGAUGUUAUAAUUUACUGUAGGUGUGAAACCGAAGAUGACAUUUGAGGUCGACCACACUUCUUAAAGAGGGUAACUAAGAAAUUUACCAUUAUUUGUUUUUUUGAGUUCUCAAAUGUGUUGCAAUCUAAAAUACAUGUUUACAGGGAAAUAAGAGCAGUUAAAACAAUUUGUCUUAGUCAUAACCUUGUAAUGUUGAUAAUUGAAUAUUUAUAUAUUUUAUUGAUUUUUUUUUCUUAAAUUUAAUGGAUUCAUUGAAAGAAAUCAAGAAAAAAAUGGUAUCAUGAAUGGGAUGAACAUUUAUCUACCAUGCGAACAUAAUGGAUAUCUACACGAGGAUUGAAAUUAUCGUAACAAAACAUUACAUUAGUCUGAAAACAGCAUGAUAUUUAGUGUCAAACCGACAUCUAGUAGUUACAUAUGUCUGGUAUCUAUAAAUAUAUACCUAUAUAUCCAUCGGUGAAGGGAACCAAUAAUGAUAGACUCCUAAUUGAUCAACGAUUUAGUAAAGAUCGUAAACAAAGAUAUAUAAAAUCUCGCUAAUAUAGCAAAUUUGUACCUGUUUAGGUGUUAACACUUAUAUGUUGAUGUCUAUUUGAGCCCAAUAUGCAAUUAUUGUAUUUUGUUUUAGUGUUCAUAUUUGCUCGCAUCUUCUGUAACAAAGUUAAAAUUCUAGACUAUAGUUUUAACACAAAUAGUACUUGUUUAGCUUUUUAGUACAACUUACACCUAAAGUUAGUGUGAAGUUUUUCCUUGUAGCCACUCCGCAACACGAGUCCAUGCUUUGUCUCUAUAGCGACCAUGAAGUCGAAAGGAACACCAGACACCUCAAGUAACAAUCUCAUCGACAAACACAUAUGAAAUCUCAGUAAAUUUCCAACUUUUUUACCUAUUUCGGUGGUAACACUUAAUGAUGAUAAAACCAUAUGCAAAUUUCCCCAAACAUCUUCUUUUUCAUUAAGUUUCAUUACUAAAUUCAACCAAUUAAUCUAAAAUUGUGAUUUCCCUCUCCUUCCUCGGUUUUCCCUUUAAAUGAAAGCAUCACUUGUACGAAUAAGAGAUUUAUAAGAAAUGGAUCAAACGCAACUCUACUUGUAUUGAAGAAAGAAAUAUAGGAAGGAAACCUACAAUUUGUUUUUCGAGAUUAUUUAUUCUAAAUUCAUUAUACUUUAUCCAUUAUUAUAUUAUGUACAAUUAUAUUUUUAGCAAUCACAUUCUUAAUGUUAAUUAAAGGUUAUCAUAAAAAGAAAAUGUUGGGAUCUUGAUUGAGCUCUUGAAAUUUGGAAGGGAAAGUAAAUUCCUCAUAGGAUUGAUGUUGUGACUGCAAUUUACUGUAGGUGUGAAAUUGAAGAUGUUGUUUGAGGACGAGGAACCUCUUCAAAGAGGCCACAUAAAAAAUUACCAUUUAAUGGUGAUAACUGAAUAUUUAUAUUUGUUAUAGUUUUUUUCUUAUUUAACGGAUUUAUUGAAAGAAACCAAGAAAAAAAAAUGGUAUCAUGAAUGGGAUGAACAUGUAUCUACCAUGUGAACAUAAUGGAUAUUUACUAGAGAGAUUGAAACUAUGGUAACAAAACAUUAGAUUAGUCUAAAAACAACAUGAUAUUUUGUUUCAAACUGACAUCUAAUAGUUAUGCAUGUCUCAAAUGUAUAAAUACAUACAAGCAUAUAUUAGCUAUUCAACGUUGGCUUCCGGUUCAUUAAGGAUUUAAUACAAAUCAUCGACAAAUAUAUAUGAAAUCUUCUUGAUUUAGCACAUUUUUAUCCAUUUUGGUGUUAAAACUUAUAUGUUGCAGUCUAUUUGAGCCUAAUAUGCAAUUAUUGUAUUUUUAUUAAGUUUUCAUUUGUGCUUGCAUCUUUUGUAACAAAGUUAAAAUUCCAGACCUUAAUUUUUAGAUAAAUACACUAACAGAAAAAUAUCCUUUAAUGACAAGAAUUGCAUGUCAUAGAAGGAUACAUAUGACACGCAAAUGCGUGUCAAUGAAGGGCCUAUCAUGAAGGAAGACGACACGCAUUUAUGUGUCGUAACCUUACGACGCACAUUUACGACAUGCAAACCCGACCCGAUACCUGAAUUUAAUUUGGGUCGGGUAACGGGUAUUUUUUUUAACAUGAAAAACCUGAAUUACCCGACCCAAAUUACCCGAAGCCCGAAAAAAUUACCCGAUCAACACCCCUAGACAAAAUAACCAUGGACUUUAUCCAGGGGUUACUCAAGUUCGAUGGAUAUGAUACCAUUUGGGUUGUGGUUGACCGACUUGGUAAGUAUACUCAUUUUAUUCCCCUCAAGCAUCCUUUCUCAGCAUCCACAGUUGCCAAAAGCUUCAUCAAGGAAAUCGCCCACCUCUACGGUUUUCCUCUAUAUAUAAUCAAUGAUUGAGAUCGUAAUUUUUUGUCACUGUUAAGUGGAGCUGUUUAAAUCACAUAGAGUGCAUCUCAAAAGAAGCACGACCUAUCACACACAAACAGAUGGUUAGAAGUGGUGAACCGACGUAUUUUUUAUGAAGAAACCAAAAAAAUGGGCUCGCUGACUUUUUUGGGCAGAAUUUUGGUAUAAUUCAUCCUUACAUACGGCCACCAAAUGCACCCCGCUUUGAGCCUUUUACGGUAGGAUUCACCCCCAUCAUCCGUUACGAAGGGCAAUAUCCUCGGUGGACGCAAUUGAUCAAUUGCUAUAAGACAUGGAUGCUAUUUUGGAUUGAGUUGUGCAUUUGUUGUGGACCCAACAAAAAAAUGCAAAACCAAGCUUAAAAGAAGACAAGGUAAGUGGAGUAUCAAGAAAGGGACUUGGUUUAGGUGAAAUUGAAACCGUAUCGACAACAAAGCUUGGGACGAAGAAAAUAUGAGAAAUUAGUCGCCCGUUACUAUGGCCCCUAUAGGAUUAGCAAGAGGGUUGGAAAGGUAGCUUACACCCUUGAAUUACCCCCGACAACUCUCAUCCACGCUUGAAAUAAAUAAUUUAUUAAUGUAUUAUGAGGUUACUAUAUUAAUUAUAAAUAGUAUUAUUUAAUUAAUAAUUAAUCAAAAAUUAAUUGGAAUUAAUUUUGGGAUUAAUUUGAUUAAUUAAAAGUAUAGGGAUUAAAUGUGACAAUAUUCAAAAGUUGUGCAUUGAAUAAUUCCAGAACCUUCCCAAAGAGGGGAUGGUUUUGGAGGAGGUUCCUUGGGCUUCUUGGAAGCCUUAGGAAGCCUUAGCGAGCAAAAAAAGGAUAAGGGUUAUCCAAGGAAAUCUGUCUUAUUCUGACUCCUUACUCGCACAUAUAAACCCCUCAUGGGAUUCAUAUUUUCGGCACUCCAUCUCUAAGAGCCUUAGAGCCAAAAUUGAUGCCCCUCUCCUUUCUCCUCUAAAGUCUUCUAUUGGUUUGGGUACAUACCAUUUGAGGCACAAUAUUUCUGGGGCUGGUUUUCUGAAGUUUGUUAAAGAAGGAAUUGUUGAUUAUUUCUUAGGUAUGUAAACCCUAAAACUCUUUAUGAAUUUUGAAAAGAGUAGAUCACUCCUAGGGUUCUUGAUGUUCAAUUGUUUGUUGCAAAUCAAUAGUGAAAACAUAGAUCAAUUAGGUUACUUGUGAACUUAGGGCUAAGUUUUUUCUGCCACAUCUUUUUUUUUUUUGUAACCUAUAAAAGGUAACAAAGAUAAGAUAGCUUCUCCCCCAAAAUUUAAGAGGUAAACUAGAUUGAAAGAUCAAGGAUCUAUGUAACAGCCCGGAAUUUCAGGUAUUGUUAUAUUUGUGAUUUUGGGUGUUUUAAGAGGGGACUCGGCGAGUUGGAGCCCAGACUCGCCGAGUAGGAUCGCGGAUCUGGUCGCAGGUUCGCGACUGGACUCGACGAGUCCGGAUAUGGACUCGGCGAGUCUGCGCUGUUUAGCGAAAACCCUAACCGUUCAGGUUUGGGACGUAUAUGAGGGACCUUAUGGCCGUCAUUGUUCACCCUAGUCCUCUGAGAGAAACCCUAAUUCGAUUGUGAGCAUCUGGAGCAAGGUAGAAGACCAUUGUUGAUUUUGGAAGUGUUGUUUUGCAAGGAAGAGGAGGCUUGGUUAAGGGAACAACAAGGGAAGCCACGUUCUGAGGAUUGGGGACACAGAGAGCACGUUAUUCAGGUAAUAUUUCGAGUUGCAUUCUUCUAUGUUGAUGUGUAUAUGGAUUUAGGGUUUAUUGAACCCUUUUGUGGCUAGAUUGAGUGUUACCUUAGUCCCCCAAACGAUUGGAACCCUGUAUUGGGAUCUUUGGAAGUCCAGAAUGUCCCAUGCCUGAGCAUUUCGUGAAUCAAUGGAGGUUUUGGAUUGGAAUCCUUAUGCCUUAGGUCAAAAUGUAAAUUAUGAGUCAUGGGGUGUAUUAUGAGCACCGAAAUGAGGACCUUACGUGAUGAAUCAGUCUAGGAAGGCCAGACCUAUGAAUGGUCGGAGCAGUUCUGACCUUAGAAAGCAGUUUGAGCGGUUGCAUGGCAUGGACUCGCCGAGUCCGAUGAACAGACUCGGCGAGUAGCUUGAAGAUUAACUGGGACUCGUCGAGUUGUUCUUCAGACUCGGCGAGUUGAGUCGGGGUGGCCCCGCGAUUCUUCCAGGAGAAACUCGUCGAGUCAAGGAGGAUACUCGACGAGUAGAAAGGGAAUCUUAGAGAAUUGGUGAGGACGUCUAGACUCGCCGAGUCGCCCUAGCACUCGCCGAGUCCGGUCAAGUUGACCGUUGACCGUUGACCGGUGUUGACCUAUGUCUGACUUCUUAGGGAUAGUCAAACUUAGAAGAUAAAAGUGUUAAUAAGAGAUGUAUGAUGUUAUAGGGAGAUUGUAGCUCGGCGGAUCGAGUACGAGUGACUUCGGGAUUUGCUAGCUUUCGACAUUCACGAGGUGAGUCUUCUCACUAUACUGUACCCGGAAGGGUUUGACUGUGUGACCGGAAGGUCGGAUAUGAUAUGAGAUAUAUGUGCUAUAUGUGAUAAGUUAAUUGUUAUACGUGCUAUGUAUGUUAUGUGGGCCGGAAGGCAUUAUGUUAUGGGCCGGAAGGCGAUUAUGUUAUGGGCCGGAAGGCGUUGUGUUGUGGACCGGAAGGUCGGCGUGGGUAGGACCGGAAGGUUUACCCAGCAGGGACGGAAGUCCCCUGAGACACAUGGACCGGAAGGUCAGGGCCUGGAAAGGCGUAUGUGCGUAAGUUGUAUAUUGGGGAACUCACUAAGCAUUUAUGCUUACAGUUGUUAUGUAUGUGUUUCAGGUACUAGCGAGGACCGUGGGAAGGCGCCGGCGUGAUCUGUACACACUGAAAGAUGUUUUGUGAUCUUGGGAUUUAGAUGAUUUGUAUUUUGACAUGACACUUGAAAUGUUUAUGCCUUGUUUUGAAUGAAAAUACUAUAAUUUGAAAUGAAAAUUUUGUUUGAAAAUUUACGGUGUUACAAUCUAGCAACAUUUAAAAUAUGCCUAUGUUUUCUAUCCACAACACCAUUCCAUUGUGAAGUGUGAACACAGGAUGUUUGAUGAAGAAUUUCUUUAGUUUCAAACAAAGAUCUCAUUUUAUUAUUUAAAAAUUAUGUCCUAUUAUCAGAUCUUACCGUUUUAAUUUUUACUUCAAAUUGAUUAAAAAGAAUAUUAAAGAAGACACAAAUACAAUCAUAAAUUUCAUCCUUAGACUUUAACACAUAAACCCAAGUAGCCCUUGUUAAGUCAUCCACAAUAGGCAAAAAAAAUAUCUAAAUCCUUCUCACAUAGUAACUCUAUAAGGACUCCAUACAUCACGGUGGAUUAACUAACCAAGUUUAGUAGUGACAUGUUGACUGGUGGGAAAUGACUCCCUAGUUUGUUUGGCUUUGUGACAUAUGUCACGAUGAAGAACAUCAUUCCCAAACUUAAGUUUGUUUAUUGAAGAAAUUAAAGCUUGAUCACAGGGAUGACCAAGCCUAUUAUGUCAGGUAAGUUUAGAGACACAACAAACAGAAAAAUUGGACACUUUAGAAUUGUUACCUAGAGGUACAUUAUCCAUAUAAUAGGGACCUCCAGACUAUCUACCAGUCCCUACCAUAUCCUUGGACUGUAAAUCCUAAAUUUUACAUGUAUGUUCAUUAUGGACAUAUAACAAGUUGACAUUAAAAUCAGGAACAUCGAAGACAUUAAAUAAGGUCAAGGAAUUAGAUACUUUCAAAUAUCCAAUUUUUUCAAUUUUAGUAGAAGUUCUAUUAGGAUGACUAACAAGAAGAUCUAGUUUAGAUACAUCCACAGUAUCAUGAAGAAGAGAUUCAGAGGAAUUAAAAGCCUUAACUAAGCAAGUAUUAUAUUAGCACUAGCAUAUGCUUCCUCAUUAGUUUGUUUAUCAUUAAUAAGUUGCAAAAAUCUAACAUACUAAUCCUUAGUGAGAUGAUGAUAUUCAAAAUCUCUAGAGACACAGGCAAACUAGAAGAACCAGACAUUCAAAAGAGGUAGUAGAAGAAUUCACAGAAUAAUUUCUAUUUGAAUUGUUAUUAGAUUCAUGUCUUGGUUUAAAAUCCUUAGGAUAUACAAUUAUUUUAUACCAAUUUUCAAUUGGAUGUCCUUUAAGACCACAAUUUUUACAUUGACCAACUUGAUUCUUACUCUUAUUAGAAUUAGUGGAAUUAAACUUAUUAUUAAAUCUGCUAGUAAAAGAAGAAGAUUGAGAUUUACACAAAGACUAAGAAGAUUGAGGAGUAGAUAAAGAACCAUUCUUUUGAAGAGACUUUUCCCUAGAUACUAUAGAUAAGGCGGUUUUCACAUUGGGUAAAGGAUCCAUAAGAAGAAUAUGACUCUUAACUUAACUAUAAGACUCAUCAAGACCACUUAGAUUUAUUAUAAGUUUCAAAAAGGUUUUUCCAAAUGUCCUCAGCCAUUAGAUUUAUUAUAAGUUUGAGUGAAUUAAUUUGCUGAUGAAUGUUGAAAACAACAGACCCAUUAGAUUUAUUAUAAGUUUCAAAAAGGUUUUUCCAAAUGUCCUCAGCCACUUCUGAAUAAACAUGACUAGCAUAGACGGAAUCAUAAAUGGGGGAAAGAAGCCAAGAACAUACAACAACAUUAGCCCUUUCCCAUUUUAAUUGUCUAGGUUGUUCAACGUUACCUUUUUUAAGAGUUUCAUCAACAAAUCCUAACUUAUUCCUAGCCUUAAGAGCUCUAGACAUAGACCUUCUCCACAACCUAAAGUUCUCAUUUCCAGUCAACUUUAUUGUAACAAUAGUUGUGACAAUAUUAGUCAACUUUAAUGUAACAAUAGUUAUGACAAUAUUAUCUGAAGGAUGAAUGUAGAGAGGAUUAUCAAAAUUAGUUGAAAUAUCCUUUCCAUUUCCUCCAUGAGUAUAAGUAGGGUCAUCCAUAGAAAUAGAUAAGACACAAACAACAAACACAUACAACUAUGACAACCAAAGUCCAGAAGGUCACCACGGUAUGUUAGGGCCCAAGAUAGUUGUCACAAUCAAAACAAGAACAAACGAUAGCAAGAAGGCAAACAUAUAACAAGAAGAGAUUGCAAUUAAUUGGUGUAUUCAAGACAACCAUAAACUCCUACAACCAAACUCAGAAAAAGAAUAAAAGAGAACAAGAAAACCUCAUAGAGGUCCAGAAGUUACUUUUGAUGUGCAGAGAUGACAAAUCGCCUCUCCUAAGGUUUCAUCCCAAUAGAGUUAUUUCAUAUACAAGGUCGAUAUGUUCUCAACAAUGAGUUAAUCAAAACCUAGAUCCGUUCUCUUAGAGGAUUAAUCAACAUCUAAUAAGAGAUUGAGCGAUUUUUGGAUAUAAAGAAGAUACGACGAGAACACUAGGAUGUGAAGGAUCUGCACCGAUCUGCAAAUCAAAACACAAAAAAAUCAUAGUACCAAAGAACUGGAAACGAAACCAAACUUAACAAGAAGUGAUCUCGUGAAAACCGAUCGACACAAAAGGAUGAUCAACAGAGAUCAACAGCGAAACCCAAGAUCUGACACUACAAGUGUCAAAUCUAUAAGGAAUGGAUAAAUAAGAAGCGAAAACAAGACAAGAACACGAACACAAACUUGAAACGAAACUCUUCGUAGGUCGUUGUAGACUUUAAUCGGAGCAACAAUUAAUCUAAUACCAUCUAAGAAAAGUAAAAACUCAAGAACUUCCCAACAUGAAUAGUUUAUUUAGUUCGUUUGUACAUCAAUACUUACAAAAGAAAUCCUCGCUACAUAACACUCACACUCUAAUGUAUACACAAAAUGAUUUUACUAUAAAGGGAAACGGCAGAACAAACCCUAGAUAAUACAGAAAACCCUAAUCAAGAGUUAGAGAGAAAAGAGAGAGCAAUCUACAAAAUGUAUCUAAUGAUUGAGACGAAGACCAACAAGCAUAUAUACCCGGGUCAUGAAAAUGACUCGAUCGAUGAACCCACAUUUGCAAUAAGAAAUUUACACAACCCCUGCACAAUAACAUCAAUAUAAAAAUAGACCAAACUAACCAGAAAUUAUAUAUAAAAAUGUUAAGUUUGAUAUAUAUAUAUAUAUAUAUAUAUAUANNNNNNNNNNNNNNNNNNNNNNNNNNNNCUACGUAUCCAUCGGUAAAGGGAACCAUCAACAAUGGCCUACCAAUUGAUUAACGAUUUAAUACAGAUCAUUAACAAACAUGUAUGAAAUCUUGCUAAAUUAGCAACUUCUUACCUAUUUCGGUGUUAACACUUAUAUGUUGAAGUGUAUUUGAGCCCAAUAUGCAAUUAUUAUAUUUUGUUUAUGUUUUCAUUUUUGCUUGCAUCUUCCGUAACAAACUUAAAAUUCCAAACUUUAAUUUUAACAUAAAUAGUACUUUUUUAUAUUUUUAGUACAACUUACACCUGAAGUUAUCGUGAAGUCUUUCCUUGUAGCCACUCUGCAACAAGGAGCUCAUGCUUUGUCUCUAUAGCGACAAUGAGGUCAAAAGGAAAGACUCCUCAACUAACAAUCUCGUCAACAAACAUAUAUGAAAUCUCGCUAAAUUAACAACUUUUUACCCAUUUUGGUGUUAUAUUGAUGAUAAAACUAAAUGCAAAUACCCCAAACAUCUUCCUUUUCAUUUAGUUUCAUUACCAAAUUCGUCCAUUUUAUCUAAAUUUUUGGUUUCCCUCUCCCUCCAUGGUUUCCCCUUUAAAUGAAAGCAUCACUUGUACGGAAUAGGAGAUUUAUAAGAAAUGGAUCAAACUCAACUCUAUGUACAUUGAAGAAAGAAAUAUGGGAAGAAGACCUAUAAUCUAUUUUUCGAGAUUAUUUAUUCUUGGUUCAUUACUCUAUCCAGUAUUAUAUUAUGUACAAUUAUAUUUCUUAACAAUCACAUUCUUAACGUUAAUUAAAAGUUGUCAUAUAAAGAAAAAGUUGGGAUCUUGAUUGAGUUCUUGAAAUUUGGCAGGGCAAGUAAAUUCAUCAUAGGCUUGAACAAGUACAUAGAUGUUGUGAAUACAAUUUACUGUAGGUGUGAAAUUGAAGAUGACGUUUGAGGACGAAGACGCUCCUUAAAGAGGGUAACUAAGAAAUUUACUGUUAUCAUCAGUCUUUUUGAGUUUGCAAAUAUGUUACAAUCCCAAAAGGAAUUUUAUAGGGAUAAUUGAAAUAUUUAUAUAUCCGUUAUAGUUUUUUUUUUUUUCUUAAAUUUAACGGAUUUGUUAAAAGAUACCAAGAAAAAAAAUGGUAUCUUGAACGGGAUGAAUAUGUAUCUACCAUGUGAGUGUAAUGGAUAUCUAUAGGGGAGAUUGAAACUAUCGUAACAAAAUAUUAGAUUAGUCUGAAAAAACAACAUGAUAUUUAGUGUCAAACCGACAUUUAAUAGUUAUGCAUGUCUCAAAUCUAUAAAUACGUACAAAUAGAUAUUGGCUAGGGUUCCGAACUGGAGCACCAAUUCAAAAUCAUCAUGGGGGUAAUUCGUUGCCUACUUCUGAUGUUAUGCCAUUUCCAAUGAAAUCGAAUCUCGCCUUCCAGCGAAAGACGAGCGUUGAUCGUUGAUUGACUGAAGCACAAAUAGCAGAAAAGAAAACUCGAGGUCUUUGCUUCAAAUGUUAUGAAAAUGGCAACCAGGUCAUCACUGUAAAACACAAGUCAAUGUGAUUUUUGUUAAUAAAGAGGAGAUGAAACUUUGUGAGGAGCAGAAGCAAGACUUUACACCCAAUGAAGGAGUUACAUUGGAAACUUUAGAAAUUGACCACCCAAUUGAGGUAUCUCUAAACUCUGUAGCAGGGCUCCCGUCCCUACAAACGAUGAAACUGCAAGAAAACAUCGUGAAUCAACUAGUGGUGGCCAUGAUUGAUCUCGAGGCCACCCAUAAUUUUAUUGCUAGAAGUUUGGUAUGGGGUUCGAAUGGGUAAUGGGGACAAUAAAGCAAGGAGGGGAGUAUGUAAGGGGGUGUUAUUGUAAAUAAAACAAAUCGACAUUAUCGAAGAGUUCUUACCCCUCCGAUUCGGAAGAUCCAACAUAAUCAGGGACGAACGGGACCUUAGGUACCACUCAAACCAAUUGGAAGGAUCAGACAAUGGAGUUCGACAUUGGAGGAAGGCGAGUCAAAUUGAAAGGAGACUCGUUUUGAAAGGAGACCCGACUUUGGGCAAGUCCCUGGUAUCCUUAAAAAAACUUGGAGAGAGAAUUACAUCAAAUAUGGGUUAAGGCGGAAGACAUACCCAAUACGACUUUUUGAUAUUACGAGUUCAAGGUGAUUCCCUUUGGCCCUACCAACGCCCCUGCUACUUUCCAAGCCUUAUUCAAUGAAAUAUUUCGGCCAUAUUUGCGGGAGCUCGUCCUUGUUUUCUUUGAUGACAUAUUGGUCUAUGAUGCUAGUAAAGAAAUGCAUCAAAGACAUCUCACAAUGGCGUAAGAAUGGUUACCAUAAAAUCAACCCUAUCUCAAAUUAAAGAAGUGUGAAUUUGGACAAUCAUGUCUAUCAUACCUUCGUCAUGAGAUUUCAAAUAAUGGGGUCUCGACGGAGACCAUCAAGAUUCAAGCCGUGUUAGAUUGGCCCGUACCACGAAACAUCAAGAGCUUAUGAGGUUUUUUUGGGACUAACGGGGUACCAUCAGAUGUUAUGCUAGCAUAGCCACACCUCUCACGGAGCAACUUAAAAAAAUACAAAUUUGGAUGGAACAAGGUUGUCGAAAAAGUCUUCAGCAACCGAAGACAACAUGACAAUCAUGUUGUUUUUAGCAAUGUCGGAGACGGAGAAACCCUUCGUGGUUGAAACCGACACGUCGAGGUACGAACUUGGGGCGGUUCUAAUCCAAUAUAAUAGGUCAAUAGCUUAUUAUAGUUGCACUUUGGGAACCAUAGGCCGAUCAAAACCUAUUUAUGAAAAAGAGUUUAUAGCCAUUGUUAAAGCCGUAUUGAAGUGGAGGCAUUACAUAAUGGGAAGAAGAUUCAUCGUUCGAACGGAUCAACUUAGUCUCAAGUACACGUGUUAUAGGUCACAAUUAUCAAAAAUGGGUGUGUUGAAGCUAAUAGGGUUUACUUUUGAAAUUUAAUAUUGAUCCGGAGCUACUAGGGGUGUUCGUUUGCAUGGAUCGGUUCAAUCCGAUUCAAUCAAGUGAAUCCAAAUUAAUUUCGGUUUUUAAAACAUAGAUCCAAAUAGUCCAAACUAAAUUCAAAUUCAAUCUGAUCCAAUCGAAUUACAAUUCGAUUGGAUCGAUUUUUAUAAUUCGGUUUUCAAAAUUUGGAAUAAUUUUUUUAAAAGCACAUAUAAUUAGAAUACUACCCAACUUUAUAAAAGAAAAAAAAAACAAAUAUCUUAUUUGUGGUUUAAAGUUACGAACAACUACUAAAAAUAUAUUAAAGCUUAAUAUUUUAUAAAUAAAAACUAUUUUUAGAAAAUACAUAUUAAGAUUUUUUAUUAAGUGAAAUUUCUUGAAAAAAAAGUAAAAAAAAUAAUAAAUAAUUAUAGAUAUAUAUUCAAAAUAAAUAAAUAACAAAUUUUUAUUUGGUUUUUUUGGAGUAUUCGGUUCUUAUUUUAUAAACCAAAAUCAAUCUGAAAUCCAAAAUAAUAAUUCGGUUUUGUUGAAACUCAAUCAAAAAAUCUGAAUAUCCGAACCAAAGAGUCUAAUCCAAAUUAUCAAAUUGGAAAAUUCGGUUUUAUCCAAAUAAUCCACAAUUCUCUGAUCAUACGGGCAAGAAAAAGACUUACCAAAUAACAGCGGUAUGGGUUUCUUGGCCAAGAAUGCAAGUCGACAUCAUCGAAUAUAUCAGAAACGUGUCAGAGAAACAAAACCCUCGCAUCGACUCCAAUCGGGUUACUUUAAGCAAUACCUCUUUCGGCCCAAACAUUGGACAAAAUUAGCCCUGUCGAAAAUACUCGAUACUCGAAUUACCCGCUUGAUUUUUUCGGAUAAUCGAGUAACCCGAUUUUUUCAAGUCAGGUAAAGGGUACGUUUGUUGGGUUUCGGGUAUACCCGAAUUAUUUUAAAAUUUCUUUUUUUUCAUAGAGCUUGUACUCUGUAGCAGGUAUUUAAUCACGCUUAAACUAACUAUCAUUAUUGUAAAACAUGAAUCUCUUUUAUUAUGACAAUAUGACACUAGCAAUAUUAAAAGUAAUUGUUUACAUAUAAUCAUGUUCUUUAAAACUUAACAAUUUUCUAGAUUAUAGUUUUUUAUUGCAACUAACAAACUCAUUAUCUUGACGAAACUUCAGAACAUGGCAAAAAUUAUGGCUACAAUUAUUUUAAACAUUUUAAACUUUUAAAUUAAAAUCUUUAAGUAUUUGUUUUUUAACAUUUUAUUAGAUUAGAUUAAGUUGUUAAAAAAUUACUUGAUAUCUCAGGUAAUAUUGACUAAAAAAUCUCAAUAUUCAAAGCUUGAGUAACUUCAUUUAUGGCUCGUUUAUUUAUAUAAACAAGACUAGUAAAGCACGACAUAUUUAUUUCAUUAAAUUUAUUUUCAGGUGAAAUUCAAAAAAAAACAUUAUAUAUUUCGGAUAAUACCCGAAUUUAAUUUGGGUCAGGUUACGAGUAUUUUUUAACAUGAAAAACCUGAAUUACCCGACCCAAAUUACCCGAAACCCGAAAAAAUUACCCGAUCAACACCCCUAGACAAAAUAACCAUGGACUUUAUCAAGGGGUUACUCAAGUUCGAUGGAUAGGAUACCAUUUGGGUUGUGGUUGACCAACUUGGUAAGUAUACUCAUUUUAGUCUGGAGUUGCCAACAGCUUCAUCAAGGAAAUCGCCCGCCUCUACGGUUUUCCUCUAUAUAUAAUCAAUGAUUGAGAUCGUAAUUUUUUGUCACUUUUAAGUGGAGCUGUUUAAAUCACAUAGAGUGCAUCUCAAAAGAAGCACGACCUAUCACACACAAACAGAUGGUUAGAAGUGGUGAACCGACGUAUUUUUUAUGAAGAAACCAAAAAAUGGGCUCGCUGACUUUUUUGGGCAGAAUUUUGGUAUAAUUCAUCCUUACAUACGGCCACCAAAUGCACCCCGCUUUGAGCCUUUUACGGUAGGAUUCACCCCCAUCAUCCUUUACGAAGGGCAAUAUCCUCGGUGGACGCAAUUGAUCAAUUGCUAUAAGACAUGGAUGCUAUUUUGGAUUGAGUUGUGCAUUUGUUGUGGACCCAACAAAAAAUGCAAAACCAAGCUUAAAAGAAGACAAGGGAAGUAGAGUAUCAAGAAAGGGACUUUGUUUAGGUGAAAUUGAAACCGUAUCGACAACAAAGCUUGGGACGAAGAAAAUAUGAGAAAUUAGCCGCCCGUUACUACGGCCCCUAUAGGAUUAGCAAGAGGGUUGGAAAGGUAGCUUACACCCUUGAAUUACCCCCGACAACUCUCAUCCACCCUACAUUUCACGUGUCACAAUUGCAAACCGCAUAUAGGUCCCAGUAAACCCACGUAUCUUCCUCCUCAACUAAAUAUAGACCUUGAAUUACUUGUCCAACGAACGGCUCUACAAGGAGUAAGACCAAAGAAUGGGAGCAACUUCGGUGAAAAAGAAGUAUCGAUGCGUUGGCAAGGACUAACAGAAGCUGAUGGAAAGAAUGAAAUUGCAAUUCCCGACUUUUCACCUUGAGGAAAAGGUGAAAGUUUGGGUCGCCGGUAAUGAUAAACCCCCCGUUAUUCAUGUCUACAAGAGGAAGUUUGGAAGGCCCAAGAAAGACCCAACAAAGUAAUUAUUUCCGAGCCCAUCUCUCUUUUUGCUGAUUGGACCAGAUUGCCCCUAUGAAUAACUUGGUUUGUCGUGUGUGAUUGGUAAAAACCCUUACGGUUGUGCUCCUCCCAUUUUUAGGUGUGUAGCAGGAAACACACUUUUUGGUAUGGUCUGCUGAGUUGGCAUAAAAGUUGAGUAUCCAAAGGAUUGAAAUGAUUAAUCUUUAAGCUGCCUUUUGUGUUCAUUCUACUAUUCCAUUACUUUGAGAUUGACCGAGUGUAAGCAAGUCCAUAUCAACAAGUUGUAAUCUUUCUUAUGCUUUCAUAUAAUUGCAAUUUGCUCUAUUUAUUAUCAUUCAUGCUAGAUAUGACUAUCAUAAUUAUAAUGCACUCAGGCAUGGAAUGUGUAUGGGGUUCUAAAAUUCUUGCAAGCAUUGAUCGAGAAAUCUUCAAUCAUUCAGAUAUUAGAGCAGGAAAAAGGAGUUGAACAGCUUACAAGUUACAACUACAGAUGGAUAUGAUGAUAAUGGUGGAAGUAGUGUCCUAAAAGUAGUACGGGGUUACUUCAACAUGGUUGAGUUGAAUUCUGAUUUCCCAAAAUUUCCUGAAGUGAUGCUCAAACCUUUUACUGAGUGGUACAUUAGAGAAGCUAGUGUGAUGAUUCUUGAAAGAAACCUUGCACAUGUAGUAUUUUGAUUAUCAAACAUUGAAAUGUGAGUUAUAGAAUUGAAAGCUUCAUAGUAUUUCACCUGAAUCUAGCAAAGGUUAUCACAUAAAUGAUCAUAACAAACAAAAGCCCGAUGCUAAAUCAUAAUAAUAGAAGAAUAAGGCACAAACUACUGAUGCAUACCUUUUUUUCUGAGCAGAUGCACAUGCAGCAAAAGAUGGUCAAAAUAUGAUCUUUCUGGCCCAUUCUUGUAGACAAAAUAAGAGGACUUCUCCAUUGCACAACUUUUUUUUUCAAAUACAACAUCAUAUUCAACUUUUGUCCCUGGUCAUAUUCCAUUCAACAUCAGAAUCAUCACUAGGUUCAGAGAUUCCUGUAAAGAUAUCAUCAGUAAUAUCAUCUAUGUAGAUUCGUGGCCCCAAAUCCUUCUUCACAAAAGUAUUCUUCUUUGGGGCUUCCCUACUAUUAAAAUGGUUCUGAACAUUACUUGAGGCGUCAUGGAGAGGUGAAAAAGGUGUCCACUUUGAGUUCGUUCUAGCUGUUUUUGGCAGAUGUGAGAUUGAAACCCCUAAAGGGUAGUAUCCCCAACAAUAGAAAUAGUCUUCCUGGCCUUCUGCCAUUAAUGGUGGGGAGGAAAUACCUACAGCCUGAAAUGCCCUUUUACAGUUGUCACAACGGAUGGUGCACUCUGCAUAGAUCCUUUGAUACUCAUACAUGUAGAAACAGUAAGGACAUGCAGUCCAAAAUGUAGGCGACUCAUCCAUAUUCACAGCUUCUGUUUCUGUUUCCUUCUUCUUUACACCAUUGUCACUAUUAACCUGAUUAGGAGAGUGAACAGGACCAGCAUUUUGUUCUACCCAUGCUUCUUGUUGUUGGGGCUGCAAUGGAGGUUGCUGUUUCUGGUGUGGCUGCUGUGGCUGUGACAGAGAUGGUGCUUGUGGCCAAGAUAACGGAGGUUGUGGUGGUGCUGCAGGAGGCGGAGUUAUGGAUUGCAUAGAUGGCUGCGGCUGAGGAGAUUGUGGUGGAUUUUGUUGAUACGGUGUAGACAUGACUUCUAAAGGUUCAACCUGUGGCUGAAACAAUUGCUCCUGCUCAUGAUGCUGAAACAAUUGCUCAUCCUCCUCGUGAACAGGUGCAGAUUGAUUUCGUGACAGAAAAUUAUGCUGCUGCGAUUCCUGCUGUUGAUGAGUGCGUUGUACCCUAGUUUGAAACGUCUGCUCUUGCUCCGGCGAUUUCUGCUGAUGAUCCGACCCCAUAUAGUCAAUCGAAAAAAAAUUGUGUUGUUCUUGCUGCUGCUGCUGCUGUUCCUCGAGGUUAAACCCUAUAGUGUUCAUCUGCAGUUGCGGCGGAAAAUCAAGCUCCGAAUCAUACAUAGAUUUCCUCAUAGGGUUCGACAACACGGACCAAGCUUCGUUAACAAUCUGAAACGCUUGAUCGGAGAAAGGGAACCGAUUUUGAUGAGGGUUGAGGAUGAAGGCGAGCCGUUGGUACUGGGAGGCGAUGUGGUCCGUGUCCUGAACAAACCGGACCAGUUGAAGGAUCCCGUAAAAAUCCGGCUGCUGCACGCCAUUAUUUCCGACGACCUGUUUCUCGGCAGCGAUGAGCGUAUCAACAACUGCUAGGAUCUGAUCAGCAGCUUCAAGUCUGGGGUCAGACUCUCGUGCUCGGAUCGCAAAUGUCUUGGAGCCGACUAGGUCGUGGCUCAUAAGCAGUUUCUCGGCGAUACCGAGCCACCGUUGCGCCUCCGCCCGUGCUAUGAAGAUAUGGGGAUCCAUAGUUUCUACCCGGAUCAAAGUGCUUGUCUAUCUAAAAAUCAAACCACACUCUGAAAGUGCUCAUUUAGGCCGUUGGUGGGGGGUAAGACAAAAGUUGUAAAGGGUGGCCUCAAAUGGGUGGGGGUAGCAUCUUUUUAUAGAGAUCUUUUUAUAGAAGAAGAUGUGAUGGUUUGAUUAAAACAAAAUGUUAAGUACGAACGAUUAAAUAAAAAAUUUAUUUGAAUUUGAAAUUGAAAUAAGUGAAAAUUAUCAGAAAAAAAAACAUGUAAAAAAUAAAUAAAUUAAAAUUAUGUGUUUAGUGUGUACUAAACGGGUUAAUUAUAAAAAAAUGUUAAACUUAAAGGUUUAAACUGUAAAUUUAUUUGAAAUUGAAUUUGAAAUUUAAAAUUUGAAAUUAAUAGUCAUUAUGGUAGGUUUAAUUUAUGGAAACUAAAUUAAUGAUAUAUUGAAAAUGAAAAUUAAAGUAAUGACAAGUGGAAAAUAAAUAUAUCUCAAAUUAUGACAAAAUGAUAUGUGGCUAAUUUUAUGAGAGAAUGACAUGUGGCAAAGUCAUUUUCAUUUAUUAUGGUAGAUAUGAUAUAUGAUAUUUCAUUUAAGAAAUUGGUUGCAAUUAUUAUAUUAUGAAAUUUUCAUAAAAGUACUUAAAUUUAAUAGACUAAAUUACUGAAAUGGUCCCUAUGGUUUGGUCAAAAUUACACGUUUGGUCCCUAACUUUUUUUUUGCACUCGGAUCGUCCCUGUGGUUUGAUUUUGUUGCGUUUUUCGUCCUUAUGGUUUGGUCAAAAUUGCACGUUUUGGUCCCUAACUUUAUGUAUGUAAGGGACGAAAAACGCAACAAAACCAAACCACAGAGACGAUCCGAGUGCAAAAAAAAGUUAGGGACCAAACGUGUAAUUUUGACCAAACCAUAGGGACCAUUUCAGUAAUUUACUCAAUUUAAUAAAAGUUAAUGUUUAAGUUUUACUUUUUUAUUAAUAUAAAAACUCAAGAAAUCAGUUAAUUUUUUCAUUUUAGUCGAUUAUGACAUUUUCAACAUGUUGAUUGCGGAGGUGGAUUGUCAAGCUUUGGGGAGUGGCUCGCGCUACCCAGAUCGCCAAGGCACACUAGAGGAACUAAACACCGCCCUCUGGCUUGGCUUGUGCAAGGGAGCUCAUCGGAAUGAACUCGUCAGGCCGAGAGAGAGAGAGAGAGAGAGAGAGAGAGCUUUUGUUUGGUGGUUGGCAUUUGACUAGGAAUAAACACAAUUUUGACCAACUUUAUUAUUAUUAAUAAUAAUAAUAAUAAUAAUAAUAAUAAUAAUAAUAAUCAACAAUUUUGUAUUAGAAAAAAAAAAAAGAGCCGUUGUUUUUUCAAAAUUUCAAAUUUUGAGCAUCUCUUCCAACCACUAUAAAUGGACACUUAAACCUCAACAUUUCACCACACACAAUACCAUUCUUUUCUGUCAAAAAAACUUCUCAAUUUACCAAAAUCAAUGUCUUGACCUAGCCAAACCAAAACGCCAAGGAGAAACAAUAAAUAAAUAAUCAACCCUAACAACACAUCUUCACCAAAUUUUUCAUCACCGACUUGUUAUCAACAUUCACUCAAUCAAACCAUCCACUACCCGCUAGUUAUUAUUAUUCGAUUAUCGCUUCACGGUUGUAUCCAUUCCAUUCAUACUCUUCUCGAUUCCAAUCUCAACCCAUACCAUUUUUCCAAUCCCAGCCCCAAACAAAUUUUCAAUCCCAACCCUUACCCGAUCCAAAUCUAGAACUUGAUAUGUUUGAUUCGGUACAAAAAAAAAAACCCAAUUCGUUUCCCAACCCUUACCCCACACAAAUUUCCAAUCUGAACCCCACCGCCUAGUCGAUGAGUCUACCGAUUGUCUCGAUGGAUUGUCUCGAUGGAGGAGAUUUUCAACAUGUUCAAGAAACCGAAGUUGACCCAAAGGAAAAAUAAAUAAAUAAAUAAAUAAAAACAAGGACAAAAUGCCAAGGAUAGACAGAUAAAGAAAAGAAGGCAUUGGCACAAGCAUGACUAGAUGUAAGGGAGGAUCCCGCGACGGGAGACUACCAAAGUGGCCCAACUUUUAAAUUUAGAGUUUGGAAAGGGUUUUGUACCCAAAUGAAUAAGGAGGACCGCUCCACUAGUCAAAAUAUACUCGAAAUAGAGAACCCCGAAUAGAAAUUCAAUGGAGUUCAGUGUCAUCUACAUGAACGCGACUCGCAACUUGCAAAGCGGUGCAAAUGAGGUGAUGUCAUAGCAAAAUCUCGUCACAUUUAUUAGGUUAAAGUUGGUAUAGCUUUUGCAAAUGAGGAUUUUUGGGAAGUUGUGAAGAACAAACCAAAUCGUUUGCUCUAAAAAGUGUUGAUGAUUUUAUGGGUAUGUCCAAACAAAUCAAAACUUCCGAGUCAACCCAUAGUCAAUCUUCUGAUACACAUAUUGAGAUUGACCUCAACAACGACGAUCCAUAUGAAGUGCCAACUCGUCCUAUGGGACGAGAUAAAUCCAAAAGGAAGUUAAAAGGUGCUCAAAAUUCAUCGAAUGAAGUGGAGGAGAUGAGCAACGAGAUCCAUGGGUUGGACAGUAUGUAACAUCCCAACCGUCAUGUAUCAUUAUCACUCCAUUUAAAUUUUAUGUUCUAAAGUCUACUCGACAAGUUGACGCUGUGACUCGUCGAGUAACAGUGGGACGGGACACGUUAAUUAAUGAGUGACUCACCGAGUCGGCAUGGGGGACUCGACGAGUAGGAGCUGGCAGUGGAAAACCUAAUUUUCAGGGUUUUUGCACCAUAUAUAUUGGACCAUUAGCGCCUCCCACUGCCCUCCAUCACCCCUUGAGACCCAUAAACCCUAAUUUCCAUGAGUGAGAGCAUGGAGAGUGUCUUGGGGCUUUGAGAAGUGACUUUUGGGAAGGAAAUUUGUAGAUCAAGAGGCUAGCAUCAAGACUUCUAUGUUGAUCCAGAUUCUACUUCAGUGUGGGCGCAUUUUGGAGGUAACCAGCUGUUACCUUAACCUCUUUUCUUCUAGAAUCAUUCAUAUGUGGAAUCUAGGGGUUUCUUUAGUUAUUCAUGAAGGGAUUUUUGGUAUAGGAGCUAGAUCUGAAGUUGAAACUUCAGAUCUGAACCUCUUUUGAGUCCUAAGUCCAUAAAGUUUCCAGCUCUUGCAAGGAUGAGACUCUCCCAAGGUGUAAAGCUCCAUUAGAAGCUUAGAUUGGUCAUUUAGAGCCUUUAGGGCCUUGCAUGUGCGUAAAUUUUGCAACUUUACGUGAUAAACAUGCCUUAGAAGCUUGGAUCUGUAAUCUGGAACCUUGGCAUGGCUUAAAAAGUGUCUGCAUGGAUGAAGGUCUGCAAAGGACUCAGCGAGUUACAUAGUCAACUCGGCGAGUCAUAUGACGAUGGUCAUGAACUCGCCGAGUUGAUGAACAAACUCGACGAGUCCGUUGAAUAUUGCCUUGAACUCGUCGAGUCGUUCGAAGACUCGGCGAGUCGGCUAGGUUUUCUCCCAAAUUCUUGGACACGUAUGAACUCGGCGAGUUAAAGGGGAACUCGACGAGCCAAUCAAGGAUUUCACGACUUCUCGAGUUUAGGAAGGACCCGACGAGUCGGUGAACUACACUCGACGAGUCGAGUCAACAUGGACUGUUGACUUUAACUGUGGACUUUGACUUUGACCAAGAGUUGACCAGUUGACUUAUGAGGGUAUUCUGGUAAUUUGGAGAUUUAUGAAAAAGGGUUUUAUGGUAACUAUAGGUGGUGGAGUUCGUGUUGGCAAUCUGGAAGUUGAGCUUUCUAGUUUCAGACGUCAUUAGCGAGGUGAGUUUUCCUCACUAUACUCAAGGGUCUAAGGUACCAAGGCCGACCCUUUGAUUGUUAUAUGGUUAUGUUAUGCUAGUAUGAUUUGUUAGAUUGGUAUCCUAGAGGGUAGGAUAAUAUUGUAUGAUGUGUGGUAUGAUCUGUUAGAUCAAGUAUUGUCUAUAGACUGUAUGUGAUUACCUGUUAUAUGUGCACGUGUGUGUUUAGCGGUUGAGGCUUAUCUGCUCUGUGCGAAGGCCAAUAGACCUGGGCAUUCCAACCUGUAGGUCGUGGGCCGUGAGCAUUCCAUCCCGAGGAUGAUUGGACUCAUAGUGUGUGCGUAUUCCAACCUGUUGGUUAUGGGCUUGUGGUAUUCCAUCCCGAGGAUGAUUGGACCCAUAGUGCGUUGGCAUUCCAAUCGGAUGGUUGAGGGCCUAGGUUAUUCCAACCUGAUGGUUGACCGGACCCAUAGUAUAUUGUUUAUGAUUAUAUGUGUAUGGAUGUGGGUAUGGGUAUUUUGGGAGGACUCACUAAGCUCUCGGGAUUACAGUUUCAAGUUUAUUGUUUCAGGUACAUCAGGGGAUCGCGGUAAGGCGAAGGCAUGAUCGUACAGCUCCUCAUGUUUUGUCUAUGUUUCUGGGAAAAACUCUGAUAUUAUACAUUUUGAAAACAAAGUUGUAAUGAUUUUUAAUGGUUUGAAAUGUUUUUAAAAGUUUAAAUUAGUUUGAAUUUUGGGUGUUACACAGUAAGCUCGAAAAAUAUUUUGAACUGGGAAAGAAAAGAGAAAGCCACUGUGUGCUAAAGCUUUUUUUCAAAAAUGAAGAAAAAUUGUCUGAAAAGGAUCAUUGGAUUGUUGCAAAUGUAAAGGCGGAGAUUGCAAAAUAAUAUAAUUGGGAUAAGUAGUAUGAUUUAUGUCUUUAAUCUAAAUUUAAAUUAUGUUUUAGUAUUGAGUCGUGUUUUAAUUUUUAGGUAUUAAGUCAUGCUUUUUAGAUAUUAAGUCAUGUUUUUAGGUAUUAAGUCGUGUUUUUAGGUAUUAAAUUGUGUUUUAAUUUAUGAAGUCAUCUUUUAAUUUUUAUUCUAUUGUAACCUUUUUAUUUAAUAUUAAAUGUUUGUUUUUUUAUAAAAACAUAAUGUUACAUCCUCUAAUUUUCAGAACCAAAAAGAACUCUUUUUACGCUUUAAAAAUCAUAAUAAUUUAUUUAUGGGAAAUCUCAGUAUUUUAAAAACUUUUUUCAGUACAAUUAUUGUCUCAAAUAAAAUCCUAAGGAUGUCAUAAAUCGAUACAUUACAUAUGUUACAGCGUAAAGACCCAAUGGUCCUGAACAAUAUUGCAGGUCCUUUAUUCAAUCAUGCAGUAUCCUAUUUAAGUCUUCAGCAGUCUAAACAUCGCUACCUAUGAUGCAUAUAUAAUGAGUGGGUAGCCUUGGAUGGAUUUCUAUGGUUCUAGAGGAUCUAGAAUAUCCAAAAUUAUCCUUAGAGGAUAAUUACGAAACCAGAUAAAUACCAAAAGUAAGAUAAUGUUAUUUUAUUGUUUUGGGAGUUAUCUAGGGUUUUUCGGUAAAUUAUAUAAAGACCCUUAAGCCUCAUAUUUUCGUCCAAGAAUUCUUAGAGAAGCUAGGGCCAAAAUUCUACCUCUCUCCUCUCUCUCUUCAAGCUCCUUGGUCGCUAGGGUUUGGGUGUGAACCAUUAGAGGCACGAAAUUUUUGGUUCUUUGUAACACCCCGAAUUCAGAAAACCAAGAAAGGAAGGGAAAACCCUAAGUCAAGUAGUCUACUCAUCGAGUCCAAGGAAGAAGUCGACGAGUGGGAGCGAGUUCCGUGUCGCGAAUUAAGUGGCCAACUCGACGAGUCGGGGGACUGACUCGGCGAGUCUAGUCUGGUUGGGAAACCCUAAUUUCGGGACUUGGUGCCCUAUUUAAGCAUCUCAUUCCCAUUUCCUCAGCCUCCUGAAUGCUCUCUCAAGACCAGAACGAAACCCUAGAGCCUCCCUUGAGUUUGUGAGUCAUUUUGUGAGAUUUUGAGCAUUCUUGAAGCUUGGAAGAACAAGAAGAAGGUUGGAGGUUCAAGAAGGAAGGAGUAGAUCCAGAAGAUACACCCCAUUUGCUGCACUUAAUGGUAAUCAAGUCUUCAUCUUGACUUCUAGUUUGUUUGAUCUCUUUAUAGCCCUUUUUAUGAAGUUUUUGGACCAAGAAUGAUUACUUGUGGGAUUUGGACGUCCCAAGCAUAGAUCCUUUCAGAUCUGAGAGCAUUUAGAGUGGUUAAGGCAUAAAGGUGGAAGCUUUAUGCCAUUAUAACUCCCCAUGAAAAGUUAGGCAAGGCCUUAGAUCAGAGUACAGUUAAAGUAUGUCUAUGUAUGUUAUUUGAUUGUAUGUAUGCAUGUAGCGGGCGAGGCCCGGAGACAAGAGGGGCCUAAAGGAGACAGAUCUGUAUACCGAGCGGGGCUCGAUGCCAGGUGGGACUUGAUGUCAGGCGGGGCUUGAUGCUGGGCGGGGCCUAGUACGUGGUUAUAUGUAUGUAGUUAUGUGUAUGUGGUAUGUGGUAGGUUGGGGAAAUCACUAAGCUUCGUGCUUACAGUUUUCAGUUUUAGUUUCAGGUACUUUCGGUAGCGGAGGGAGGAGCUCAAGGUGAUCACAUGGCACACACCAUUAUUUGUUUAGCCUGGGAUGUUUUACUCUGGUAUAAAAAGAAUAUGUUUUGUGAUUAUACUUUGAUUGGAUAUAACAGUUUUGCUUAUAAAUGAAAUGUUUUAUAAUUAUGGAUUUUAUUAAUGUUUUAAAAAGAAAUUUUUGGUCAUGAUUUUUGGGAUGUUACAAGUUGGUAUCAGAUCCUUGGUUUGAGGGAUUCAGAUACACUCUCGGGUGUGUCUGAACUCAAACUGAGGACGUGGUAUGAAAGUUUUCAAAAGGAAAUCAUUUUUAUAAAAGAACUUUGAAAAAGGGAAAAGAAUUUUGAAAAAGAGAAAAUGACUUGGAAAAGAGAAAAGAAUUUGAAAAGACAAAAGAACUUUCAGAAAGAGAAAAGGGUGUGGUACAUGUAAUUAGCCGAGCUCAAGUAAGUACCCCAAAGUACCCAUACAAGUUUGAUAUGAUAUGUUAUGAUAUGCUUAUGAUAUUUGCAUGCUAGAUUAAGAUUAAGGAUCUAGGGAGGAUGCCUUAUGUGCCUGCUAUAUGUGUUUCAGCUUUAUGAGAACUGCAUGCUAGUACAGAUUAGUCAGGAUGAUAGCCUGCGUAGUAUAUGCUUGAUUAUGUGUACUCGACAUGCGAAUGUUGCUUGCUUGGUGCUUUUAGGAGUUCUAGUUUUCUUUCACUAACUAGUAAACGAAUAUGUUAAGUUACAUAUUGCAAGGACUAAAUAAUUUCAGAAGGUUAGGUCUAGCUCUGUUUUCACAGCUCUCAUCUGAGUCCAACUGUUGUAGGGCAGGAUCUCUCAUUCGAAGAAUUAUCUGGUCUGAGUAAUAUGUAAUAGUAUUCACGAGCUAGUUAGGGGAAGAAAGCAGGUACUUCUUAUGCAGCUGAUGGCGGAGAGUGGGAUGGUGAUUACCCUAGGGUAAGCCUAGGAUGAGAGUAGCAGAGAGCAGUAGCAGUAGAAGGGACUUGGUGGAGUCGAGGCAGCUCUUGAGGAAAGUACGGAUAGAUGUGGAAGGUAGUAUGGGCAUGUACUACUAGAAGCAGAGGAUCCGUACUCGAUUCAAGAGGGGCUAAGAUAAAACCAUGGAACUUGUAGUGCGUGUGUGACCCCUCGUUGGUGAUGAGUAUUCGGAUGGUGGUUAUGAUAUAUUUUCAGCAUGGUGACGUUGUGUGAGAGACCAGUGGGCGGAUCAGGCGACAGAGAGGGAUCAGGCUCGGGUUCGGGAGUCGACCAGCUCGAGGAGCGGAUGAGGGAGUUUAUAUCAGCUGAGAUUGCGCGCAAUGUCUAGACCAGAAUCCUGUGAUCUUCGGUACGGUCAAGGAGGGGAUACAGGAGAUUUUGGAUGAGAGGCUAGGAGUCUUCCGCGCUGAGGUGAUGGAUUUGGUGGGAGUGCGUACCUUGACAUUCCGAGAGUUCAGGGCUUGUGGGGCUCCCGAUUACCAUGGGGCUCGGGACCCCAUCGCUAGCAGCAUGUGGUUGGCCGAUGUUGUCAACGCUUUCCGUUUGAGCCGAUGUCCUAAGGGGGACAAGGUCCGAUUGGCCUCCUGCCUUCUGAAGGACAGAUCACGGAAUUGGUGGGAGGAGGUUGGCCAUGCCAUUGGGGAUGAUGCCACGUUGGACGUGAUGACAUGGAGUGAUUUCUCAACCAGUUUCAGGGCCGAGUUUGCACCAGUGAUUGAGGUGCAUCAACUAGCACGAGAGUUUCAGGAUUUACGCCAGACGACCGAGACUGUGGCGGAGAUCAUCGCCAAGUUCAGGGAGAGGGCUCUUCUUGUUCUGCAGUAUGUGGCGGACGAGGAAAUGAAGAAGGCCCGAUAUCACGAGAUGCUGAGGAAUGAAAUAAGGCAGUUUGUGAGCAGGUCCAGCUGCAAGACGCUGUAGGAUAUCAUUGCUCGAGCCAGGGAGAGGGAGAUCGACUUGGAGCAUAUUGGGAAGAGGAAGGCUGAGACUGAGCAGACGAUGGGGGGUUUCGGGCAAGAGGCCCAAGGGGUCAGAUUUGAGAUCGAGGGAUUAUCAGGGAUGCAGUCGUUAUGGCAAGUGUGGCAGGACGCACGAGGGUGCGUGCAGGAGUGGUACUGGUGGUGAUUCUGGCUGCUUCAAGUGCGGCCGGACUGGUCAUUUCAGCAGGGAUUGUGCUGUUGCCACCACCCAGGGAUCAGACCUGAUAUGUUUCCAUUGCAGUCAGAGGGGCCACAAGAAGGCCCAGUGUCCGAGUUUGCUUCUAGUAGGACGGGUGAUGGCACCGGCCCCUACGACCUUGAGGAUCACUGAUGGCCGUCAGGGCCGAGCGGAGGCGCCUGCGGUGAGGAGCAGGGCUUUUCAGUUAUCUAUAGUGGAGCCGCGAGCAGCACCGUAUGUUGUAGGUGCAUAUCUUUUUCUUUCCUGUCAACUUUUAUUCAUGAUUAUAUUGUUAUGGUAUUGCAUCAAUGUUAGUAAGUAUACAUUGGAGUAUUGUAUUACCUACUUUCGAUUAAGUCAUAUGUCAUCUGCAUACCUUGGAUGAUAGAGUAUUAGUUCGAAGAUGUUUCUAUUAGAGCGGGUUCUCAGGACGCAGUUGUUGUAGCAAGGAUGAUUAGAACUCAGGAAGUGUUCUAUAAUCUUCAAGAGCGGUUCGGAUUUAAUACCAGUGAGUUUUGGAUCACUAGUAGUAGUAAGCAUUGGAUUACUAGCAGAUUGGUCAUGGGAUGAUAGGAACGAUUGGGACUCCUUUCCAAGCAAGUGAACUGUAAAGUGUUAGUUGAACCAAAGUGGGGGAGAGAGUUUCCCAGAAUUCAGGAGCAGAAGGGUGCGUGGAUUUAGGAUGAGUUGCAUUCUCAUCAGGAAGAAAGACAGCCCAAGUGGAUGUGUGAGUUAAGGAGUGCGUAAGUUGGGAGUUUAGGAAACUUCGCAACGUUGAAUUCGCGUUUUCGCAAUUGAAGAUGUCUUGUCACACCCCCGAACCAGACGGCGGAAACGUCUGAGGGUUUGUGUGACUUAAAUUGAAAUAUCAUCACAAUGAAUAUUCAUGAAACAUAACAUAAACAUCACCAUGCAUUAAUACAUUACAACUGACCUUGUUCACAUCAAGUACAUUGUUUACAUGACAUAGUUCCAAAACAUGAAUCGUCUGAUGUUUAACAUUACACAAAAGAAAUUUCCUGAAACACACUUGGAGGUUCUUCAGUCUAACGAUUUCCUGAGAAUACAAGUUAUUUUGAAAACGUCAACAUAUAUAAUGUUGGUGAGUUCAUAAGCAUGUUUGAUAUAAACUAGUUUGUAUUGAUUGUAAAACCCAAAAAAAUCCGAUAUUUUCUGUACAAAAACUCUUUGCGAAAAAAGAUGUGAUGAUCCCAUAAGUGCAAAUGUAUGUGAUUUCGAAACAUGUAAAAGUGAUUGUUGUUCAAAAUUUGUAACGACCCAAUUUUCAAGACUAAAAAAUUUUCUUUUAAAACAUUACUAAACCACAUUUAUAAAAACUGUAUCAUAAGUCAUAACAUAAUUUCAUAGUAUUAAUUUCGAACAUAACUUAUUAUCAGAGUAAAACAUCCCAGGCUAACUGACUAUGGUAUGUGCACUGCAACCUCUCCGAGCUCCUCCUUUGAAAAUUGAGUACUUGAAACCAAAAACUGAAACCGUAAGCACGAAGCUUAGUGAUCUCCCCCAAACUACCACAUACCAUGCAAACAUAUAAAGCACAUACUGGGCCUUGCCCACUGCAUCGGACCGGAGUCCGGAACUGACCAGGGCCUUGCCCUCUACAUCGGACCGAAGUCCGGAACUGACUAGGACCUUGUCCCGUGCAUCGGACCAAAUUCCGGAACUACUGCAUCGGACCGAAGUCUGGAUUUGUCUAGGACCUUGUCCCCUGCAUCGGACCGAAGUCUGGAACUAACUGCAUCGGACCGAAGUCCGGAACUGAUUGAACAUAGCAUGGCAUAAACACAUCAACUAGCAUGAACACAUAUACUGCAUACUGCAUCGGGUCGUAGCCCGAAACACAUAACACAUAAAUCAUGUCGGAGCCACAAAGGCAUCAAACAUACUAAAUACUACAUCGGAUCGAAGUCCGAAAACUACUACUACUAAACGGGCCGACAUUGUGGCCUUAGACCCGUUCCUACUGGAAGGAAACUCACCUGCACUGCUGGAGUUUUUGCUGAUACCCUUCUGACUGCUAUCAGACACUCUCGAACUGCUGCUCCAAAAACUCCCCGAUCUACUAAUACCAAAUAUAACACUUAGUCUAACUGUCCUCCGAAAGUUAACUAAGUCCACUCUGCUCAAAGUCAAAGUCCUGGUCAAAGUCAACCUUCCAGGUCAACCCUACUCGUCGAGUCUGCCUACUGACUUGCCGAGUUCAUACGCUUAGAAUCCUUUCAUUCACGACUCGACUCGCCGAGUCAGCCCCUUGACUCGCCGAGUCUAUCGAUUUUCGAGUCCUGACCUGACCAACUCAUUGAGUCCCCACUCAACUCACUGAUCCGAGUCUUAACUCGAAGGGUUUGGGGUUUCGCGACUUGACUCGCCGAGUCCAAGGAAAUCUUCAACAGACUCGCCGAGUUGUUCAUCCAACUCGUCGAGUCCACUCGAAGGACUCAUCGGGUCUAUUCAAUCCUUCAUAUAUUCAGAGGCUUUUGAGUCAUGCAUGGACUCCAAAUUGUAGAUCCACUCUUCUAAAGUCUAUUCCUUACGUAAAGUGGCAAACUUUACGUGUAGCUAAGGAGAUCUAGGCUCAAAACACUAUAAACUAGGGUUUAAGACAAAAGGGGCUUAACAAUCAACCCAUAGACUGAUGCUUUAUGAUUCUCUAGGCCAAGAUACACUUAGAUCUGAAGUAGCAACUUCAGAUCUGGGCUUCUAACUCGAAAUGGUUCUUAAACUUGCCCUAAAAGCCCCAAAUCUCAUGAUAAAGGUUGAUCUAUAUGCAAAAGAGUGAAGGUAGCGACUCAUUACCUUCAAAUGCUCUGGAAAAUCCCACAAACCCUGGAUCUACUGCCAAUCCUUGAAUCCCCAAUGGUUGCCUUCUUCCUUCUUCCUUCAAAUCACCCAAAAUGGCAAGAAAUCUUGAAUGAGCAACAAUGGAGGCUUAGGGUUUCGGGUUCUGGACUAUAGGGGCCGCAAAUGAGCCCUAGGGAAGAGAAUAAGAUGCUUAAAUAGGGUACCAAGUGUCGGAAAUAGGGUUUCCCAACCCAGACCAGACUCGCCGAGUCCACUUGCCGACACGCCGAGUCGGUCACUUACUUUACACCCGGAUCUCGCUCCGACUCGCCGAGUUCCUCCCUAGACUCGACGAGUCAACCCUCUUUAACUUAGGGUUUUUCCUUUACUUUCUUGACCUUUCUGAUUUCAGGUGUUACAAAAUUGAUUCUUGUAUUAUAGUUAUUGUAUGUAGGAGUGAAUAAUGUUGUUCCCCCAGAAAACCCGAUGUUUUCCGAUAUAAAUAAUAUGAUAGUUUUGUAUUAUUGUAUCAUCUCAACAAAUGAAUGUGAUUUCCCAUGAUUACUUAGCUGGUAAUGGAUCUCUAUGUGAGUCGUUAUAACCAUGCAUAAUAAUGACUAAUUCGUCUGUCUUGGCAUUUUAUCGGAUGUCGGUUUUGAUCAAGAUUUUGUUACCCUAGACUGGUCGAGUCUAACUGUAGCGAACAACUCAGGUGUGGGGGAGUCACCCCCAUAUAGAUCUAUACACAAACUCUCGCUCUCCCUCCAGGAGACUCUGUUUAUAACUACAGUCUACGACCGACACUUAUUGGUGUCACCUGUUAUUUCUCACUAAAUCCCACUAAAAUUGAAAUAACCUUGUUAAACAACCUGAUUUAUGUUUACUUUAAUAAAAGGUAAGCCUAACAGACGAAGAGAAGAGGGCAACGGAGGCCCACUAACUUUGUAUGUUAUUACAGGCUUUCGAGUAUGCUACAAGCACGUUAUAGCCCAUUAAGCAUAUUAUGGAUGUUUAGGGUCUUAUUAGCAAUGUGAAUUGACCAUUAAGGCCCAAUAGCAUGUUAUAACUGAUAAAGGCCCAUUGGUUACGUAAUUGGGUCACCGGAAGCCCAAUAAACAUGUGUGAAUAUAUUGGGCCCAAUAAUCAUGAUAUUGGGCCACAAAGGCCCAAUAGCACGAAUAGAAGAUAUUUAAGCUCAACCAUUGAAUCAAUUAUAAAUUAUCGAUCUUAAGUUCAUAAUGUAGGUAUUUGUUGUCAACUAUAUGUUUAUUCGAAGUGUUAAAAUGCUUUGGCGUUUGAUUUAUAACGAAAAUUUGGUUAUACAUACAUACAUACAUAUAUAUAUAUAUAUAUAUANNNNNNNNNNNNNNNNNNNNNUUAAAAAAACCAUUUGUUAUAACUUUAUAUUUUUAACCCAAAAAUUUAUAUUUGUCUAUUCGCCCAAAAACAUUUAGUUUGACCAUUUCAACCAUUUAUCUAUAAAAAUGACACUUUUAGUCCAUUUUUAUGAAAAUUGACAUUUUUAGUCCUUAAACCAUUUUUCUUGACAUUUUCGACCCAAAUUUAUUUAAAUAAUAAUUUCAGCCCAAAACUAUUGUAUUUCUCAUUUCCAGCCCUUAGUUGUAAAAAUUUUACACUUUUGGCUCAAAUUCCGUAAAUUUUACAAUUUUGACCCCAAAAUCAAAAACUUUGCAUUUCUAGUCCAAUUUUUGCAUCAAAGUCAUUUUCAGCCCGUAAAUAGUUUAUUCACGUAUUAGACUCACAGUUUGUUAAGUUUUCCAUUUCAGUCCCUCAAAACUUCAUUUUUUCGCAACUUUGGGCCCAAAAACUUGUGAGGCCCAAAUUAAAGCCCAAUAAGCUAAAAUUUAAGUUUUUGACCCCUAGAAAAAUUUUAUUUUCAUAAAAGUCAGAUUUUUAUGUGAAUAAUACCAUUUUAUCCUUAUAGAACCGAAAAUGUCAUAUUUUACCCAAAUCUUUGUUAUUUUUGCAAAAAUGACACUUAUAAGGAGUUUGACUUUGUUUCCACUUCUUGAGCCUAAAGACCCUUAGAUCUUUGAAGUAAGUUGUUUAUUAUGUUAUUUGUUCAUAAAUCUUUCACAUUUUAGCUAUAAAUCUUGAAAUAUCUUAAGUAUUAACACAUUAUCGCAACAAAACCAAAGAAAUCACAUAUAACAUGCAAACACACAUAGAUCAACACAUAACUCUUGUAUUCUCCCUCCAAAAACAAGUAAAAACCGAAAACAUGGGGGUAUGGACUCACCUUGCUUAGUUGCUCACAGUUUUUGAAGAAGAAAUGGAAGAGGUUGAUGUGAUUUUCGGCCCUAGUAAGCUUCUUGAGAGGACUAUGGUUUAGAUGGAUUCUAAGGAGUAGAUCACGAAUUUUGCAUGAGUUAGGAGGAGAUUUUUGAUGUAAUAGAGAAACUAAGCCAUGGAUCUAAGUAACAACUUACCAAGGAUGAUGAUUUUUAUGGAAAAACCUUCUUGAAAUGCCCUAGAUCUUGAAAUGCCCUAGAUCUUGAAAUUUUUUAGAGGAAAUGAGUGGUUGUUGUGGUGAGUGUUUGAGAGAAAAUUCAAGUGAGGUGUGUGUGUGUGUGUGAUCCUCGGCCGAGAGGAAGAAAAAUAGGGAGGGGAAGAGAGAAGUGACCUUGCAUGGAAGUAUGAGAGUGUAUGGAUACAUGUUGUAUAAAAGCCUCAUUAUCCCUUAAACAACAAUGAGGUGUCACUUCCCUUAAUCCUCCAUAAACCCCUUUUUUAACUUGGGCCGAAAUGGGCCAAAGGAAGAAGGAAUGAAUUAGUUUGGCCCACUUCAAUCCUUGGUUCGAGAUUAUGAGUUUUAUAGGCAAAAAAUUUCGGCCCAUUGGGCCCUUAGGGUGGUUCACGGCCCAAUUAGCAUAAAAGAUUAGGUUUGUGGCCCAUUAGGGCUAAUUAGAUUAGUUAUGGCCCAACAAGGUUAAUUAGGCUAGUUAUGGCCCAAUAAGGCUUAUUGGAGUAGUUUAUUCAAUUUUAGGCCCAAUAUGGUUUGAAAUGUCAAAUCUCAUGAAGGUGGGUUGAAUUAGAGCCCAAUUAAGGGUUCUAAGUCCAAACUAGUCAAAUUGGAAACUUAUUGGUCCAUUAGGCCCAAUAAGGAAAUCCUAGUCUAUAAUGGACUUAAACCGGGCUUUUUAGGGUUUCCAAUCUUUUGUUGACUAUUUGAAGUGUUUGCAUAGGGUGUUUGAUGGAACUUUGGUGUUAUUGAAUAAACAUCAUGCAUACUUUCAAGUUUUAGUUACAAAUGUUAUCAUUGUUAAUGUUUACAAAAGCAUUAGAAUUCCUAGUUGUGACAUGUCUGGUUUGGGAAACCAAGUUGGAGGAUCGUCAGCAGGACUCGAGUGAGUCAGGAUGAAGAUUACGUGAACGUCCGGCAUGGGAUGCUUUCGGAGUAGUAGUCAGCGCUAGAGACAACAUGGAGAGUGUGGUAAGACUGCGGGAUAGCUGCGACAUUUGUUAGUAGCCAGUUAGAGAAGUGUGGGCGAAGGCCCGUACCUCCUAAUUAGCAUGAUAGAGAUCAAGAGAGAGUAAUUCGUUGAGUUUCAAGAUGGACUUAGGCCUGUAUUACCCAAGAGAGGUGAGACCUGUAGGAGAGGCCACUCUAAGAUAUAGUUUGGGUGAGACCCGUGGGCGAGGGCCGUGUGAUUAUAGCAGUGCAGGUGGGACCAGGUAGAGACCUUAGGGUCAGGUAAGGGGAUCGAGGAUCCCAGAGCAUAUAGAGUUAGAGUGGCAAGGUAGAUAGAAUAGUUUUAGAUAGCCGAAGUUUCCUUGGGAGUCAUUGGGAGCGACUGAGCGAUUGAGCUUGGGUUCAGUAGCCGGUGGGAGUUCGAUCACCAAGUUAAUGGCAGAUUAGUUGGGACCAAGGUGGUCUCGGUUUUUCCGGAAGGUGGAUAAGAGACAGCAGAAUCAUCAGUCGGGGGUAGUAAUGAUAAGGGAAGUUUGGUGUGGGGCAGCUAGUUGACCGAGAAGUGUUACGCCUCGCACAGCAGGGUUAAAUAAUCUCAGAGGGAAGGGUUGAACCCUGUUGCGCAGCUCUCGUAUGAGUCUAACCAUUGCAGAGAUUAAUCUUUUACUCGAAGGAUUAUCUGGUCCAGUCAUUGGGUUGGGUGCUCAGCACUAAGAUAUAGUAGGAGGAAGCAUCCAGUGGAUAUCACUGAAGUGACCAGCAUUAGAAGUGGCCGGGAUUGCAACUUCCAUAGAGGAUUUUUCCUUGAUGAAGUUUGGAAAGGUUUGUUCCUUAUGGCUAGUCACCUUGGGAAGGCCAGUGUCAGCACAGGGAAAAAGGGUGAACCCCUUGUAUGUCAAGUGGAAGUGCUCGGGAGGUACCGGUAGGGUUACCGGUUGAGUAAGAGUGUUGUACUUGAGGAUAGUAAUGAUCGGGUUAUUCUAAAUAUGAUAUUUUCAAGGUUUGGACCGAAUGGGCGAAGUGCGUAACUAGUGGUAAGGUUGUAAGCGGGUUGUAAGGUAGUUGACUUUGGCGGACUUCAAGGACGAAGUCCAGUUUAAGUGGGGGAGAUUUGUAACACCCCGAAUUCAGAAGACCAAGAAAGGAAGGGAAACCCUAAGUCAAGGAGUCAACUCGUCGAGUCCAAGGAAGAAGUUGACGAGUGGAAGCGAGUUUCAUGUCGCGAAUUAAGUGGCCGACUCUGCGAGUCGGCGGUCUGACUCGGUGAUUCUGGUAUGGGUUGGGAAAACCUAAUUUCGAUACAUGGUGCCCUAUUUAAGCAUCUCAUUCCUAUUUCCUCAGCCUCUUGAAUGCUCUCUCAAUACCAGAACAAAACCUUAGAGCCUCCCUUGAGUUUUUCAGCCAUUUUGUGAGAUUUUGAGCAUUCUUGAAGCUUGGAAGAACAAGAAGAAGGUUGGGGUUCAAGAAGGAAGGAGUAGAUCCAGAAGAUACCCCCAUUUGUUGCACUUAUUGGUAAUCAAGUCUUCAUCUUGGCUUCUAGUUUUUUUGGUCUCUUUAUAGCCCUUUUUAUGAAGUUUUUGGACCAAGAAUUAUUACUUAUGGGAUUUGGACGUCCCAAGCAUAGAUCCUUUAAGAUCUGAGAGCAUUUAGAGUGGUUAAGGCAUAAAGGUGGAAGCUUUAUGCCAUUAGAACUCCCCAUGCAAAGUUUAAGAGGUUGUUAUGUCCUUUUUAGCAAAAAAGGGCCAUGCACGGAUGCAAAGGUAGUAGCUUUGCGUGUUAUUCCGACCCUAGGAGUUAGAUCUGGGUCCUAGAUGCCUUGUGCUUGACUAAAAUCGUCUGAAUAGAAUUGGACAUUGAGGGACUCGACGAGUCACUUGUGGGACAUCUCGGCGAGUCAGGCCAGUUUCUAGCCCCAAAACCCUUCUGUAAAGGGUAUGAGUUAAGUUGGUUAGGGACUCAACCAACCUGGGUCCAUAGUAGACAUGAAGAUCAUCGUACUCGACGAGUUGAAGGAGGAACUCAGCGAGUCCAAGGCAAUCUCCUUAGUUUAUGAAGAUGGACUCGACGAGUUGUUCAUACAACUUGGCGAGUCAUAGAGUGGACACAUUCAUGUGUGGGAGAUGAACUUGACGAGUUCAAGGAUGAACUCGGCGAUUCGGUUAAAGAUGGUCCCGAUUGUAUGAUUGAAGUAGAACCCGUCGAGUUCUUGCUAGACUUGACGAGUAGAGUCGGGGUUGUAUUGGGUUGGAGGAGUAUGGACUCGACGAGUUGGUAGACCAACUCGGCGAGUCAAGGCAACUGGAGGUUGACUUUGACCAAGUUUGACCUGGGUGGACUUUUGGAUUAUUGUGGUCUAAAUGUUAUUUUGGGUAUUGCUAGUUCGGGAAGUCGAAGGGUCAGCAGUUCAGGAGUUGCCGGUUAGCAGUCAGAAGUGUUCAGCUAGUCUUUAGCAGUUCAAGGUGAGUCUCCUCACUGUGUGCAUGGGUCUACAACCACAAUUCUGAGCCAUUAUGUUAUGUUUAUGUUUAUGUAUAGAAGGAAGACCCAGGGGUUAGCCCUAGGCACUUAUUGUUAUAUGUUCCGGGUUACGACUUGAUGUCGGGCGAGGCCCGAGGAAUGUUAGGAUGCUAGAGGUCUUUGUGAUUCUUGCAUAUGUCGGUAUGUUAGGUUACGGACCGAGGGUCUGAUGUCGGGGCAAGCCCAAAGUAUGUUAGAUGAUAGUGUGUUUCCGGACCGGGAGUCUGAUGUCGGGUAAAUCCCGAGGAAGAUUCUUAUGUUGUAUGUUAGAUUAUACUUGUGUCUACAUGAUACUUGUAUGUGUCUGGUAGGGAGGUGGGGGUGGGUGAGGUCCCGUAUCUCAUCACUAGCUGAGUAUGGAUGGGCUUCCAUAUCUCGAUAUUAGCUGAGUAGGGGCGAGGCCCGGGAUAGGAAGGAUGUGGGUGUGGGCGAGGGCGAGGGCCCGUAUCUCACUACUAGUAGGUGUAUGGACAGGAAGUAGGGCAGAAAGCGCACAUCCAACUGCCUAUCAGAUAUUAAUUACAUAUAACCUUGAUGUAUAAACUAAGGUAUUAUAUAAUUAACCACUAAAGGUCCUUAAAGUUAUACUGGUUUAAUAAAAUGAAUUAAACCCUUUUACUGAUAAGUUACUAGUUUAGCCUACUAAAUGUUCUAUCUGAAAAGUAUUUUUUGUACUAGAAAAUGGUAUAUUGAAUUUGGAUACUAUGACCUGACCCAUACCUGGUACUCCUUAUAAUUACUUGGUGUAUACGGAAUAUAUAUAUAUAUAUAAGAUUGGANUAUAUAUAUAUAUAGCUAAGAUCGAAUAGCUAGUAGACUGGGUGAAUCUGCUCUAAGCCCACAACCAAACAAGGAACAAGAAAUGAAGCGGAAGCACACAUUCUACUGUCUACCGGACCCGAUUAAUAUACCUGAUGUAUCUACCGAGGAAUCAUAAAGUUAGCAUUAUAGCCCCCCUUUUAACUGAAUGUACUAAGAGUCGACUAUUUUGUUUGUCUUUUGUGAUGAUGUAAGUUUUCCCAAGUUUAAGACUAUCUUUACUAGAAAAUAGUUUGCAUUACCUUUUAUGUGAGAAGAUCACUAUAUGAAUGUAAUGGGAAAAUGAAAGUAUUCAGUAAUAUUGUAUAACGUAACUACUGAAGCACUAACUACCUUAAAACCAGUUUGUUAAUUAAGGUCAAGAUGUGAUGUGGUUAUAACCAUACUGAUCGACAAGUGUUUAACACGACAAUCUGCUGGUGUCGAAACUGAUGUGACAUUUGUCACCCCUUGUCCUGCCGGCCAAACUGUAGUGAACAGUCGGGAUGCGGGCUUGUCAGUCCCGUAUAGAUCUAUACACACAAUGUCCGUUCUCCCUCCAAGAGACUCUGGUUACAAAACGCGACCUAACAAGUAUAUUGCUAAGCCGUGAAGUAGUCUCACAUAAAUGUUAUCUUGUUCUUGUUAUUAUAUGUUCCUUUCUGUUUUUGUUAUCGUAUGUUCCUUUCUGUUCUUGUUAUUGUAUGUUUUGAACCCCUAAACUAUACUUAUUAUAGUUUACUAGUAUGUUUGUUUUGUAUUGUCUCUGAUUUGUAGAAAAGACUCGAUUAUCUACUGAGUUAUGAUUGUACUUUAAAAAUAGAGUUUUAUAAACAACAAAGUAUCAUAACUUUAAAAGAGUUUUUGAAAUGAUUUGAUCACUUAUUAAGAGCAUAAGAAAAUCCUUUAAUGUGAUGGUUAUCACAGAUAAAUAUUUACACAAUUAACAUUAUGUACAACUUGUAUUCCUCCUUUUAAAAGCAUUUAAAACAUUUAAAAGAUUGAUUAUAGGGGUAUGAACUCACCUUAUGUGGGUGAUUCAAUUGAAGAUUCGUGUAAGGAUGAGAAGUUCCACGAAUGAAUUCUCGAGACACAAACGAGUCCUAAAUGACAUAUAAUGGCAUAUAUAGGCAUGUAAUUAGUGUUUAAGACAACUAAUAUGCAAGGAAAUGAUCUUAGGAACUAGGAAACACUUGAAAUGAAGUGUUAGAAUCACAUGUGAUUGUAUGAAAGGGAGUUUACGGCCAAAGGAAGAUGUGUUCACGAUCAUUCAAGGGUUUACAGCCAUGCUAGGGUUUACGGCCGUAAACUCUUGAUGUUCUUGUAUUUUUGGGUCCUUGAUUCAUGCUAAAAGGGUGUUUGCUUCAUGAGGCUUCAAGAGUUUCUAGUUUAUAACAAGAAUAUGGAAGAAUUCUUACGAUUUGGAAGCUUUUGGGAGUUCACGGCCACCAAGAACAAGUGUGUGUUAUUGGUGUUCUUGGUGUUUUUGAUGAUACUUGAGAGAGAAAUGAGUGUUUUUGACUUGAAGAUGUGAGGAAUGAAGAACAAAUGAAGGAAUUCUAUACUUAUGAUGUGGGGUUCACGGCCAAACAAGAGCUUAUGACCGUAAGCUGUAGUUUACGGCCGUAAACUCCAAGUGAUGGGGUUUUCCAGCUUAAAUGCUACACAACGAACUCUAGUAGAUACUCCUAACACCCAAUCCUUGAAUGUACUAGGCUUAGAACACUCAAACAGGCCCUUAACAAUGCUAAAAGAUAGUAGAAACUAGUCUGACUUUUGAUUGAAUUGAAUGGAUUUACUAUAUAGAAAUUUUCACGCGUCACGCCUAACAGCAACGUUAUGAGACUUUUUGUAACGGCGAAGCCACGCCUCACGUCAUGACACGCCUUAGUGCGCGUCAUGACGCGCCUUUUAGAACAUUGGGUUGUGCCCUUUUGUAUGUUAUGUGGUAUUUUGAGGAACUCACUAAGCUUUGUGUCUACGAUUUGUGGUUUAAACAUUUUCAUAUACUUCCAGUUCCAAAGGGAAGAGCACGACAUGAUCACACAACAUCCCAUUGAUUUUAUUCUACAAUGUUAUUUGGAUUCACUCUGAUGUUGAGAAUAUGUGUAUACUAUAAUUGGGUUGGAACAAUUAAUUGUAUCUGUCGGGUGUUUGAAAAAUAAAAGUUUUACUACUAUUUUUGGGACGUUACAUUAAUUAUUAAUUUAUUAGAUUGAGGGUUCAAGUCUCGCUAUAGACAUAUAUGAAAUAAUUUAGAAGUAGUUUAUAGUAUAUUUACCGUUAAAAAAACUAUUAAUUGAUUUAUCUAAAUUAUCUAAUCAAUCCAUAUUAUAAUACUCAUUUAUCUUAUAAGAGUGUUGGCUUUCGACGCAUCAAUAUUUUAUUAUAUUUUCAGUUCGAUUGUUAUUUAAAUUGAUAUAUGAUCAAUGAAAGGGAAUAUGACUUAUGAAGGUAAUUAACUUUUCGGGUUGUUCACAUAUAGGUAACUAUAUUUUUUUUGUACACAUCUAGGUAACAAACGUUUUGGAACUGUUCACAUAUGACCAUUAUGACCUGCUGUAGCAGGUUACAUCCAGCUACAGCAUGUCAUAAUGGUUAUGUGUGACCACUUUCAACAAGUUCGUUACCUAGAUGUGUACAAAAAAAAUAGUUACCCAAAUAUGAACAAAACCAAAAGUAAGAGUAAAUUACACGAAUGGUCCCUAUGGUUUGGGAGAAUUUGUGUGUUUGGUCCCUAACUUAUUUUUUUAAGUCGGAUGGUCUCUACUGUUUAUUUUUGUUGCGCGCUUAGUCUUUGUCUUACCUAAAAAGACUAUUGUGGCCUUAUUAAUUUAUUUUUUUAGUUAAUUUUCUUAUUUAUGUAUUUGCUUUUAUAUGUUUAAAAAAAUUAAUAGACCCCGCAUAUCUGUAUCUCAUCACCGUAAACAUGAAACCACAUUUGAGAAAUUUAAUCUGGGUCGCAUCGGUCACCAUCCCAUAUCUCAUCAUCUGCAACUUCUAUUUUAUUUCCAUCUUUAGUGAUAUGGAAGUCUUCAACAUCCUUUUUUUGGUCCUUCAACUUUGGCGAACAAACACCAUAACACAUUGUCUCUUCACUUUAGUGGGUUGUGGUGUUGGUUCGCUGGAGUUAAAGGACCGAAAAAUAAUAAAUGGUGAAGACGUCGAUGUCAUUAAAGAUGAAAAAGAAAUAAAAGUUGAGGAUGAUGAGAGACGGGAUGGUGAGGAGAUACAGAAAUGUGAGGUCUAUUAGUUUUUUUAAGCAUAUAAAAAAUACAUAAAUAAGAAAAUUAAUUAAAUUAAAUUAAUAAGGACACGAUAGUCUUUUUAGGUAAGACAGGGACCAAACGCAACAAAAAUAAAUAGUAGGGACCAUCCGAAUUAAAAAAAAAUAAGUUAGGGACCAAAAGUACAAAUUCCCCAAACCACAUGGACCAUUUGUGUAAUUUACUCUUACUUUUGGUUUUGUUCAUAUUUGGGUAACUAUUUUUUUGUACAAAUCUAGAUAACGAAGUUGUUGAAAGUGUUAACAUGUAACCAUUAUGACCUACUAUAGUCGGAUGUAACCUGUUACAGCACAGUCCCAAAAACUUUGUUACGUAGAUGUAUAAAAAAAAGAUAGUUACCUACAUGUGAACAAACUGAAAAAUUAAUUACCUUAGUCAGUCUUAUUCCCUCAACGAAACAACCAAAAUAUUUAAUUAAAAAACACGUGCACUUAGUUUCUUCCUGGCAUGGAUUUAUUAUUCUAUGUACACAAGAUGUUCUUGCCAUAAUGAUUGAUUGCUCUCAUUGUCUCCCACAACUCUGUGGACCACAUAUGAUUUAUCGUCAACGAAUUAUUCAGUAAAAUAUAGAAAAUGUGAAUAAGAAACAAACCGCUGCAAAAAAUAAACUUACUUCGAAAUGUGAAUGAGAAUUUCGACCAAGUUGGAUAAAAAAGUAAUGUUUAUUUAUCUCUAAUAGAUUAUAAAAAUAGGAAAAUGAGAUUACGUGAUGGAUUUCCAAAUUAACCCGACUAACCCGCAACUUAAUAGGAUCUGGUUUCGGAUGAUUUCUUAAAAUUAGUAAAAACCCAACUAAACCAAAACCCAAUCGAGUUGUCACAAAUACAUUACCAACUUCGAUGGUUAAGAAAGGGUUAUCUUGAAUGAACUCACAUCCACGCUCAUAUAGCAUACGAAUAUAUGUGGGAAACACAUGUACACAUAAUGACAUAAAAGCAUUAGGGUAAAUCACAUCAAUUGUUUGUCGUGUAUAUGCCAAAAAGUACGUUUAGUCCUUAUUUUUAAAAAUUAACUUGGGCCGUUUCUUGUUUGUUUAAAACUUGCACAUGUUAUCCAUCUUUGUUUUAAAUUUACACACUUAAUCUUUUAUCAGAUUUAAAAUGACUAUACUACCCUUACUAUUUUGUUUUUUAUUUAUUUAGAAUUCAUUUUAUAUUAAAAAAAUUACAGUCAUAUACUAUCUUCCCUCUUUCCCUUUUUUCCUUUCAAAUCAGUUGAAAGGAUAAAACAUCAUCACCACCACCACCGUUAGUGACCACCGACUCAACUCUUAAGCAAAUGUCACUACUUCACCCCCGACUAUCUACUAUGUUUCUCCUUUCUCUAUCAGUGACCACCACCGAUUUGAGGUUCCUUGAUGGAAGAUGAUUUAUGGCUAGGGUUUCUUGAAGGAGUGUUGAUCUAUAACCUUCUAUUGCAGUUCCAGCAACGAUGGUUUCUCCAUCUCUCUUGCACCAAAAAAAGAUCAACAUAGGAAAUUGAUCUGAGGUUCCUCCUCGACAUGAGGUUCCUCGAAAAAGUGUGUUACGCACCAAACCAAACCAAUAUAAAAAAGAAAGCAAAAUUGGUUCCAAAAAUCAAAAUAAAAAAUGGUUCAAGAAGUUGAAGUUGAAAUCAGAAUUAUAUUGAUUGUGGUGGUGGUGGUCGUCGUUAUUCAACCUCUUUGUCGGAUAUGGACUCAGGUUUGGAGAACGUCGAGUGGUCAACGAGUUUCAAAGACCAUGGACGUCAAUCGGAGAGUAGAUCGAAAAUGUUUGUUGGUUUGAGAUGGAAGAAUCGAUCGUGAGAAGCAAUUGUAGCCGGAGAUUUCGAGGGAGAUGUAUUGAUUUCUUUGUUUAACGUCUUGAAGAGGGUUUAGACUUUAGAGUCGGUGGAUCUGAUUUCAACAACUUGAAGAGGGUUUGACUUUGGUCUCACCGAAAAAAGGUGGAGCAUCGGAGAAAGUAUGAGAAGUGUUGUUAGGUGGUUCCCAACAAUGAAAGUGAACGAGGGAGACAAAGAAGGAAGUUGGGGAAGGGGGAGGGGCGGGAUAUUAAUUUUUUCUUUUUUAAAUCUAAAAACUGAUAAAUAAAUAAAUAAAUAAAUAAGUGCAAAAUAGUUUUUUUUUAUGUCUGGAGGGACUAAGUAUACGAGAAAAAACAAACCCAGAAACGAUCCAAAUUAACUUUUAAAAAUAACGGUUAAACGUACGUUUUGACACAUACACGAGAGAUGAAUGGUGGUACUUGUCCCUUCCUUGCCCAAUGCCCAUUCCUUUAUGAAAUUGGUCAAAUUUAUACCAAUGUCAUAUGUCCUAUAGAGUUGUUUGACAUAUAGACAACUAGACCAUAACUGACAGAUGGGUGUUGCGUAGUUGGAAACUUGGAAACGGUAGCUUCUAUUUAUAUAGAAGAUUAGAAGUGUUCUUAAAAAAUAGUUGCAAGAUUUUAUACUCUUAAAGUCUUAAACUAGCCGUUAAUUCCAGUUUUGGCGUAUUGUAAUAUACUGAUUUUAAUUAAUGAUGUUAUUAAAUAUAUUUAAUUUUAUAAAUACUAAAUAUACUUAAAAAAAUAACAAAUUAGAUGAGAGCUUAAGAAAGAUAAGAGAGUAAAUUUGUUGGCCAAGGUUUUAAGUUAAUUUUUGCCGAAAACUUUUAACAUGUUUUUCCAUUUUGGAAUGUCUCGACAUAGUUUCUGAUCAAUAAUACCCAAGUUUGGUUGCUUGAUUAGUUUAUACGUUGAUCGUAAUUGGGUGAUAAGACUUAAGACAAAGCCUAAAUGCAAGAAAUAGCAACAUACUUUCAUUUAUUGAUUAAUUAUAGCAUCCUACUUUCAUUUCUUCUUAUUCUAUACUUUGAACAAUAUAUCCAAUUAUAUAACAAUGUCACCAAUAUUUCCAUGACUUGCAUAAAAAUAAAAGAUCACAAGUAGAAAUUCAAAACUAAAAAGAAAGGUGGACGAUUUCCGACUAUCAAAAUAGCAAAAAGGCUGAAAAACACAUUUUGCAAUCAGAUAUACAACACAAAAUGAGACUAACAAUAAACAAAGACAAAGCAACUACACCACUACACUACAUAGUUCAUUAUUUAAAAAAAAAACAACUACUACAACUACAAACUACAAACUACAAACUACAACAAGAAAAGGAUAAAACUUACUUGAUUUGAUCACUAAGCAGCUUUAACCUUUUCUUCAUUCACAACAGAAAGUAUUGGCAAACUGCUUAAAAACUCAUCAAGUCCUUCAAAGAAUCCAUUCCCUUCAACAUUAUUAUCCUCUCCUUGCCCAUGUCCAUGCCCUUCAUUAUUGUUGAAUUCCACAUUCAAAUCCAACUUCCCCAAUUCCUUUCCAACCCUACCCGAUUCCCUUCUUGGAUUCCCACUCUCUUCAACUCCCAUCCCAUUUCCAAGAUUCUUCAAGAUUUCAUUUUUAGCUUCCCGUGCACUAAUACCAACAUCUUGCACCCUGUUUUCGAAUUCCAAUUCCGGAUCUUUCUUCAUCUUUUUCCUGGCAUUGGAAUCAGAAUCAGAACCAGAACCAGAACCGGAAUCGGAAUCGGAAUCAGAACUUUGUUUAGAGACUUCCAUGAACACAUCAUCUGUAAUAUCAUCAAUAGCAUCAAGUUGGAUACGCGGCCCCGAACUUUUGUUAACAAAAGUAUUCUCCUUCGGGGCCGCUUUACCAUUUAAAUGGUUCUGUUUUUGGUUUUGGAUAUUAGUUGAGGGAUUAUACAUAGGUGAAAAGGGUGUCCAAGAUUUUUUGUUACUUUGGGUGUUGUUUUUAUCUAGAUGUGACAUGGAAACACCUAAUGGGAAGUAACCCCAACAACAGAAAUAUGCUUCUUGGCCUUCUGUUAUGGGUGGUGGGUGGGGGAUACGUACAGCUUGAAAUGCCCUUUGACAGUGGUCACAACGGAGGGUACAUUCGGCAUAAACUUUUGGGUAUUCAUACAUGUAGUAACAGAAAGGACAUGAAGUCCAAAAGGUGGGGGAAUUGUCUACAGUUUCAUCAGGUUCUUCUUCAGCUUCUGUUUCUAUUUCUUCUUCCAUUACACCAUUGUCACUGUUGACUUGAGAAGGAAGCUCCAUAGGAGCAGAAUUAUGUACUUGAGACUCUUGCUCUUGUUGUUGGGGUGGGGGUGGGGNNNNNNNNNNNNNNNNNNNNNNNNNNNNNNNNNNNNNNNNNNNNNNNNNNNNNNNNNNNNNNNNNNNNNNNNNNNNNNNNNNNNNNNNNNNNNNNNNNNNNNNNNNNNNNNNNNNNNNNNNNNNNNNNNNNNNNNNNNNNNNNNNNNNNNNNNNNNNNNNNNNNNNNNNNNNNNNNNNNNNNNNNNNNNNNNNNNNNNNNNNNNNNNNNNNNNNNAGGCUGAGGCUGAGGUAUAGGUUGAGGCCGUGAUUGAGGAAGGGGAGGCUGAGGUUGUGGCUGUGGCUGUGAAGGGGGAGGCUGCUGUUGCUGUGGUGGUGCUUGUGUCCAAGAAAAAGGGGGUUGUGGUGCUGCUGCAGGCGGAGGGGGACUUGGUGAUUGCAUACGUGGCUGUGGCUGUGGCUGUGGCUGAGGAGGUUGUGAUGGUUGUCGGAUUUGCUGAUGCUGAUGAGGUGAUGUAACUUGAAAAGGUUGUACCUGUGGCUGAGGAGGCUGAGGCUGUUGUGGUUGUCUAGUUUGGUGAUGUGGUGGAGAAGUAAUUUGAAAAGGUUGUACCUGCGGUUGAGGAGGUUGUUGUGGUUGUCGAGUUUGCUGGUGUGGCGGAGAUGUGACUUGAAAAGGUUGUACCUGUGGUGGAGGAGGUUGUGAUGGCUGUCGAGUUUGCUGCCGGGGUGGAGAUGCAACUUGAAAAGGUUGUACCUGUGACGGAGGAGGUUGUGAUGGUUGUCGAGUUUGCUGCCGGGGCGGAGAUGCAACUUGAAAAGGUUGUACCUGUGGCGGAGGAGGUUGUGAUGGUUGUCGAGUUUGCUGCCGGGGUGGAGAUGCAACUUGAAAAGGUUGUGCUUGAGAUUGAAACAGUUGUUCCUGCUCCCGGUGGUGAAACAGUUGCUCCUGCUCACGCUUAGGAGGUUGUAGUUGCUGUCUACUUUGCUGAUGUGGUGGAGAUGUAACUUGAAAAGGCUGUACCUGUGGCGGAGGAGGUUGUGGUUGUUGUCUAGCUUGCUGAUGCGGUGGAGAUGAAACUUGAAAAGGUUGUGCUUGAGGCUGAAACAGAUGUUCCUGUUCACGAUGCUGAAAUAGUUGCUCUUGCCUUACCGGACUCGGUUGUGACAGAAAAUUAUGCUGCUGCAAUUGCUGCUGUUGAUGACUCUGUUGAACCCUAGUUUGAAAUGUCUGUUGUGGCUCAGGCAAAUCCUGCUCAUGACUCGACCCCAUGUGAUUAAUCGAAAAAAAAUUAUGCUGCUGAUGACUCUGCUGCUGUUGCUGGUGGUGAUGUUGUUGCUGGUGGUGGUGCUGUUGUUCGAGGUUAAACCCUAUAGUGUUCAUCUGUUGUUGCGGCGGAAAAUCAAGCUCCGAAUCAUACAUAGAUUUCCGCAUAGGGUUCGAUAACACAGCCCAAGCAUCAUUCACAAGCUGAAACGCUUGAUCGGAGUAAGGAAACCUGUUUUGGUGAGGAUUUAGUGUAACGGCAAGCCGCCGGAACUGCGAGGCGAUGUGGUCUGUAUCCUGAACGAACCUGACGAGCUGCAGAAUCGCGUAGUAAUCCGGCUGCUGAGCGCCGUUGUUUCCGACGACUCGUUUUUCGGCGGCGAGAAGCGUGUCGGCAAUUGCUAGGAUCUGUUCAGCAGCUUCGAGUCUGGGAUCGGAAUCUCGUGCUCGGAUCGCAAAUGUCUUGGAGCCGACGAGGUCAUGGCCCAUGAGCAGCUUCUCGGCGAUGCCGAGCCAUCGUUGCGCUUCCGCCCGUGCUAUGAAGCUAUGGGGGUCCAUAACCGUUUCUCUUUCUCUCUACAAAUCAAACCACAAUCGGAAAGUAGCCAUGGCGGCCGUGGAGAGUGGUCGGGAGUGGUGGAGGGUUAAAAAAGGGUUGCAGAUUUUUCUUUUUGACGGAAAAGGACUCGGCUUUUAUAAGGGAAGUGCAGCAACAAGGAGUGGAUAUGCAAGGGUAUUAAUGUCUUUUAAGGAUCUAAAGAUGUAAUCUAGUGUUUCAACUCUGAUUAGUUCACACUCGUGGUCGUUUAAGUUGAAUUAUUUCGAUCUGAUAUGCAAGAUUAUGUUAUUGCCAGAAUAAUAAUGACUAUUUUCAGAGCUAAUAUGCUUUACAGUGUUUUGUACAAUAUCGAUUGAAUUUGUACCUAUUAAUUUAUACAAAUUAUUUGUAAAGUUUUCUAUUUCCAUCGUGUUGUUAAAUUAAUUCAUUGUUACAUUUUGGAUAAAUAUCAUCAAUGCCAGAUAAUUUGUUUUCUUCUCCUCCUCGGUGCUCUUUCACCAUGGCGACAAAUCAACAUAUUUUUGGGCUUGCUACUAGGGAUGCUAACGGGGCGAGUUUUGGUAAUCCCGUCCCCAUCCCUGAAUAUGAAAAUCUUUCUCAUCACCGACCCGAUUUCCAACUGGUACCCGUUUACCAAACACUAUCGGGUCUGCGGGUAUCCCAACGGGGCAACGGGCCCGUUUAACAUUCAAAUUUAGAAUAUUUUUGAUGCAAUGAGAAUACAAAACCAUUAGACUUAGUGAUGCAAGCAUAAAUUCAUAUCUAAAAUAAUUUUGAUAAUUUACAAAACCAUUAAGAGCAGACUUAUUUGUUCUGAUACAUAAGUGGUUACUAGUGUAAAAAAAACAAUAAAGACACUAGUAUUCAUAAACCAUAAUAUUACUAUUACUUUAACUACUAUGAAUAAAAAAAAUAUCAAAACACUAGCACUACAAAUAAACAGGAAGCUAUCUUAAGAAAUUAUCUUUAAAUCUUUCACAACAAAGAAGAUAUAUAAUCAUAUGAACGGUUUCAGUUAACGGGUUUCGGUUUCUGUUUUGGUUUCGGUUUCAAGUAAUCGGGACGGGUAUUUUGUUUACCAUCCUCGUAACCAAACACGCGAAAAUUUUCUAAAAGCAUACCAACCCCGAUCCCAGCCCCGAUUAACCGACCCCAAACCCGACCCUAAUAUGUCGGUUUUCGGUUUUCACCAUCAGGUUCAGUUUCUUUUGCCAUCCCUACUACCAAUUCGUCUUUUCAAAUCCCUACAAUCAGCAUAAAGCUUGAAACCUCCAACUAUUGUUUAUGGCGUACCACCAUUGUAUCAGCCCUAGAAACCUUUGAUCUUGUAUCAUUUGUUCUCGAUCCCAAACCACCGACUGAAACUCUUACGAUUGAGCAUGCAGAUGCAGCACCCACCAUUGAAGCUAACCCAGAGUACCAAUUAUGGAAGAAAUGUGAUCGUUAUGUAUUUCUAUAGCUGAAAUCCACCCUCUCUGAACGCGCCCUGGCGAUUGUCAGUCGUUCAACCUAUUCCAAUCUUUCUUGGACUACUCUCAAAUAAACUUUCCAAUCCCAAACCAAUGCUACACGUAUGGAUAUGAAGAUCCAACUUCAGAAAUUGGCAAAAAGCUCGCUACCCAUGAUUGAAUAUCUUGAAAAGAAACGUGUUAUUGUCGACUCCUUGGCUGAGAACCUUAAUCCGAUUUCUGCAAAAGACCUUAUUGGAUACAUCCUCAAUGGACUCGAUUCCUCUUAUGGCCUAUUUACUACGACGUUCAUGAUGAGAGAAUAUAAUCCUUCAGUUGAUAACCUAAUAGGAUUACUACUUCAAGAAGAAGCAAGACUCGAACAGGAGCAUCUUUGCCAAAUAAUUGCAAUUCCUUCUUCAUCCAAUACCUUCGCCCCUUAGCUCUCAAUGUGAAUCGGAAUCAACACAUGUACAACUCCAACAGUUCUGGUGUCUCAUCUACUUUAUCUUCAUGCAACUGCUCUUCUGACUCACAAAGUCGACGUCCUCAAUGCCAAUUAUGCAAAAAACCGAGUCAUAAAGCGAUAAAUUGUUGGCAAAGGUCCAAUCAAAUUGACUAUCCAUCUCGUCAGUCGAAUCUAAGAACUUCACAGGCUCCUCAAGCGCAUAUGGCUCGAUAUCACAUUCCAUCCACAGUUGCUGAUCCGUCAUGUUAUUUCAACUUCGGUGCAACAUAUCAUGUAGCUCUGGUCUUUAGAAAAUGAAUGUUGUUGAGGAACACCAUGGCACGAACAAACUUCAAGUUGGGAACGGUACAAACCUACCUAUCUCUCAUAUUGCAUCUACUUCUAUUCAUAAUAUCAAAUUGCCAAUUGUUUUAAUUGUUCCUCACAAUACCAAACGUCUUCUUAGUGUUUCUAAACUCACCAAUGACAAUAAUUGUAACACCCAAAAUUUUCAAAUAAUUUUUCACAAUUUUAAAACAUACUUUCAUUCAUAAAAUAAUAUUAAACAUAAUGUAUCCACUGUCAUCAUAGUAAAACAUAACCCAGAAUCCUAUAAAUAAAAGCUCCAUGAGUGUGUACAAAUCAUGCCGGCGCCUUCCCGCGAUCAUCAUUGGUACCUGAAACACAUACACAAAACUCUGUAAGCAUAAAUGCUUAGUGAGCUCCCCAAAAUACCACAUAACACCUAUCAUCCACUCUAGGCUGUAACUCUAAUGACCCUCUGGUCGGAUAUCUCUGUGGGACCCUCUUGGUCCCAUAACUCUGUGGACCCACUGGUCCUAACUCUGUAAACUCUGAAUCAUGCAUAUCAUAUAUCACAUAGAAAUCACAACACAUAAAUAGCAUACAAGAUACACUGUCACAUAGCUCUAAUUACCACUCUAGAUAAAGUAUAGUGAGAAGACUCACCUCGGGAAUCUUGGUAAAAUCUCGAUAUCAGAAUACUGCCCUAGCCUCUGCAUAGUCACAAUAAUAAAUUACACUAAAUAAAUGUCUCUUCAUAAUUUGGAUAUUCUCUCAUGCAAAUUCCUAGAAGGGUAAAAGACCAUUCUACCCCUCUGNCGAGAAGAAGAGCUUUCAACUCAGAAGUUCUACCUGCAUAGAGCCCGGUUCUUCGGCGAGUGCAUACGACAACUCGGCGAGUCCCCUCGUCCCCACAGACUCUUCCCUUUCUAAGCCUCACUCGACUCACUGAGUCACCCCUCAACUCACCGGGUCACCACUGGAGUCAGACCCCGGGGCAACCCCGUCUGACUCAUCGAGUCUACAUAUAGACUUUGCGAGUUUCCUCCAUGGACUUGCUCAAACAACCUCCUGAGAUCAGAUCUGCUUAACCGAAUCAUAGAUCUAACCCUUAAACACUCAAAAGUCACGUAAAGGUACGUGCAUGCAACCCAUUUCAAGGAUCAAAUGGAGAAAUAACACUAGAAAUGGCAACCUAGUCUCCAAUUUCUUAUUUGCUUGCAAAAAGCUAGAAGAUAAUGACUCUAGGGACCUCACAUGGUCCAGAUCUGAUGUCAUAAUUCCAAAGAGGACCUCAUACUCACUAGAUCUUUCAUAAAAUGAGGGUAAAAACCCUAAAAUCAAGAAAUCCAUCAAUAUAACACGAAAUGGAAAGGAUUAUAUCUCCAAAGAUGAUAUCACUAGAUGAUUAGCUCAGAUCUAGUCCCCUUCACACUCUAGAUUUGUGCUCCUUUCUUCCUUCAAGAAAAACUACACAAAAAGAUGAAGAAAUAGUCUCCUCUUGCCCUCAAACUUACUAUCUCUGCUCUCUAUGGUUUCUCUGGAACAAGGUGGCCGCAAAUGAAGGCCAUAAAGGUCUUUAAAUAGGCUCCCAAACCCGGGGAUUAGGGCUUUCCUAAUCAGCACCGACUCGGCGAAUCAGCUACCUGACUCGUCAAGUCCGGUCGCAAAACCGCGCCAACAGAUAAGACUCUACUCGACGAGUUGAGGCACCAACUCGUCGAGUUCCCCCAAAAAUAAUAAUAAUUCAAAAUAAUAAAAUUACAUACCCAAACUCCGGCUGUUACAAUAAUAUCUACAUGGAAUUAUGGCAUAAACGUUGUGUUGUUAAUUCAUUACAAGGCCAAACACUCCUCAACGAGGACGUUAAUGAUGGCCUUUAUUGUCUUCCUUCUUCACUCAAUAAAGCACCAAAUAAAUCAGCCCAUACCAUGGCUUUCACGGGUAUUCGAACUUCUCUCCAUGGCUGGCACAAACGUUUAGCUCAUCCACAUGCUCAUCUCCUUAGAAGAUUGCUUUCCUCCUUCAAGCAACCAAUAUCGUCCAAUAACUUUCCCAGUGUUUGUAACUCAUGUUAAUUGGGGAAGAGUCAUCGACUUUAUUUACCUACUUCCCAUGUAGCUUCUAGUAAACCUUUUGAUUUAAUUUAUUUAGGUGUUUGGGGCCCUUCCCUUUUUUCUAUGAAUGGAAAGAUAUGUUUCUUAUUAUUUGUUGAUGAUUGUACAAAAUUUAUUUGGAUUUACUUUUUGUCCCAUAAAUCACAAGCCUUUUCUACCUUUGUUCAAUUUCACCAAAUGAUUAAAACACAAUUUUUGACUGAAAUCAAAAGCAUUCAAUCCGACUGGGGAGGUGAAUAUCACCCUUUCUCCUCCUAUCUAACCACACAUGGAAUCACUCAUAUUGUUUCAUGCCCAUACACCCAAGAACAUAAUGGGGCUGUUGAGAGAUGCAAUCGUGACAUGGUUGAGAAAGGCCUCACACUUCUUGUUUAUUCUUCUCUACCUAAUCCCUUACGGGAACAUGCAUUCAAGACUGCAACAUACUUACACAACCGUACAAUCAAUCCUCUGCUUGCUUUUCAAUCUCUUUAUCAAAAGUUGUACUCUAAAAUUUCUGAUUAUGGGUUUCUCAAAACAUUUGGGUGUCUAUGUUUUCCGUUUCUUUGUCCUUAUAACUUACAUAAAAUUGACUUACUUCCAAACCAUGUGUGUUUAUUGGGUACAAUGCUUCUCACAAAGGAUACUUGUGCUUCCACCAGCCAUCAUCUUGUAUCUAUAUAACUCGACAUGUGGUCUUUAAUGAAGAUGUCUUCCCUUACUCCAUAUGUACAUCACCAACGCCUAAUCAUACUCCUACUCCUUGUCCUUUCCAGUAACUUCCCUCCUUCUACAACAAGCUGCUACUUUACCUAUCACAACACCACAUUCCCCAUCUCACACACCCAUACCUACACAAAAUAUAAGCAACACCCCAUCUUAAUCCUCCUCCUAUUCUCUCGGUCCCAAUCCUUAUUAUCAAAACUCUACCAUUAACUCUCGUGCUCACCAACAACCAUCUAUUUCUUCUCAUUACAGACCUGUUGUGAACAAUCACCCCCACAUUGUAACUUGAGCCCGCACAAAUUCUCUCAAGCCAAAAGUCUUUUCAUCUUCUUUAUCUUCCACUCUCACCAUUGAACCCUCGACCCUUAAACAAGUUGUUAAAUCUCCUUGUUGGAAAGAGGCAAUGAAUAAUGAAUUUGAUGCUCUUAUGAGGAAUAGAACCUAGUCACUGGUUCCAUGUCCUACUAAUGUGAAUGUUGUAGGUUGCAAAUGGAUUUAUCGGGUCAAAAGAAAGUCAGACGACUCUAUUGAACGAUACAAGGCUCGUUUAGUUAUGAAGGGAUAUAUUCAAGAGGAGGGUAUCAAUUACUUUGAGACAUUCAGUCCCGUCAUCAAACCCACAAUGAUUCGAUUGGUGUUAUCUAUUGCAAUUUCAAAUCACUGGUGUAUUCGCCAACUAGACAUCAAUAACGCAUUUCUUAAUGGUGAUUUACUAGAAGAUGUCUACAUGAGGCAACCAAGAGGAUUUGAAGACUCCACCUAUCCGUCUCAUGUUUGUUGCUUGAAUAAGGCGAUUUAUGGCCUUAAACAAGCACCACGAGCCUGGUUCAAUAAGCUCAAAAAUUAUCUGAUCCAACAAGGUUUUCGUGCUUGUCAAUCAGAUACAUCAUUGUUUGUUCACACAUCCAACAAAGCCAUUAUUUAUAUUCUUGUCUAUGUUGAUGAUUUGAUUAUCACAGGUACAAAUGUGAAUAUAAUUCAAAACUUCAUUCAUCAACUACACAAGGUUUUUUCACUAAAAGAUUUGGGGGAUUUACAUUUCUUCUGGGUAUUCAAAUUACUCGAAAAUCCUAUGUUGUGACUCUUAGUCAAGAAGGUUACAUUAGAGAUAUUUUAACUAAAACACACAUGUCAGAGGUUGCGUCUAUUUCCACCCCAAUGAUACCUAAAUGAAGUUAACAAUUGAGAGUGAUCCAUUCUCUGAUCCAAAACUCUACAGAAAGUGGUGGGCUCACUUCAGUAUGCUAUGAUCACACAUGUUGACAUCGCAUUCGUUGCCAAUCGAGUAUGUCAAUAUAUGCAUUAUCCAAAUGUUCAUCAUUGGCAAGUGUUUAAAUGGAUCCUACGAUAUCUCAAUGGCACCCUCAAUCAUUGUCUGUAUUUUUUACCAACUAAUGUCACUUCUCUACUUGCUUAUUCUGAUGUCGGUUGGAUCUCAGACAAGGAUGACAACAAAUCUCAAUAUGCGUUUGCAAUUUUUCAUGGCUGCAAUCUUAUAAGUUGGACAUCAAGAAAACAGAACGUUGUUGCUCAUUCGAGUACGGAGGCUGAGUUCAGAUCUCUUGCAUACAUAACAACUGAAUUAAUUUGGAUUAAACAACUAUUAUAUGAUCUUGUUGUCCCUAUAAAUGAUCAUACCCUGCUACUAUAUGACAAUGUUGGUGCAGUCUUCAUGACAAAUAAUCCUGUUAUCUGCACCAGGUCCAAACAUGUAACACCCGGUUCCUGGUAUGUAUUUAAAUUCAAGUAAUUUAAUGUUUUGCUCUAGGACUCGGCGAGUUGGAGGCCCAACUCGUCGAGUAGACUCGAUUUUGACCGGGAAGUUUAGUAACCUACUCGACGAGUCAGGGGACCGACUCAACGAGUAGGAGUUGUCUGGAUGAAACCCUAAUAUCAAGGGCUUACACCCUAUUUAAACGACUUAUUCCGCCUCAACCUAGCCCCCAUCGUCCCUCCCAACUCAGAGAAACCCUAAAUUGAAACCCUAACCUUGUUUGAGUGAUUCUUGAGCCAUUUUGUGCAUUUUUUUUUGGUGGUUGUGAAGGUUGAGAAGGAAGAAGGAGUUUGGGAGUUCAUGUUGAAGCUUGUAGAUCUAGAGGUUGUGUUCCAUUUCCAACUCAUUUGAGGUAAAAGCUUCAACCUUGACUUUCCAUUUGUUAGAUCCUCUUUAGGGCUUAAAUCUUGGCAUUUUUGGGGCAUUUCCAAGUUACCUUCGGGUUUGGGUCAUUGUGUAGAGAAAUAACUUCAGAUCUGGAACCUAGGAGGGUUCUCAUGGCAUAAAGGUGCCAACAUUACUGCCAUGAGAGCCCCAUGCAUCUUGAAGACUCCAUUUUAGGGUCUUUUGAGCUAAAUGGCCCAUGUAUGAACGUAAAGUUUGUAAAUUUACGUGUAUUAUGGACCCUAGGAGGUCAGAUCUAUGGUUUAAGUGCUUUGAGACCCACUGAAAUCGACUGCAUGGUUUUGGACAAAGAGGGACCCGACGAGUUGUUCAUAGGACUCGGUGAGUCGGGUCCUAUUUCCCAUCAAAUUCUUAUGUUAAUGGACUAGAUGCUAAGAUAGAAGAACACUCAGUUUUCUAGGCUCACUGGGGACUUGGAAAUCAUGGAACUCACUGAGUGUAUGAGCGGACUCGACGAGUUCAAGGCAAUGUCCCAACCACAUGAAGAUGGACUCGACGAGUUCAAGGGGAACUCGGCAAGUCAUAGACUGAACUCCUUCAUAUGGAUGAAGAUGAACUCGACGAGUUCAAGGAUGAACUCAACGAGUCGUUUAAAGAAGGUAUGAUGUGUUGUUGAAGGCGAAUUCGUCGAGCUCUUGCUAAACUCGACGAGUAGGGAUGAAGUUGUAACUUUUCGUGGACGAGGGGACUCGACGAGUUGUUAAACCAACUCGGCGAGUCUAGUCAACCAGAUGUUGAAUUUGACCAGGGUUUUGACCUUGACUUUGACUUGGAAUUUAGUGACCCUUAUAAGGGUUAUGAGUAUGAAAUGGUAAUGGAGAAAAGAUGUUGUGUAGGGAUUGAGGAGUCGAGAAUAGUCGAUUUUCACACCGAGGACAGUGCAGACACUACACGAGAUCGAGGUGAGUUAUCUUCUAGUAGAGGUGGGUCUACGGCCAUAAUGUCGGCCCACCAGCAGGAGUUGUCUUUAGAUGAUUGUGUUUGUGAUAAUUGUCUAGGUUUGCUAUUACCUAAUGUGUCUUAUGUACCAGUAUGAUAUGUUAUAUGUGAUACUGGUAGUAGGAAGGGGAAUAGUCCCCCGAUUCAGUUAUUAGAACCGAAGGGUAGGUCGGACACCCCAUAUAUGUCUGAUAGCUUGAUUAUAAUAUGUUAUUAUGUGAUAGUGGUAGGAGGUGAAACAAUCCCCGUGGCCGGUUGAGAUAGACCGGUGAGUAGGCAAGCACCCUAGAAUGGUCUGACACGGGUAGGUCAGCACCCCAGAAUGGCUUGACAUGGGUAGGUCGGGCACCCCAAAAUUGCCCGACAGUAUGUAUGAUUGUAUGGUAUGUGGUAUGAUAGGGGAACUCACUAAGCUUUGUGCUUACGGUUUUCAGUUUUGGUUUCAGGUACCUCUUCGUCGAAGGGGAAGGAGUCGGCAGGGUAGCAGCGCAUCGCACACAUAUGAUUCCACAUUUGAGAUUUAUGGGAUUGUACUCUGACAUUAUUACUAUUUGAUGAUAUAGUUUUGGGACAUGUAACUAUGGUUUAUGAAUUCAUAUGAUAUCAGUAAUGUUUUCCUCAAACAAAUUUUAUAAGCAAUAUAAUUAAAACGGAAAUUUUUGGUCUCGAUUUUUGGGAUGUUACAAAACACAUUGCAUUAGAUUUCCAUUUUAUAAGAGAAAAAGUUGAUUCAAAAGAUCUUCAUGUAAGUGUUGUGUCUUCAAUUGUGACAACCCGAAACUUUUAUCUUGUACACUUAGCCAAUUCUAUCAAUGUUAAACUCGCUUCAACUAUCUUUUAGCAUUGUUUUGAGCCUAUUUGGAUGAUCUAAAGCCUUGUACAACCAAAGUUUGAAUUAGAGAUGGGUUGGUUUAGGAUUUAGGGUUGCAAAAAGGCCAAACACUCUAUCAAAAGGAGUGUGUGGCCACACACAUGAGUGUGAGGCCGCACACCUGAGUGUAUGGCCGCACACAUGAGUGUGUGGCUGCACCCCCGAGUGUGUGGCCGCACACCCGAGUGUAUGGCCGCACACCCAUUAUCUAUAUAUAGAUGAGGCUCAUUUUCACUUCCUUUCCCUUCUCCUCAACCGCACACACCUCUCUCUCUCAGGCUUCUUGUUUAUAGUGAACUAAGUAUACCGAACCUUACAUGGUAUAGAACUAUAAAAACUAAGGGGCCUAAGUGCUCUAAACUAAAAGUAUACCUUCAAAACAUAAGUAUUUUUAUAAAAAGUAUACAAGUAUACCUAAGUACCUGAAUCAGUGUCAUAAGUAGAACAAAACAAAAGUAUUUGGAUGUUGGACAUCGCGGUUAAACCUGGGUAGUUAUGUAAUCAUGUCUAGGAUCAAUAUAACCUGAUCAACUAUAUUCAUUCUAGACAUGAACAACAUGUGCUUGGGAGUGACUAUGGUGUUGCAGCAAGCCUAAAACUUACCUAGAUACCAGAAGAAUUCUAGAAUCAAAGAUAAGGGUCAAAAUACUAUAGGAGUAUUUUAGGAUGCUAUAACAAUCGAACCGGAAACUUACCCAAGAAUCCAUUCUUCAAGAAUCAAUCAUGUAGCUAUAAUACAUUGGAAGUAUUAUUAGAGUCGAUGCCUGUUAACUAUCCAUUUACCCCUUAUCUCGCGUAGAUAGCAUAGCCGGAUUCAACCUCCCUGGCGACCCGUAUUUUCCCAACCAAGGAGAUGAUGGAUGGCUCGAACCAACGCUAGAAGAGAACCAUGAGAUUCCUUUGGAUGAUGACUUCUCCGAACCAUUUCCUGAAGAGUCUGACUCAGAACCCGAAGUCAAGAACCUACCUCAAGUAGCCUCGAUUGAUAGCUUCAUUUUAUUUACUUCUUUUUAUAGUUUAUUUUAGUACAUUUCAUUCGCAUUUUAGUUAACUUCCAUGCAUAUUUUCCCUUUUGUUAUUUUUAUGACCAUUUCGGGGUACUUUCUAGUUUCUUGAGCAUUAUUGCAGAUUUUCUUGGAAACUAGCGGGGCGGCACUAUUGGGAGGCGAUUGGGGUUGAAAGGAAUCGGGGAUUUCGUGCUUGAUGGCUAUGAAGGUGACUCAUGGGGUGGACUUGUCAAUUGCUUGAAGUCUUGGAAGAAUUGAGCUUUAAAUUUGAAAGACGCGGGAGAAUUCUUGAGUGUGCAAGAUCAAUAUUUGGGAGUUUGCGGAAGUUUAGAGUGAUGUGGAUAAGCAAAUUGGGCUUUAAUUGAAGAUAUAUUGAAGAAAAAUGGGCUAGGAGUUGAUUGCAUUCGAACUGGGCCAAUGGAUUAGCUGUGGGGGCCCAAAACUUGAAGAAGCCCAAAAUUACCCGUCAGAGCCCGCGGCCCGCGUGGGUUCCUGACUAGGGCAAUUUCGGGAUUUUGCUAAGAGCUCUAUUUUGGGAAGUUUGGUGUGCCUCUUUAGCCUUAUCUUGAAGGUCCGAUUUUGAGACUUUCUCUCUGGAGUUUGGAGCAUUUUUGGAGGCCAAGAACACUUGAAGAAUAUCUUCUUUUCAUCUCUUGAAUCUUGUCAAAUGUUUGGUACAAUCUUAUCUAACUUUGUUCAUUUGAGUUUAGCCAUGCUUGGCUAAACAAAUCUUGGUUGACUUUUUGUUGAAUCUUUUGAACUUUUGUUGGAUGUUGAAGAAUCCAUGAACUUGUUCUUAAAUCUUUAUGCAAUUGUUUUGUGUUUUAUCAUAUUAUCACUACUAGUAUGUUUUUAUUCAUGAGUUUAAAUAUGUUUGUGGUGAUUAGUUGGCUAAUUUCUUGAUUAAGUAAAUGAUCCUCAAAUUAGCAAGCAACAAAUGAUUUUUGUGUUGUUUUUGCUUCACACAAUCAUAAAAACAUUUCCUCCAACAUGGUGGUGAAAGCAUUUGACCCCUCUUGGAUUUGGUGACUUUUUGGUUCUUAAUGCUAGUUGACUUUCACUAAUUACAUGCUAUUUGGAAUUAGUGACUUUGACUAAGGAAAUUGUUAUGAGCUUCUCUAGCCAUUUCAACAAUUAAGAAAAGUCUAGGUAAUCUCAAGCUCCUUGGAUUACUAUAGCCAAAUUAAGGAUUUAAAUCAAAGUAUUGCACCAUUGGAUUCUAAUGAUAUGUUCAUCAAAAGUCAAAGUGAGGAAACUUUAAGUCAACCAUCUCUCCCUUAUUGAUUUUACAUCAAACUCUUAUUUUUGUUGCAUUUGUCUAUUUAAAUCAUAGUUAAUUCUAGUUUGUUUCAAGUAUUUCAAAACACCAAAACCCCCCAUUUUAUUUUUAUUGUCAUUUUACAAGUAUUUUUACAAAGAGAUUUUUCAUAGAGUUAUAAAUUGAACCAAUCUCCGUGGAUUCGAUCCCUUUACCACUAUACACUAUUUUAGUGUGUAAUAUUUAGGGUUAUUAUUUGUGUUGGCCUCGACAACCACCAAAUUUUUGGCGCCGUUGCCGGGGAUUGGUUUUGAUUUAAUCAGUUUGUUUCUCUAUGCCUAGAUCUCAUUGUGCAGGUACUCUAAUUUAAAACCCAGAAAUUAAAAAAAAAAAGAGUAUGGUUCGGAAAUGAAUACUACUUGCACCGAAGACCAACUUUCUGAGCUAGCUCAGUUAGUUAUGAUGAUUGAAAGUGACCAAAGUGUGCAACCCACACCUCUUCUUUGCGAUUUUUGUGCCCAAAAUGGACAUCAUUCCGACACGUGUCCAUAUUUACAAGGAGAAUGGGAAGAAGUGCAAGAGAAGGGAAGCUACUACUGGUCAAACCAAUGGAGUUAUGAUCAACCUCAACAUGAUCAAUGGUGGGACAACAACCAAGCUUGGGGAUACAAUAAAUACCAAAGCUNUACCAAAGCCCAUACCAAGCUUGGAGAAAUGACCAAUACUAACCAACUCCACAAUUCCAACAUCCAUAUCCUCCACCUCCUCAACAACUUGAAACGCCAAGCAUGUCCUUAGAGGAGAUUGUGAAAAGCAUUGCCACAUCUACCCAAAAUUUCCAAGAAACAACCCAAGCUAGCCUCAAAAGCUUAGAGCAACAAAUAACACAACUUGCUCAAACAAUAAGUAUAAUGGAAGAUCAAGACAAACUACCAUCUAAAGAGAGCCCAUGUACCAUUCCUUUGAAUGAUGAGAAAAGUUUUGAUGGCCCAAGAGUGUUAUAUGGAAAAGAGGAAGUAGGCGUAGAAAUGGAAGAGGCUAUCAAGGAGGAAGAAGAAAUUGAGAAAGAUGUCAAUGAAACUAUAGAGGACAUGUUGGGGGUUAACAAAAGAGAGGUUGAGCCACCCACUACCAUUGAGAAACUAACUCCAGUGGUAGAUGAACCACAAGAGCCGGGAAUGAUAAAUAUGUCGGACCCUUUAAAGGAUACAUAUCCCGAGAAGGAAGAGACCCAACCGGUCACCAACUCGACCACCAUGUCAAAGAGAGAAGAGUUGGUCACCUUACUGAAAAGGUACAAGGACGAAUAUGGUUGGAUGAUUGCUAUUAUCAAAGGUCUAAGUCCGAUAUGGUUCCCCCGUAAAAAGAAAGUCAAAUACAAGAAAAGAGUCCCAAUGGAGGUUUGGAAAUUAAAAAAUGUUGACACGGGGCAAGUUUUCAAGGUUAAUGGACAUUGUUUGAAGUCAUUCUAUGAAGGUUUUGAUUCAAAUGUCCAAGAUAUCGUCCAUUUGGACACCCAAAAGUGUUAAAGUGAAGUUUGGAGGCGUCUCGCUAAAGACGUUAAAGAAGGGCAUUUUUGGGAAGCAUUGUGCUUUCGUCAUUUAUAAACCGAAUAAAAUGAUUUUGAAUUUUUUUUGUUUUGAAAAUUUUCAUUUUUGAAAAAUUUCAAGCUUUAUUCUCACCUUUGGUCCAAACCUUUUAUUGUGUUUUUGAAACCGGGACUUCGUGGGAAUCAUUUAGGCCAAAAAUCAAGUUUUUUGAAAUUUUUCAAAAUUUAAGGUGCAGGAAUUCACGCGGCCUGCGGGAAAAUCCACGUGGCCCACAUAAGGUCAUGUGCGGCUUAUGUGCGGCCCAUUCCUUGCCCGCGUAAAACAAUCACCUCUAGCUCUGUUCAGCUCACGCGGCUAGCAUGCGGGUUCCACGCGGCCCGCGGGGCUGGUUUCAACACUUAGUAUUUUUUUAGCUCUAGUUCACGCGGCCUUUACGCGGCCCGCGUGUUUUGACCCAAAAUUCUUCUGAACCUUCUGUGAACUCAAGAGGAAACCAAGAAUGUUACACGCGGCCUCUACGCGGCCCGCGCCCCGCCCGUGCUCCACACAAAAACUCAAUUUCCCGGAGAUCUACCGGUCGGAAUCUCGCGAGACCACCACCAUUAUUCACCAUUUUUCCUCCUCUACAAACCCUUAUGCUCUACCCAACCCUCCGAUUUAGGUCAUUUCUGCCCUUUCCUUAAGCAUUGAGGACAAUGCUUGUUCUUAAGCUUGGGGUGGGGCAUUUCCCUUUCUUUUUAAUUUUUCAUGCAUUUUUCUUUAGUUAGGUUGCAUAACAUUUUAGUAUUAAGCUAAUUUUCAUUCAUUUUUUUUAUUUAUUUAAAAUUCCAAAAAGAUUUUAUUUUCUUCUUUUUCACCUUUUAUAUUUUUGCAUAACAUUUAGCCUAAGGCAUUAACAUUCAUGCAUUUUUGUUGUCUGUUUAUUCUCACCUCUCUUGGAUACCAUGGAACGGGUUCAUAGUUAUUGUAUCAUUAUUGGUCCACGAUCUUGUUGCAAUCUCACCCAUCGAACCGGGACCAUUGGCUGCAGUUUGGGAUUUCAUACUUGGGAUCAGAUGCUGGUAGCUUAAAGGGGUAAGUGAUCAUGGCCAGGUAGUUUCAUGAAAAAUUAUGCAUACAAUACUAACAACUGUAGGAUAUACUAUAGCAAUGGAUGUUCUUAGCCUUGCGGUCACUACCGCUGAGAGGAUCACACUUGAUCAUGUUUGAACUGUUAGGAUGAAGCAUUGGUGCUUGUCCCCGAGUAGAAUCCAUAUCCGGUCUCUUUACAUCACCAUAUCUUUUUGCGAUUUUCUUAGAAUUUUAGAGAGUCUUUUAGUCCACAUUUGGACAUUUUCAUUAUCUUUGAAAAACCACAAGUUUGAAAAGGAGCUUACAUUACAUCUUUAUGCUCCACACAUGGUCAUUUUCACACUUAGGCCAUUCGGAUUAUAUCAUUACCCUUUCGGUUCCACUUACACACCUUUGGGAACCAAAUUUUGAGUCAAAGGGUUUCUUGUUAAAAAUUUCGAUAGUUAAUACAUUACCUUCAAGUAAAAAAAAAAAAAAAAAAAAAAAAACAAAAAGAAGCAUGCAAAUUUUCAGUUGCAACUAUCUUAGAUAGGUGGCCGGUUCAAUUAUUGAACAAAUUNAACAAAACAAAAAAAAAAACAAAAAAAAGGGGCAGGCAAAUUCCCAGCUGCAGAAAUCUGAGAAGGGUGACCGGUUCAAUUAUUGAACUAAAUCUUCCAACAUUUUGGUCACCCGGCGUUUGAUAUUCAUUUAUUUAGGUAUGUUUUAGUGUAUAUAGAUCAAGUUGUUUUUCGCAAAUUGGUGAUGUUAGAGAGACUGUCGAGUCGGAUACUACGGGAGGUUUGGGCCAACACUAAGUGAACCGAUUCCUACAACGGUGCCCGAGCGAUUAAACCAAGUUACACAUGAGAGAAACCGGCAGACGUGAGAUCAGAGUUUGCACUUAAAGAAGAGCUCCACCCGAGCCCAUCCAGUUGCCUUCUCCAUACUACAUAUGUUCUUCAUUAUCAGCAUGUUCCAUUAAGACUACGAUUGCCCAUCCCUCCUUACUCACCUAAAGGAGUUGUCCCGGCUGUGGUUUAUGGUCCCAUUGUCAUCGGAUGAAAAAGUUGUGAGACAACAGCGAGAUCAAUUCUAACCAUGUUGACUAACAUCAAAUAGGUUCCAUGGUUCUAUCCAUUCUUUUUAUUUCUAGGGUAGUUCGUCCCAAGUUCAUUUAGUCUUGUCUUACUCGAGGACAAGUAAGGUUUAAGCUUGGGGUGAUUUGAUAGCUUCAUUUUAUUUACUUCUUUUUAUAGUUUAUUUUAGUACAUUUCAUUCGCAUUUUAGUUAACUUCCAUGCAUAUUUUCCCUUUUGUUAUUUUUAUGACCAUUUCGGGGUACUUUCUAGUUUCUUGAGCAUUAUUGCAGAUUUUCUUGGAAACUAGCGGGGCGGCACUCUUGCGAGGCGAUUGGGCUUGAAGGGAAUUGGAGAUUUCAUGCUUGAUGGCUAUGAAGGUGAUUCAUGGGGUGGACUUGUCAAUUGCUUGAAGGCUUGGAAGAAUUGAGCUUUAAAUUUGAAAGAUGCGGGGGAACAUUCAAGCGUAUGAAAAUUAUUAAUCGGGCGAGUUCACGAGCUUUGGAGGAUUUAGAGAGGUCAAAUUGGGCUUUAAAUGAAGAAAAACUUGAAGAAAAUGGGCUAGGAGGUGAUUGGAUUCGAUCUGGGCUAGUGGGAUAUGCUUUAGAGGCCCAAAAUCUCAAAGGAGCCCAUGUCAGGUACCACCCGCGCAACCCACCCGCGCAGCAGCACGCGGGUCGCGCAAGGCCCUGCAGGGGCAAUUUCGGGAAUCCUUCUUUUGAGCUAUUUGAGGAAGGUUGGUGCCCAUCUUUUGCAUACUCUUGGACAUCCGAUUUUUGAAGAUUCUCUCUGGAGUUUUGGAGAUUUUUGAAGGCCAAGAACCCUUGAAGAACAUCAUAUUUUUACCUCUUGAUUCUUGCUUAAUGUUUGGUACAAAUUUCUCUAACUUUGUUUCUUUGUGUUUAGCCAUGCUUGGCUAAACUAAUCUUGGUUGACUUUUGGUUAAUCCUUUGAACUUUUGUUGAAUGUUGAAGAAUCCAUGAACAUGUUCUUAAAUCUUUAUGGGAAUGUUUUGUGUUUUAACAUCUUAUCACUACUUGUAUGUUUUAGUUCAUGAGUUUAAAUGUGUUUGUGGUGAUUAGUUGGCUAAUUUCUUGAUUAAGUAAAGGAUCCUCAAAUUAGCAAGCAACAAAUGAUUUUUGUGUUGUUUUUGCUUCACACAAUCAUAAAAACAUUUCCUCCAACAUGGUGGUGAAAGCAUUUGACCCCUCUUGGAUUUGGUGACUUUUUGGUUCUUAAUGCUAGUUGACUUUCACUAAUUACAUGCUAUUUGGAAUUAGUGACUUUGACUAAGGAAAUUGUUAUGAGCUUCUCUAGCCAUUUCAACAAUUAAGAAAAGUCUAGGUAAUCUCAAGCUCCUUGGAUUACUAUAGCCAAAUUAAGGAUUUAAAUCAAAGUAUUGCACCAUUGGAUUCUAAUGAUAUGUUCAUCAAAAGUCAAAGUGAGGAAACUUUAAGUCAACCAUCUCUCCUUUAUUGAUUUUACAUCAAAUUCUUAUUUUUGUUGCAUUUUUCUAUUUAAAUCAUGGAUAACUCUAGUUUGUUUCAAGUAUUUCAAAACACCAAAACCCCCCAUUUUAUUUUUAUUGUCAUUUUAUAAGUAUUUUUACAAAGAGAUUUUUCAUAGAGUUAUAAAUUGAACCAAUCUCCGUGGAUUCGAUCCCUUUACCACUAUACACUAUUUUAGUGUGUAAUAUUUAGGGUUAUUAUUUGUGUUGGCCUCGACAACCACCAUCGAUACCAAAUCCUAACCCCAAACCUGAGUUCGAAGGUCCAACGCCUAUGUGGGUCGGAAGCUUGGAUAGGUGGAGUCAUGAGCAAGGCCACCCCACCUGUACGAUGAGGAUCGCCGCUUCUACAAGGUGAACGAGGGAGGUUCCGCAGACAGAGCCCUUCCAAUCAUAGUCCGUCGAGUGGCCCGCAAUGUUGAACAAAACGUGGCAGCCAUUCAACGAACUAUGGAGCUUGAGGCAGACUUGGAUGCCAACACAAACCGCAUUCGCAAUCUCGAAGUUGCUCAUGGGAGAACUAUAAGAGACAAUGAAGCUCUGCAACGAGAGCUAGCUACCACUCGAGCUGAGGUCAUAGAGCUCCGAGCAUGCCAGUUAGUAUACGAGAGCCGCCUGUUUGACAUGGAGUGCCAACUGGCUAACAUAAGGAUCCGUUCGAGAAGUGCCCGUCGCCAUUAGGAAAUACUCCACUCAUCCUUCCUUUUUGGUCUAAGGAAUAACUUUCAUAUCUAUAUUCUUAGUAGUUCUUUUCUGUAAACAUCUCUGUCUUUCUUGUUGCCAAGAUGUCCUCUGUAUUAGUAUGAUUUAGACCUCUUUUAGGUCGAGGUUUCUAAAAUAUAUGUAAUCUCAGUUUCAGUAUUAGUGGCAACAAGCAGUUAUCAGUUGAAGACUAUCAUUGUCAAAAGUAUACCUUAGAUCGGUAGCAUGCAAAUUAAACAACUUUAUCAAAGUCCUAUCACUGUUUUGUCCUCGAAACAUGUAUCCUAGGGUGUACUUAGACCAUCAUUCCUUUUCCUCAUCGAUUUCAUACCAAUCUCCAUGAAAAGCUUCGAUGUCAUAAUCAGCAUGAGAUGAUUGACCCCCAAAUUGUGCUGAUGUCCUUUGCACUCGAAAGGGGUGACUCGUCUCAAUCUUUCCCUUUAACGAAGUCCUCACUAGUUAUAGUGAUAAAAUUUGUUCGAACCUUAGUGUCAUUUUCUGCGCCAAAGCCCAGACGUAUCUGCGAAAGGGAUGUCAUGCAUUCUUGGCUCAUGUCGUCGUUGAGAUGCAAAAAGUUAAAGGCCUCGAGAGCAUCUCCGAAGUCUGUCACUUUCCUGAUGUAUUCCCCAAGGACAUUCUAGAAAUUUCUUCCGAGUGUCAAGUUGAAUCCUGCAUCAACUUUAUCCCCAUAACUACCCUUAUAGCUAAAUCUCCAUAGCGUCUAGAGCUGACGAAAAUGUGAGAGUUAUCCAACCAACGCAAUAAGCUGAACAACAAGUUCAUAAGUUUAUUGCAUGUGAACUUUAUUGUGUUCAAAUCUUUUCUAUUGUUACUAGGACCACAUCAUGGGGAUGUGGGUCGAAUCUAUGAGAGUCAGAUAGCAAAACGGGAAAUCUUAAUGCAUAGAUAAACAUUUAGGAUACAUCCAGAGGCAACCAUCAUUACUCACAAGCUUCUUUUCUUGACAUGUGGUGUGGCAAAUCAUGUCUCCGAAGAAACAUAACCAACCCAACGGUAAGACGCCGAUCCUCCAGAUGGACUCAACUACGUUCCAAGUGACUGUCACAACAGCCGUAGCAGCCGCCCUAGCUGUUCUUAACGCUAACAACACAAAUGUGGGCGGAAGUGUUAAUGGCAAUCCAAAUCAUGGUGUUAACCAAUUUCAACAACAAGUUCCUACUAGAAAGGACACACCUGAUCUCCAACCUAUCAUCCUAAAACAAAAGUUCAAAGGAAGUUGUUCGACCCAAAGACCUACUGAGAGGAAACAAAUUGGGACAGUCAGUGCCCCAGUUGUCCUUGUUGUCCCAACACCAACCAUACCUUAUUGUGGAAAUCUCCCACACUACAGCAAAUGAAACUACCAUUAUCAUGGAGUCUGCAGAGUGCUGCAUUGCACUAGAUGCAACAGGAAGGGACACACCGCCCGUAGUUGUAGAACCCUAGUCAAGUUCAUCACUCCGACUACCAAUGUUGGGACAAGUCCAUCCUGUUACUUCUGUGGAAGUGUAGGACAUUUCAAAAUAGACUGCCCAACAGAGAAGAACAAUGAGGAAAUAGGAGGAGUCUGACCAAAGAAAAUGAGGGAGCGUCGAAGGACCCUGCCAUAUUUUGGUACGUUUUUGAAAACCCCGAUAAUUGUUUAUAAUUAUGAUUACUUUCUCGUGCGGAUUAAAUCACAAAAUCCUUAUAAGGUUUAAAGCCUUAAUGAGCAAAUUAUGAUAGUUUAGUGGAAACUCUAAGGUCAGGUGUAGUUAUACAUGACUUGUAUACACCAAGCGAUUAUAGGAAGAUCUAGUAAGAAUCAUUUCAUAAACGUUCAUGAUUUCGAAGUAUCAGAAGCCUCGUACUUGCGGUACCCUACAAUUUCGAAUCAGACACAGCAAACACCAAAGACAUUCAUCCAGAGGCACCAAUGUGCUAACAAAAGGAUCUUCUCGGACGAACUUAAACGCGCGAUUCUACGACGUCAUCCAGUUUAGUCCGACUGGGUCUAUGUUAUACCAAACCCUUUUGUCUUAAAUCGUUCGAUCGAAAAACUCCCGUCACUCGUAACGACAAUUAGAUGCGAACUUCGAAAAUUCAUCUCUCUUCAAAACCCGAAGGUAUUCGUGUGAAGAGUAUGAAUCAGAACCAACGGAUACGACAAUGAAGAUCCGCUGAAACAUCUAGCAAGAGCCUGAGUACAAAAAGGAGAGACUUACCUAUGUAUACCUUCGAGAAGUAAUCCGUUUUCAUGGGAUACCUGUACUUAUUGCCUCCGACCGGGUUAGCAAGUUUACCUCGAGAACUUAGCAACAUACAUCCCGUCUUUCAAGUGUCAAACCUAAAUAAGUGUUUGUCCGAUGAGACACUUGCGAUUCCCCUCGACAAUAUCGAGUUAAACGAGAGUCUACACUUCAUGUAGGAAUCAUUUGAACUCAUGGACCAGGAAGUCCAGUGCACGAGACGAACGUCGUAUCUGGAUAGUGAAGGUUCACUGGGAUACCAAACGAGAACUUGAAUUCACUUGGGAGCACGAGAAUCCAAGGAAAUAAAAGUACCCCAUCAUUUCUAAGUCCACAAGUUACAACUUUAUUCUUGAAUUUCAGGACAAAAUUCCCUCUAACGGAGGGAUGAUGUGACAACCCGAAACUUUUAUCUUGUACACUUAGCCAAUUCUAUCAAUGUUAAACUUGUUUCAGCUAUCUUUUAGCAUCGUUUUGAGCCUGUUUGGAUGAUCUAAAGCCUUGUACAACCAAAGUUCGAAUUAGGGAUGGGUUGGUUUAAGAUUUAGGGUUGCAAAAAGGCCAAACACUCCAUCAAAAGGAGUGUGUGGCCACACACAUGAGUGUGAGGCCGCACACCCGAGUGUAUGACCGCACACAUGAGUGUGUGGCCGCACACCCGAGUGUAUGGCCGCACGCAUGAUUAUGUGGCCGCACACCCAUUAUCUAUAUAUAGAUGAGGCUCAUUUUCACUUCAUUUCCCCUCUCCUCAACCGCACACACCUCUCUCUCUUUCUCUCUUAGGCUUCUUCAACCACAAACCAUCCCAAGACUUCAAAAACGUGAGUAAUCCAUCCCUUAGCUUGUUGUGCUUGAAGAACCACUUAAAAUAAGCCUAAAAUCAUUGAGUCUCGUCAUGUUCUUCAUCUCUUUGAAGGAGUGCAGUCGCACACCCACACAAGGUGGCCUCACACUCCUAAAAGACCCUCCAAAGUGAGAGUUGGACUUCCCUCUUCGAGUUAGACAUGACCAUAGCCUUGCAACACCUUAGAAUUUGCUUUUUGGACAUCAUCAUGUAGCGUGUACGACCGCACACACCCUUGUGCGGCAGCACACUCCCAUGUGUGACCACACACACACCCUAGGACCACAAACCCACUUCUAGGACCCUUAACUUGCACUAUAAUCGCGUAUAGACCUAGAACACUUCAUGGAUGCAAGUAUGGACCUUGAAAACACCUCAAAAGCACCUUAUGUCAUGAGUGUACGGCCGCACACCCAUAGGGUCGUACACACCUUUAGGGUGGCUAUACACCUCCUUCAUGCAAUCCUUUAAGGUUCUAGCACUUAGUGCAAGUAGUCCCAAGUUCUUAGAGUGGUUCUCCAUCACAGUUAGUAGAUAAAUACCUUCAUUUGACUCCUUUAUGUGUCAUUAUAUGUUAUUUAGGAUCAAAUCGUGUUCAAGGCUUUACUUGAACAUCCUGCAUUCCGUAUCGAUCUUUCAUUCAAAUCGCUCGAGGUGAGUUCAUACCCCUACGCUUUUCCGAGUUUUUCAUGUUUUCAGGGGGGAAUACAAGCAAAAAUACAAGGAAACUUGUGCUCAAAGUAUAUUAUUUUGUUUAAAGAUAACUAUAUUUUCAGAAUGCUUUUAACAUGGAAAACAAUUUUACCAAACGAUUAACAAAUCAACUUGUAGAAACAGUUUUCAAAACUAGAGCAACGAACUUAUGAAUCAUGUAGCAAAAUGUAUCGUUUUAUAAAGGAUUCAUGUUAAUCAAAAAAAGGAUUUUCUAUAUUAUUACUUGUAAAUUUGUUAGUCUAAGUUGGAGACACGUCUCUUGUAGGGAGAGCGUGACUGUUGUGUAUAGAUCUAUACGGGACUGACAAUCCCGCACCUUGCUGCUAGCUACAGUCGGACCGACAGGUCUACGGGUGACAAAGUCAUAAAGGAUACCAGCCGUUGCGGGCCAUAUCCAGUCAGUUAUGGUCAUGACACUCACAACCUAGAUAGCAGAGAUUUAUUUUUGUAAUAUUGAAUCAAGUAAACUAACCUCAAGGUAAUAACCGAUUUGAUUAUUGGAGGGUAUUAAUAGUACCUUCAGGAUUUAGUUCAACACGUUUUUCUUUUAUUAGUUUUAUUUAUAAAAUAGGGCUAAUAUACCUCACUGGGAGUAACUAGGGUUUUUAAAAGAAAACUACGUUUACCGAUAUAAGUAUGGUAGAUACUUGUACACCUCAUUUUAGAACGGAUAACCAACCAUCAACUUUUAAGGAAAAUAUAGGAUUUUCCCAGGAUAACUCAGUUAUUCAUAAACGGAUUAUUUUUACAUGUAACUAACGGAUAUUCAUAUUCAUUCCACGGCUCCUUGGAUUGUACAUACCUUGUAUGAAUCUGGAAGGAAUGGUUUUUCAAACACGCCUUUCAUAAGAAAAUAUAGGAUUUUCUUGAGGAACACUUUUCAAAAAGAUUCAAGGAAACAUUUUCCAUCAAAACUAAAUGCUUAUGAACUCACUAGCUUUAUGCUGAUAUUCUUUCAAAACUGCUUGUACUCUUAGGGAUUUAGUAGACAGGUACUUCCAGGAUUUUGGAGAAGUCGGCGCGUUAGAGUCACGUCUUUCGAUCUUACUUUCUUCAUGAACAAAACUAUGUACUAAGACAAUGUAAACCUUAUUCAUAUAUGUAUUUAAUGUUUGGCUGUGUUUACUAUGCUUGCUAUGAUACAACUAUUGUGAUACUACGUAUGACGUCCUCCACCCCAGAACGAUUCUGCCGUUCCGGUUUCGGGGUGUGACAUCAAUCGACCAAUUAGCAGACAUCUUCAUUAAACCCCUCACUAAAGGAUCGUUUUAUGUUCGUCAAUCGUCCCGCCUUUGAGCUUGUCGGGGGUAACAAUGGUAACUUCUCUUGCAAAAAUAGUCAGUACGUGCUCAAGACCUGUUCUCAUCUCUCUUAUGCAACGUGUCCAAGACCUGUUCAUAGUCAAACAUGUGUACCAGAUAAUUAGGACUUCAGUUGUAUUUUGUUGUUUUUAUACCUUUGUUAUAAUCAAUGUUCAAUCAAGGAAUUCAGAUUCAGUUUACUUCUAUAAUACUUCAACUCUUCGGAAUUCUAUUGUCUGGUGUAUUAAGAUUAAGCUUUUACGAUUAACUUAGAGUUGUAUUUGUAACAAGAAUGUGAUAAUUCUUUCUAUGUAUUAUAUCUAACAUAUCUUAGAACUUAGAACCACUCAUUCAUGGGUAAAUUGUUUUUAUAUUUACUAGAUUGGUGAACAUUGGUUUGGUGGAGAUAAACUACAAAACAAACAUGUUUUAACCAUUAGUAACAGUAUCGAUUUUAUCUCAUUUCAAAUAUUAUGUACGUAGUAUGAUGCUACCUAGGUUUUUGAAAGUCCGGAUUUUCGUUGAGCGAGUGUUUAAUGCUAUUGUAUAAACAUGGUAUGUAGCACCUGGUUCCUGGUACGUAAAAUUUAUCUUAGUAAUUGUCAUUUUAGCCUUGGACUCGGUGAGUUGUAGGUCCGACUCGCCGAGUUAGGACGCGGUCCGGGGGCACGUUUAAGUUGGCGACUCGGCGAGUCCAUAUUCUGGACUCGGCGAGUCACCGUUGUCUGUUGAAACCCUAAAUUUCAAGGGUUUGCACCCUAUUUAAACACUCAUUUCCGCCCCAACCUCGCCCCCAUUCACCCUCAGAGCUCCCAACAUCGUCUUUGCCCUUUUCCUUGUGAGAUUGAAGUGUUUUGGGUGUGUUCUUGAAGUUUUUGAGGAGAAAGACGAGUAGAUCAAGAAGAGGAGAAGGAGGCCAAGCAAUUUUGUGACAUCUCAACGUUUUCCUUGAGGUAUAGCUCGUUUCCCCUUUGUUUUCAAGCUUGUAGUCCCUAAUAGCUUCAUGAAAGUCCUUUUUGAGCCAUUCUUCAAGCUUGUUUGUGCUUGGUGGGUGGUAAUAAGUUGUUAGUGUAACAGCCUGGAUUCCCAGGUAUUAUUUAUUUAUUUAUUUUGGUAAUUUGUGAGGAGACUCGACGAGUUGGAGCCUAGACUCGCCGAGUAUGAUCGCGGAUUUGGACGCGGGUUCGCGUCCGGACUCGGCGAGUCCACGCUGUUUAAUGAAACCCUAAUUUCUCGGGUUUGAGGCGUAUUUAAAGGGCUUUAUGGCCGUCAUUUUCACUUAUCAGUCCCCAGAGUGAAACCCUAGAGCUUUUGAGUGAUUCAAGUGAGAGAAGGAGCCAUUAUUGAUCUUGGAGUUGUUGUCUAGCAAGGAAAGAGGAGAUCUAGCCAAGAGGAAGCAAGAGAGGGGUGGAUUCUUGAAGAUUUAAGGUCCAGAACAUCACAACUGAGGUACAAUCUCAAAUCAUUCUCUGUUAUUGUGAUGUUCAUCUAGAUUUAGGGCUUUUGAACCCAUUUGUGGCUAGAUCUAGUGUCCUCAUGGUCCCUUAGCGAGUUAAGGUCCUGGAUCUGGACCCAUAGAGGUCCAGAGCACCUCAUUGCCAAAGCUUUAUAUGCAUCCAUGGAGGUUUUGGCUUGGGAUCAAUGUAUUUGAGGCUAAAACACCAUUCAUGAGCUAUUCAAUGCUUGAUGAGCAUCAAGACUUGGACUUUACGUGGUCAAUAAGCUUAAGGAGACUGGAUCUAUGAGUUAGUGAAGCGGAUCUGACCUCAGAAGGUCGUUUGGGGUUGUGCAUGGAAUGCACUCUCCGAGUCCAUUUCCAGACUCGACGAGUUGGUGUGGGUUGUUCAGUGAUUUCGAACCAGGGGUUGAGUAACUGAGUCGNNNNNNNNNNNNNNNNNNNNNNNNNNNNNNNNNNNNNNNNNNNCCAGACUCGGCGAGUCGGGUUGACCGUUGACCGUUGACCAGUGUUGACUGGUUUGACUUCGUGGUAUUAGUCAGCCAGAGUCAGGUAGUAUUAAGUAGAAAUACACUUGUGUUGUAGGAGGACGAUAGCUCGGGAGAUCGAGAACUAGUGGUUAAGAGAUUUACGAGUUACCGAGACACGCAAGGUGAGUCUUCUCACAGUGGUAUUAUGAGUUGACCAGAGGGUCUUAUGUGUUAUUUAUGAGAUUAUUUACUAUGUAUGAGAUUAUGUGCUAUGUGUUAUAUGUAUGGUGUAUGAUUGUGUAGACCGGACCAGAGGGUCCAAUGAUUCUGACCGGGCCGGAGGGCCCAACGAGCUGUGACUGGACCGGAGGGUCCGACGAGCUGCGGGACUGGAGGGUCCCGCUGAGACAUUUAGACCGGAGGGUCGGAUUUAGCCUUGAGUGGCGUAUUUGUGGUAUGUGGUAUUUUGGGAACUCACUAAGCAUUUAUGCUUACAGUUGUUGUGUUUGAUGUCUCAGGUACCAGCGAGGACCGUGGGAAGGCGACGGCUUGACACGUACACACACCGAUGGAGUUUAUUAUGUGUAGAGAUCUUGGGAUUUGUUUUUGAAACAGUAUUGAUUAUGGAUUUUGAUUUGUGAUGUGAUACAUUAUGUGAUUUUGAAAAAGAAAAAAAUUAUUCUGAAAAUCUACGGUGUUACAGUUAGCCUUUAGAUCUAGGCAUGAUUUAGUCCCUAGAGCUUGGAUCUACUGCCUUUAUGGAGUCAUAUUGCAUGAAAGUCCUAGAUAUACCCUUUUGGUGCACUUUGAGCCCUAAAACCUUCAUUGGUGAUUAUCUACACGUAAAGUUGGAAACUUUACGUGUAAACCAGGCCCUAGGAACCCAGAUCUACGAAUGGCAUGGGCUGGAUUCAAGCAAAAUCGCGUGUAUAGUUUUUGCAUGAGGCAGACUCGGCGAGUCGUUCAUCUAACUCGACGAGUCGGGUCGCGAGUCCCCGGGUUGUUCCCCUUUUUGUGUUGCGAGUUGGAGUGGUGAGUCAUUGGGUAUGACUCAGUGGGUUGGAAGCCAGACUCACUCAUGAAGUCACUCGGUGAGUCAUUGCAAUGACUCGACGAGUUCACAGCAAUCUCCUUGUCUCAAGAACAACUCGACGAGUUGUUCAUACAACUCGGCGAGUCACAGCUUAGAGUGUUCUUUGGAUGAAGAUGAACUCGGCGAGUAGGAUGAAGGACUAUUGGCCUUGGGUAUAGAAGGAAGACUUGUCGAGUCUAUGCUUAACUCGACGAGUAGAGACGGACUUAUGGUCAGACUAAAGGAAAGGGACUCGGCGAGUCUGGUCAACUGGCAGUUGACUGUGACUUGACUCAUGACUUAUUAAGGGUAAAUGGAAAAUUUACCCUGAGGACGGUUAGCAGUAAUUGAUUAAGUGUUUGGUGGGAAUUACAGUCAGAGGAUUUCCGAAGCAGCAGCAGACAGACCUUUCCCACACAGAUCAACAGCUACUUCGAGGUGAGUUACCUUCCAGUAGCGGUGGGUCUAAGGCCACAAUGCCGGCCCACCAGUAGGAAAUGUAUGAUAGAUGAUUGUCUUUGUGAUAUCAUCUAGGUUUGCUACUACCUGAUAUGUUAUAUGCUAGCAUGAUAUGUUACAUGUGAUAGUAAUAGAGUUCGGUUGUUAGGACUGAAGGGUAGUCAGACACCCCAGAUACGUCUGACAAUAUAUGAUGAUAUGUUUGCAUGUUGGCUUUUUACGUUAUAUGCGAUAGAGGUAGUAGGAGGGGACUAGUCCCCGAGUUCGGUUGUUAGGACCGAAGGGUAGUUCAGGCACCCCAUAUAUGUCUGAUAAUAUGUUAUGUUAUGAUAUAUGUGAUAGUAGCAGUAGGGGGUGAAAUAGUCCCCGAGGUUCGGUCGUCAGGACCGAAGGGUAGUCAGCACCCCAGAACGGCGUGACAUGGGUAGUCAGCACCCCAGAAUGGCUUGACACGGGUAGGUCGGCACCCCAGAAUGGUCGUACCGGGUAGGUCGGGCACCCCAGAAAUGCCCGGCAAUAUGUAUGAUAUGUGAUUGUAUGAUAUGCGGUACGUUGGGGGAACUCACUAAGCUUCGUGCUUACAGUUUUCAGUUUUGGUUUCAGGUACCUCUUCUUCGAAGGGGAAGGAGCUGGCGCGAUAGCAGCCCACCACACACAUGUUUCGUAUUCCGCAUCACGAGACCUUCCUGGGGAUUUGUACUCUGACAUUUUUAUGUUAUUGAAAUGUUUUUCCAGACAUGCGAUAUCUUUAUAAAAUGUUAUGAUUAGUAAACGUUUUAUUCGAAUGUUUUGCUAAAUAUAUGUUUUCAAAAAUGAAAUUUUUGGCUCGUAUUUUGGGGCGUUACAUGGUAACGACACUAAGGAGAAACCGUUACAGGAACCAGGAGCAUUGAUCAAGAAGAAUGCUUUGACAGUCACAAAGAGAAAGAGAAAGAGAGGGAGAGAGAGAGAGUGUGUGUGUGUGUGUGUGUAUGUGUGUGUGUGUUAAUGUGAUGUGUUAUAUAUCCUAAGACUAACUAUUUGUACAUGGCCUCGUUUGGGGAGUGGUGUCGACUGUCAAGGUAUCAUGUUUACAGGGGAAUCUUUGUUUGGUCUUCGAUAUUGGUCCCAAGGCUUACCUCGAACGACAUUGACAAUAUAAAUGUUUAAUUGGGCGGAGGUAUAGGGAAUUCAGUAUAUAUCGACAUUCAUUUUGUCUUAGGCUUGAUUUCUCGUAUUAUCCGUAAUAAGUACAUCUCCCAUCAUUAAUGUUCCUUUAUGAAGUGUAUCUAUUGAACCGGUGUGAUUGUAGUUUUGAACAACCUUAUCAUACUCGAUCGGAAUCCAUAUCGAUUGCGGAGGACUGAUCUAGCUUUUGGUGAUUAUGGUUAACUAGGUCCAAUAAUAUGGCGACUAUUUUUUUAUAUAUAUUGAAUACUAGUUGGAUUAUUAUAUGUCAUUAAGUCACCCGCUGAAUAUUGGAGGUACAACAGUCCAGAGUCCUAGUUUGUACUUUAAUUGUCUUUUUUCGAUGAUAUGGUCAUCAGUUAUAUAUAGAAAAGACUUCAAAGCCUAAACAUUAGUCUCUUGAAUCUCUACUUAGGAAACGCACAUGUCAUCAUUGCAUUGAGGAUCACGAUCCAUGAUUGUAGAUAUAUUUACUAUUUUACUAUUUGUAGUAAACUAUUUCUAGGUUUUUACCAUUAACUUCUUCAUUUCUUCCGGUGUCUUCAUUUUUCUCACUAAAAAAUAUAGCUUUUGCUAUUUCUGAAACAUAUGUUCCUAUGGCCAAAGAAAAAAAUGAUAUGGAUUAUGCAUUAUGGGGGUGUUUGGGAUUCCUUUUUAAGCACAUAAGUUUUUUUUUUAAGUUCUUUUUGACUUUAGCUUUUGAGGAGACAAAAGAAAAAAGUUGUUUUUAGAAAGUGUUUGGGUUGCAUUUCUUGACUUUUAAGUCUAAUUUAGCUUUUAAAAGGUUAAAAGUUACAAAAAAAAUCAUACUUUCCCGACUUCUGAAAACCUAUCUUUUUCUUCUUUACAAAAAAUUACUUUUACAUUUCUCAAACAUCUUUUGUCAUUUUUUGACUUUUUGAAAAAGUUAAAAAUCAAAAAGUCAUUUAAAAAGUAAUCACAACUUAAUAAAAAAAACCUUAGAUUCUAUCAUCAAACUUUAUGAAAUUAAGCAUGUUUUUUUUAGGGAAAAUUGCAAUAAAAUUCUUACAUAUUUGUCUCAUAAUCGAUUUAAUCCUUAUAUCUUUUUUUAUUCAAUUAAGUCUCAAAACAGAUAAUCAUAUUCAAUUUGAGCAAUUUACCCGGUCAACAGAUCAUCUAACUUUCAAAAAUUAUAUUUUUGGCAUAGAUUUCAAAUUUUAUUAUAAAUUUGGUCCAAAAUUUACACUUCUGGCCCAUAUUUUAAAUUUUAUUACAAAUUUGAUCUAAAAUUUACCUUUUUGGCCCGGAUUUUAGAAUUUUGUUAGGAAUUCAUCCUAAAUUUAGUCUUUUUACAACUCUUUUUUUUUUUUCAAAAUGUUGUUUUGAAUAUGUUUUUUCUUUAUAAAAUCAUAUUUAUACAAAAAAAAUAACACACAUAAAAUCAUAUUUUCUAUAUAAAAUCAUAUUUAUACAAAAUUUUGUUUUGAAAGUUGGAUGACCUGUUGACCAGGUAAAAUGGUCAAAUUGAAUACGAUUACCGGUUUUUAGGACUUAAUUGAAUAUAUAUAUNNNNNNNNNNNNNNNNNNNNNNNNNNNNNNNNNNNNNNNNNNNNNNNNNNNNNNNNNNNNNNNNNNNNNNNNNNNNNNNNNNNNNNNNNNNNNNNNNNNNNNNNNNNNNNNNUAUAUAUAUAUAUAUAUAUAUAAGGACUGAAUCGAUUAUGAGGCCUAUAUAUAAGGACUUUAUUGCAGUUUUCCCUUUUUUUAUAUUGAAGAAGUUAUAUUGUCACUACACGAUUAAUCACAAUGAUCGUGCUCAAGUGGAUCUAUAUCAUUAGUUAUGGUUGGUUGGGUUUUCCUUCAUUUGAUUUGUAGAGAUAUUUUAUUGGUACCCAAAUCACUUAUUUUAUACAUUUCCAAUGGAUUCCAUAAAAUCCUUGAUAUUGUGAUGUUAUGUAAUGUUUUGGGUAUUGUUCCUAAAAUUGAUAUAUUUUGGUAUUUUACUGCAUUGCAUUUGGCAGUGAUUGUGAAGAGUUUUGGACACAAGAAUUUAAGAAAAAACAACAAAACAAAUCAACACAAGAAGUAAAUAAUCCAGUUUAACUCAUUGGUUAGAAGGUAUAUGAUUACAAUAUUUGAUAGCUCCAAUGAUAGUGUUAUGAGCAUGUAUGUAAAGAUUCAUAACCCUAAUACAAAGACUAACACACAUAAACUAUAUAUAUAUANNNNNNNNNNNNNNNNNNNNNNNNNNNNNNNNNNNNNNNNNNNNNNNNNNNNNNNNNNNNNNNNNNNNNNNNNNNNNNNNNNNNNNNNNNNNNNNNNNNNNNNNNNNNNNNNNNNNNNNNNNNNNNNNNNNNNNNNNNNNNNNNNNNNNNNNNNNNNNNNNNNNNNNNNNNNNNNNNNNNNNNNNNNNNNNNNNNNNNNNNNNNNNNNNNNNNNNNNNNNNNNNNNNNNNNNNNNNNNNNNNNNNNNNNNNNNNNNNNNNNNNNNNNNNNNNNNNNNNNNNNNNNNNNNNNNNNNNNNNNNNNNNNNNNNNNNNNNNNNNNNNNNNNNNNNNNNNNNNNNNNNNNNNNNNNNNNNNNNNNNNNNNNNNNNNNNNNNNNNNNNNNNNNNNNNNNNNNNNNNNNNNNNNNNNNNNNNNNNNNNNNNNNNNNNNNNNNNNNNNNNNNNNNNNNNNNNNNNNNNNNNNNNNNNNNNNNNNNNNNNNNNNNNNNNNNNNNNNNNNNNNNNNNNNNNNNNNNNNNNNNNNNNNNNNNNNNNNNNNNNNNNNNNNNNNNNNNNNNNNNNNNNNNNNNNNNNNAGUAUCUAUUGUGUUAUUGUAUGCAUAAAUGUGAGUCAAUCAAAUUUACAUAUUUUAAGAAAGUGAUUAAUAUAUAUUAUUGAAUUCAAUAUAAUUGAAAAAUAUCAUCUUAAUUAAUUAUAAGGGUAAUUCAGUCAAUUAAUAUAGACUUAAUAAAGGAAAAUUGUAUUUUUAAGGGAUCAUAGAUUCUAUUAAUUUUAAAAAUCCGAUUUUAAGAAUUAUAAUUAUUUUAAUUCGGACAUUCUGAGAGAAUAUGUUUAUGAGUAUAUUCAAAAUUAAAAAUAUUCUUGAACCAUAAAUAAUAAAAAUAUUCUUGAACCUAUUUCUUGAUCAUGAAUUUAAAAACUUCUUGUAGAAUAACAAAUUCUUGAACAAUCACUUGAAGAAUAAAAACAAAAUUACAUUAUUUCUUAUAGAAUUCGGGUAAAAAUUGUUAAUAAUUACAUUUAUUGUUAAAGAAUAAAACUAAAAAACAAUCAAAACCGGAAAGAAUACAUCAAAAUCUAACAACGACAAAUACAUUCUAAAAGAAUAAUGUGGUCCGUUUCAAUUUUGGUUCGUUCUUCAAGCAUUAACUUCUGUGAUUCUAACAGAAUUGAAAUUCUUCAUUCCAUUCCAACAGAAUUGAAACUGUAAAAAAAAUACACAAACCACUAAGGAAUUACUUAAAAUCAGGUAUAAAUAAGUUGAACCGAAAUCAUCUGAUUCAUGUAUGUCCAAAUUAUUGUUUAGUAAUUAAGAACAAAAGGGUAAUUUGAUACUUACCUAUUAGAAGUGUAGAAUAUGCUUAUCACGAGGUAAGUAUUCCAAUGAGUUUGUAAACUUUUAAAAAUCUUUGCAUAAUAUUUCAUUAUACAUUAAAAGAUUAUGAAAUUUGGAUUUAGAGUCAAGAAUGCAACAAUAAGUUUGGGCCUUUUUUUAAUCAAACAUCAAUAAGGAACGAUUUUAACUAAAUGUGCUGGCAAAUUUUGGAAAACAAAAUUUAUUCUUUUUCUAGUACACGGUUUUAAUGGACUCAAAAACAAAAUUUCAUUCUUUAACAUGAGAUAAUCUCAUUCUUAAAGGAACUUCAUAUCACAGUAACCAUAAAAUGAAAAUUAAAUGUUGAAAUAAAAUACGACAAGAAUAUAGAAGAAGAUUUGGUACCUUCUUGGAAUCAUGGAUUUAUGCAACCAAUUGAAUACUAAAUUAUUAUGGAUUUUGUGCAGCGGUGUACUGGUUGCGGACACAUUUGGAAGGCGGCUGUUUAGGGUUAAAGAGAAUGGAAAGCUAUUAUUUCCGAAUUGAAUGAGGAAUCGAUGAAGCCACCCCUGUAUAUAUAUCAAUCCACAUACAUUCAUACAUAUCGAUUCGCACUUAUGUCUGGAAACGAGAUAACAUUAAAAUCCAUUGAAUGUAGGUAUGGAUAUGUAAACGAGAUGAAAAGAAAAUAACGAAAUAAAAGUUGGAAGAACAGAUGUAUUAAAUUGGUGGUGUUGGAGAUAUGUUGAAGAACCGAUAAAACUCAAAUAAAAUUUAAUUUCACCUGAUGGGAUCGGUCGGAGGUGUGCAUCGAUUCAAUUGCUAAGGUUUAUGUCCUUGCCGCUUGUUCUAGCACUUUAAGUAAGAGCAUUACAGAGAGUGUCCAUGGGGUCGUUGUCAAAAAGGGUUGAUUAGGGUUACGGUUUUAAAAUACAAUGGGUGGAGAAAACUAAGUCAGUUGUUACCUUAAUUAUAGGAUAUUAUCUAUGUAAAGUAAUUAUCAAAUUACCUAUUUACCCUUAUUUAUUUAUUUAAUUAUUAAUUUUUAUUUUAAGUUUUGAUUGGCCCACAUUUAUGCAUACAAUAACACAAUAUUUAGUUUAAACAAAUGAACCUCUCUCUCUCUCUCUCUAUAUAUAUAUAUAUAUAUAUAUANNNNNNNNNNNNNNNNNNNNNNNNNNNNNNNNNNNNNNNNNNNNNNNNNNNNNNNNNNNNNNNNNNNNNNNNNNNNNNNNNNNNNNNNNNNNNNNNNNNNNNNNNNNNNNNNNNNNNNNNNNNNNNNNNNNNNNNNNNNNNNNNNNNNNNNNNNNNNNNNNNNNNNNNNNNNNNNNNNNNNNNNNNNNNNNNNNNNNNNNNNNNNNNNNNNNNNNNNNNNNNNNNNNNNNNNNNNNNNNNNNNNNNNNNNNNNNNNNNNNNNNNNNNNNNNNNNNNNNNNNNNNNNNNNNNNNNNNNNNNNNNNNNNNNNNNNNNNNNNNNNNNNNNNNNNNNNNNNNNNNNNNNNNNNNNNNNNNNNNNNNNNNNNNNNNNNNNNNNNNNNNNNNNNNNNNNNNNNNNNNNNNNNNNNNNNNNNNNNNNNNNNNNNNNNNNNNNNNNNNNNNNNNNNNNNNNNNNNNNNNNNNNNNNNNNNNNNNNNNNNNNNNNNNNNNNNNNNNNNNNNNNNNNNNNNNNNNNNNNNNNNNNNNNNNNCACGUCACUGUCUUAGUCCAUGUAUUUUUAUGAUCAAAUGUCAUUGGCACAUAGAUGCAAGACAUUUGUAUUUUCGAUAUGCUUUGACUCCUUUAGCUUUCGAUAUUAAUGAGUUCGAUAUCUUCACAACACUUUCGAUACCUAACAUUCUCCCAUUUGUGAAGAUACAAUAUUUUUCGAAAUCAUUUACAAAAUUACACAACGCUAAGAAGAGCCUUCCUAACUUCCAAAUACCAUGUAAGAAAUUCAUGCAUUUCCUUCUUGCACAUGGCUCCAAAACAACAUCUUAUUUGCAUCGAUUAAGGGUAAGGAGGUUGCCAAACACUAUCACAUCAUGUUUUCAUUUGAAUUAAGCAAUAUAAGAAAGGAGCUUAUAAGAGAUUUUAAGUUUGUAAAGCAUGUGAUGUGAUAAUGACUGAUGUUGUUGAAUAUUAGAACAUAGCUGAUGAAGUCUUCCUCUAAAUAUUGUAUUUCUUUUGUAUAUUUUUACUUAGAUACUCUGUAGAAUAUAAUGAGUUUGGAGUUAGUAUUGACAUUAUCAAAUAGGGGAAGAUUGUUAGACCCCUUGUGAUUUGAUAAGUCAAAAGUUGUGUAUCAUUAGAUAGUGUCGUACCACCCAUCACUCAUUAGGGGUUGCAUCCCCUAAUAACAUUAGGAAGCUUCAUGAAGAUGCGUAGCAGAUCAAACCCUAAUUAAUGAAGAUAACUUCCUUCUAUGUUAGGGAUUGUUUUAAAGAUCGGUUUGCCAAAACAAAAGACUCGUACUUGGUUUCGGAUUGUGUUUCUAUACAUAUCUAUCUUGUAUGUUAAGAUAGAAUUCCAGGUCUUUUAUUAUUAUUAUUAUUAUACACACACACACACGUGAAGAUGCGUAGCAGAUCAAGCCCUAAUGAAUGAAGAUAACUUCCUUCUCUGUUAAGGAUUGUUUUGAAGAUUGAUUUGCCAAAACAGAAGACUCGUACUUUUUUUCCGGAUUGUGUUUANGUUAAUAGUCAGAGUUUGUUCUUUGAUUAUCUUAUUGAAACUUUCCAAUCGAAAAAGUUUGGUUUCAUUAUUUUUGUUUGUUAUUGUUCUUAAUCGUGUUAAUUAUUUGUUGAAUCUGUUGGUUUAGGACCAACAUAGUACCAUACCCACCACAUUUUUUUAAAUGUAAUUUAAUAAUUAUAUAAAUAUUUAAAAACAAUAAUUAAAUAAAAACACUUCAAAAUAAGUCUAAUGUCCUCUAAAGCCCUCAAAAGUCAAAACCAUCUCGAGCUCGUAUUUUAUGUGAUAGAAUGUAUUGUAGUUAUGUGAAAUGCUUGAUAUGGGUGGUGGAUACCCACUCCAUCACUGCACACCUGGGCGGUGUCGUGUUCACCGCACCACCGCGAUGACAUGCCACCCACCCAGUGUGCGGUUGUCUUCCAUACCGAUCAGUCUAAUUAGUAAUUUUACAUGGAACUUGGACAACAAACAUCAUAAGAACCUCAAAUAAGAAACAAAAUUAAAACAAAAUUUUCUAGAACCAAAAUUGUAAAAAAAAUCAACUAAACUAAAAGAGUAAAGAGGUAAUUUAUUUGGGAAAAAAUUACAAAUCGUUCAAAUUUAGGUCCAAUUAACACCAAUCAUAGUACAUGAAUUGAGCAAAUUUGCAAAUAGAAAAGAAAAAGAUGAAUUUUGCAAGUAGAUAUUGUUGUGAUGUAGAGUCAUGUCGUGUGUUAGAACCCUACAUUCACUUAAUUCCCAAAAUCUUUAUAAAAGAUAUACCUUUUACAAAUUUUCUGAUAUUGUAUAGGAUUCUUGAUACUUCAUUGGAAAACUAAUUGGAAACUUAUGUUUUAAGUAAAACACAUUUUCAAGCCAUAACAUUUCAUUAUUUAGUAAGAAAACUACUAUAUGAAGCAAAUUUGCAAAUAAUAAGACGAAUUCUGAUGAUAUUAUAAGGCUAAAGUUCCAAGAAACAGUUGUAAAUAGAUAUCGAUUCCAUAGAACAAUCCAACUUCAUAUAAUUUUUAAAAUUUUUACAUAUAUGAAGCAGAAAAAGUUAAAGAUGGAAACUUUGAGUAUUCAUAACAUUAAGAAAGGUAGAAAACUACUUACCUCAUAUCACUAAGAUCUAAGAAGCCUUGUCCUUUUCUUCAUUCACAACAGAAAGUAUUGGCAAACUGCUUAAAAACUCAUCAAGCCCUUCAAAAAAUCCAUUACCUUCAAUGUUAUCUUCUUCACCCUGCCCUUGACCUCGAUUCCCACCAAUCAUCUUUGAACCAGAUUCUUCCCCUUCAUUGUUAUUAAACUCAACAUUCAAAUCCAACUUCCCCAUUUCUUUUGCAACCCGACCCGAUUGUCUUCUUGGGUUACUAUUACUAACCACUUCCUUUUUGCUACUCUCUACACUGUUUUGAAGAAUCUUUUUCCUCCUUUUUCUAGUCUUCUUAACAUGUACACCUUUUGCUUUCCUUUUACGACCUCUCUUCUUCAUCUUUUUCACCUUUUUGUUAUCGGUGCCCUUCCAAUCAAGAUCAGAAUCGUCGCUAGGUUCUGAGAUACCUGUAAAGAUAUCAUCUGUAACAUCAUCUAUGUAGAUACGUGGUUCCGAAUUUCUUCUUUUCUUUGGCGAACUAUCGUUUAGAUUGUGAUGAACUUGAGGUGAGACAUCGUAGAGAGGUGAAAUGGAUGUCCAAUAUUUGUUUGUGCCUUUGCCAUUGUUGUUCUCGAGGUUUGAUAUCGAAAUCCCUAAUGGGAAGGACCCCCAACAACAGAAAUAGGCUUCUUGGCCUUCGAUUAUGGGUGGAGGAGAGGGGACUGGAACUGCUUGAAACGCUCUUUCGCAGUUGCGACAACGGAGGGUGCACUCUGCGUAAACCCUAGGGUAUUCGUACAUGUAUAGACAGUAAGGACACGCAGUCCAAAAUGUAGGAGAUGAUGAAUCGAUGUUCUCAGAAUCUGACUCGGUUACUGUUUCUUUUUCUUCCUCGCUGACACUAUUGUUCGUAUCAGAAUGAGUAGGAGGCUGGACAGGGGUAGCAUUCUGUUCCAGCGAAUCUUGUUGCUGAUGAUGUUGUUCCUGCUGCGGUUGUGAUUGUGGCUGUGUUUGUAAAGGCGUCUGUGAAUGGGGUGGCGGUUGUGGCCAAGACACUGGGGGUUGCAGCGGUGCUUCAGGAGGAGGAGGCGGCGGAGACCUCGAUCGAAUAUGUGGCUGCGGUUGUGAAUGUGGUACCGGUUGUGGCCAAGGCAUUGGGGGCUGUGGCGAUUCUGCAGGAGGAGGAGGCGGAGGCGGAGACGGAGUCGUCGACUGCAUAGGUGGUUGCGGUUGUGAAUGCGGUGGCGGUUGUGGCCAAGACACUGGAGGUUGUGGCGAUGCUGCAGGAGGCGGAGGCGGAGACGGAGUCGUCGACUGCAUAGGUGGAUGCGGUUGUGAAUGCUGUGGCGGUUGUGGCCAAGACACCGGAGGUUGUGUCGAUGCUGCAGGAGGAGGAGGCGGCGUCGACGCUCGCGUAGGUAGCUGCGGCUGAGGAGGUUGUGACGGUGGUCGUAAUUGUUGCUGCGGCGUU
rnacentral:lncRNA from 1 species